ACCUCCUCCCCCAGUUUACCUGUCUCCACCUCCACCCUAUCAUCACUACUACGGUUCUCCUUCUCCUCACCACUACUAAGCAAGUGCAUAAGUUUUGAGGUAAUAAUACCUAUCCAAAACUUUAUCAACACAAACUGCCAUGUAUAUCAUGCUAAGGACGUACACUUGAUCCAUGAAAAUGACUAGUAGAAGAUUUUUUUUAAGAACCAAAGAAAUACAUUAUUUUUUCGGUCUGUUUUCAAGAAUUUGAGCAGUAUACAGAUUAAAGAGUGUUUUUUUUUUUGUAAACUUGCUUGUCAACUUAAAAAUGCACAUAGCUGAAAGCCAACUGAAUAUUUGCAGGCAAAGGAGAAGGCAAUCGGUGUUUGAGACCUUCAAGAAGAUGUAGAAGAAUAAGAAUAAAAGCCCAAUGCGAGGAUGAUUCCAAGUUUCUACGUUACCAUUUCUACAUCUAAAUUGACUUUAGCUCCUGAGUUCCAUGUUUAUGGGGUUUGUACCGUUUUACGUACCAUGCAGUACAUGCUUGCAAGGUUUUCUGUCCUGUUGGCAAACUGCAGGUCCAUAUAAUAAAUGAAUACUAUUUACAUUACGACACUUUUCUCUUUUUCUCUUAUAUUUUGUCUUUAAUAUUGUUGAUCAUUUUUUUUUUAUCAAAAGCAUCAAAUGCUUAGGUAAUUUGGUCUAAUGCUAAUUGUUUUACUUUUAUUUUUCACCUACACCCCUUUUCAACUCAAAGGAUGCUAUAGUUUGUGAUAAUUGUUUAAGACCGAAGCAUGAUACUAAUAAAUAUCUCAUUGAAAGUCAAGGAAACUAACAUUAGGAAAAGUUUAAAUCUUGAUUUGAUGAAACUAUUUAUUCGUGGAAUUUAGAGAUACAAAACUCAAAUUGUGACGGUGUUGUUGCUAAAUUAUUAAGGACAUUAUCACCAUUAUUUUUCCCUGAUCACUAGUUUCAACUGCAAUGAUCUCAAUCUUUUUGUGACUAAUUCUUUCCUUAAUAAUUUAUAAAGACAAAACUCACAAAGAAUAUGUGACUAAUUCUUUCCUUUCGUCUUCUAAAGAAAAUGCCAACUGUUAGUUUAUCAAGGGGAAAAAGGAUCGACAUCAGUUAUUAUUGAAACUAGUAAGGAAUAAAUAAUGGUGAUAAUGUCCUUAAUAAUUUAACAACAGCACCAUCAGAAUUUGACUUUGAGCUUCGGUCUUAAACAAUGAUCACAAACUACAGCAUCCUUUGAGUUGAAAAAGGAAGUAGGUGAAAAGAAAAGUAAAAAAUACAAUUAGCAUUCCCUCAAAUUGUAGAAAGUUAGGUAGCAUUAUAGACAAGUUGAUAGCGGCAAUUUUACAUUUCAAACUUCACCUAUUCAAUAACUAAUUCGAUGGCUUGCUACAUGGUCAAUCUUUGGACCCCUUCCUGCCUCCAGAUAUCCCUUUCCUCAAUCAGGGGCUUCUACAAUUACCAGUUUCAAUUGUAUGGUAUAGUGUAAAUAUCAACAAAUUAGAUGUAGAUGCUAACAUAAUAAAUGUGAAUGCUAAGACAGCAACAUACAAUCGAACCUGCAAUUGUAUGAACCCCAAUCUCGCUUCCUAGUCCACCAUCUUUCUCUAGGUAAUAAUCUCCCUUCUAAUUUAUUCACAAAAUGCACCUUUCAUCACCUCCAAUAGCGUCGACAUGAUCUUUACCCUAGAAGACUAUUCACCGACUCUCAAUUGACGUCAGAAAAUCUAAGAGUAAUUCUACUUUACCCUAAGAUUGAUAUCAACAAGACAAGGACAAUUUAGAAUUAUUACACGCCUCUUCUUAAUAGGAAAAAGAAAUAGAGAAGAAAGUCAGGCCAGGUCUAAUUUCUUUUCAAAGGCAAUACAACAUUACGAAAUCAAGCAUUCAUUCAUACAAAUAUUUCAUAGUCACCGGUUUGCUGAGUAGAAAAAUUUAGACAAAAACUUAAUAUUAUAUUGUUUAAGAGUUAACAAUUUAGAGCUUAAUCUCCUUGUACUUUGGAGUUAACAAUUUAGAGCUUAAUCUCCUUGUACUUUGGACUAAACUUGAACGUGAAAGGAAAUCCCAAAACCAUAUUGGGCAUGAAUUCACACUUAAUAUACCCAAUAAAAGAUGGCGACUGGUGAAAGGCAGUGGAGACUGGUGGAGAGAUUUGAGGAAUAGAAGCAGACGGAAAAGCAACAAAUUUUUGCCGAAAAACGGUCACUUUCAUGGUUAAUUUUGCUACUCUCCAAUUGUACUUGACCAAUUACAACAAUUUCAUGGAGUUUGAUACGUGAAAAGAAUUUUUUAUAAAUUUUAUUUUGAUCCAUAAUGUUAUCUUUACAUAUAUAAAACAUUUUACAAUUUUGAUUUUGGCGCAGCUAACUUUUGGUUAACAAAAAUGCUCAUGUUUAAAAAACCAGAAAUAAAACAAAACAAGAAACAAAAGAAAUAAGAGGGUAGCAUAGACAUUUUGGAUUUUUCCGUUAAUUUGGAUGAUUUCCACCCACGUUCUAAUUUAAUCCAAAACACAAAGGAAUUACGUAGAGGUUUUAAAUAAUCAGGGAGCUUCAUGAUCGAACCCCAAACCACGUGAUAGCAUACAAGAGUUCUAUUUCACUAUCGGUAGACAAAGACUUUCUAUGGUUGAUGUACCGUAGGAAAAAAUCUGCCUAUACAACGUGAUAGCAUUUUUUCAAAAACACAAGAUGGAAAAUUGCCCCCUUAAACGUGGAAAUUCAUGAUCUUUCCUCGAACAAAGAAUACUCACGCCUAUUCAAGAUGGAAAAUUGCCCCCUUAAACGUCUAUUUGUCAAUUCUUGAAAAAAGAAUACUCACGCCUAAAACACGGCCUCUUCAUCUGCAGAAUUCUAAAAAGUUACGUAAACUCUAUAAACAAGUUGAUAGGUACAAUCGUACCCAAGAUCAAGUACAGAUAGUUGUACAUUCACUGCUGCAAUAACUAAUCUGAUGACUUACAAACAUAUCAUGGUCAAUCGUUGAAUGGUAAUGAGUCUUUUGUUAUGCAUUAGUAUUAGUGUGUACACUCUAAUAGAUUGAUACUUAUACUCUUUAAAUUAUCAUAAUAAUACCCUUAAUUAACUUUAACUCUUAAAAAGAAUACGUGUUAAUACACGAGAGUGUGUAACCUGAAUUGUUACUUAUACAUUAGUGUGUAAUAGAUAGGGAUGGCAGUGAGGGCGAGUGCCCGCGGGGGGCUCUCGGGGCGGGGGCGGGGGAGAAUUUUUUCCCCCCGUUUAGAAACGGGGCAGGGGACGGGGGAGUAUACCCCCGCCCCAUCCCCCGCCCCGCCACCCGCAAAAAAAAUUAUAUAUAUAUAAUUAUAUAUAAUAUGUAAUUUAAUUAGUUAUAAACUUAUGAUAAUGAUAUUAUUAGUUAGAUGUAUUAUAUAAUGUAUAUUAGUGUAUGUAAUAUAAUUAAUAUUAUCAAUUAUACGAAUAAUUAGACAUGUCCACUAAUAGAGUUUAUUAAUUAGUUAUACUAAAUUUACUAAUACAUUUGUACUAAAUUUCUAAUUACACUUAAUAGAAUAACACUUUUUUCUAAAAAAAAAAGCACAAACACAAUAAUGAAUUAGUGAUUGUAUUUGUACCAAAAGUGAAAACUUAACUAUUUUAGUUGUAUUUAUUUCAUCAUGUUGGAUUGUAUUCAAAUAAUUUUUGUUUGAUUGUUUUUAUGAGUUUCAAUUGUAAAAUUAAAAUGAAUAAUAACUUGAUGAUGUGUUGAUAUUUUAGUACUUGAUUAUUUAUUGAUUUAACUAUAAUAAAAUUUUAUUUUAUUAAAAUUUAACUAUAAUAAAAUUUUAUUAACCAAACGAGUUAUUAAUCCCGCGGGGGCACCCACGGGGGAAGCGGGGCGGGGCGGGGGAGUGGGAGGCGGGGGACGGGGCGGGGGUGGGGGGAGUUGUAGGUAGCGGGGCGGGGGAUGGGGGAGGGGUCCCCCGCCCCAACCCCGCCAUCCCCCGCCCCGUUGCCAUCCCUAGUAAUAGACUGGCAAGCAUUGUGGUGGUCAUUGAGAACUUACUGGAGAAAUAGUCCUAUAAGCUGUUCAAUGAGCAAUCACAACUUGCUAAUUGGAUGACUAAUAUAGCUCUAGCUGUAAUGUUUUAAUUAAAUUACAUCACUAACGUUGGGAUGACUUUUUAACCAAAAAAAAAUGCCUUAGUUCAAGCUUUUCCCUUUAUUGUGCAUUUUUUAAAGCAUUUGAUAGGCACUGCAAAUCUGUCAUUUUGGACAUUUUAUUAUUGACUAACAAUGAAAGCCGUGACGUCUACCCAUAACCAACACAAGAUUAAAUUAAUAUUAGAAAAAAUAAUUGAGUAAUUGGAAAAAAAAAAAGAGACUCAUUUUCAUUGAAACCCACCGACAAACUAAACGUGUCCAUGGCUUUUGAAUAGUGCAUUCAACGUUUAAUUGUAUAGUCCAGUUCAUUGCAGAUUACAUGGAGUAAAGAUUGUGCUCUUUCCUUUUUCACCCCUUUUGGAAUCGAUACUGUGGAGAAUUGGGUUUUUCCCUUCUUUUUUUCUUUUCUUUCCUUCUGUGCUUUGCAAAACAUAGGUAAAAAUAUGAAAUCCGAAGCAUUCUUUAAUUGGGAUUAAGUAUUGUUGUUGAAAUUAAAAAGAAAAAAGAAAGAACAACAAAAUUCCCAAUCUGGGUUGAUUGUUGAGCUCUAGAUUGGUUGCAUCGUGCUUCCAUAGAAGCUCUCUUAGUGUGAUACACUGCUUUCAAUCAGUUUAACACGGGAAAAAAAAAAAAAGAGAUGAAAAGCAAAUUUGGUGGGGAUAAUUUCAGAAACCUCCCCUGAAGAUUUUGACUAUUCUACUGGUCUCCCUUCAGAUUUUAAAAAUUACACUAAUCUUCCUUGAAGUUAAUUAUCUUGUAACAUUUAAAUUCAAUCAAUAAUUUAAAAAAUGAUAUUAUGAGAGAGAAAAUAAUGAUUUUAUCAUUGCCCCCCAUCUUACUACAUUAUUUAAUUAAUUUAAUAGCAACCCACACAUUAAAGAAAAAUAUUAAAAUUUGUUGUUUAUCAUUAAAGAUCAAAUCGCUUAUAACAUCAAAUAAUAGUAUAUUAUUUAUAUUUUUCACUCAAUAUAAUAUCCAAAUUACUCUUUUCAAUUACAUACCCAUUGUUAGACAAUCAACAACAAAUAACCAAAAAAUUUGCAACCAAAAUAUUACAAAAAAAUAAACUUUAACAUAUAAAUAUUCUUAUCAACAUAUUAAAGUUAGUUACUGAAAUUUUUAUGCUGUUAAACUUCACUCUUUUUGGUUACAGAUUUUUUUGAUUAUUUGUUAUUAAUUAUGUUUGAUGAUGGAUUUAUAAUUGAAAAGAACAAUUUGAAACUUACAUUAAGUAAAAUAUAUAGAGUGAUAUACUAUUUUUUAUAACAUAUGUGAUUCAAUCCUUCUUGAUAGGAUUGGUAAUAGAGGUAGAGGGGGGAGCCGGCUGCAUCCGGUCUACUUUUCAUAGAUAGUACAAUAUUGCGAAAUCGAUCGCAUUCACGCAAUAUUAUUUCCAAGUCAUUGCAUGGCUAAGCUGCAAAAAAAGUACGAACACAUGUUAUUAUAUAGCUUACGAUUCAAAACUUUAGAGCAUAACCCUCCACCUAACACAAUUGAAUAAUGAACAUUCACGUUUGUCAAAUCUGUCAAAGCACAGUUUGAGGACAACCCAUUCCAACCUGCAAAAGAUUUUUUACUUUUCUAAAGUUGUUGAGAGCUGUAAAAAGACUUACCAUGCUUGCAUCCUCCGAGCCUUGGGAGUUAAAAAUGAAGGCACUGAGUGCUAUAAAAAGGGGAAUAGAGGCUGCCUAGAAGCAUAUCAGCCUAAAACAAGAAUUUGUAGUUAAGAUGGGAAGCAAAGCAAAAGCAAUGGGGUCUGGGCUGACUCCUCUUCUUGCCACUGUUUUAGUGGUGUUUGUUGCUCUUGGCUUGCCCUCACAAACUGCAGCUGAUGAUCACUACAAGUAUUCAUCUCCUCCUCCUCCUUACCACUAUCCCUCACCACCACCACCAGUGCAUAUACCUCCACCUCAUCCUGUUUACAAGUACAAAUCUCCACCACACCCCCAGUACAAGUAUAAGUCACCACCACCACCUCCUCAUCCGGUAUACAGUCUCCUCCGCCACCACACACCCAGUUUACAAGUACAAGUCACCACCACCACCUCCUCAUCCGGUACCACACCCAGUUUACAAGUAUAAGUCUCCUCCGCCACCAGUUUACAAAUACAAGUCUCCUCCACCACCACCUCCAGUGUACAAAUACAAGUCUCCACCACCACCAGUUUACCACUACAAGUCUCCACCACAGUUUACAAAUACAAGUCUCCACCACCACCCCCAGUUUACAAAUACAAGUCUCCACCACCACCAGUUUACCACUACAAGUCACCACCACCUCCUCCCCCAGUUUACAAAUACAAGUCUCCACCACCUCCUCACCACUACUAAGCAAUUGCUUCUGAGGUAAUAACACUUGUUCAAUAUACCCACUUCUGCAUGAUAAAGCAUAUCUCUAUCAACACAAACUGUCAUGUCUAUCAUGCUAAGUGCCUUCACUUCAUCCACCAAAAUGACUGCUAGAAAAUUUUUUUUAUGUUACCAAAGAAAGGCAUCAUUUUUUCCCUCUGUUAUCAAGAACUUGUACAGUAUAUAGAUUAAAGAGUAUUUUUUUAACUAGCUUAUCAACUGAGAAAUGCAUAUAGCUGAUAGCCAGCUGAAUAUUUGCAGGCAAAGGAGAAGGAAACCAGUGUUUGAGACCUUCUUGAAGAUGUAGAAGCAUAAGAAUUAAAGCCCAAUGUGAAGAUGAUGAUUUCAAGUUUUUCUACGUUACCAUUUCUUUAUCUAAAUUGGUUGUAGCGCCUUAGUUCCUUUGUUUAUGGGAUUUGUAUCGUUUUACGUACCAUGCAGUACAUGUCAUGUUUGUAAGGUUUUCUAUCCUGCCGGCAAACCGCAGGUUCCAUGUAAUAAAUCAAUACUAUUUAUAUUACGACACUUUUCUCUGUUUCUCUUAUAUUUUGUCGUCUUUAAUAUUCUUAAUCAUAUUUUUAACAAAAAUAUUCAAACACUUAGGCAAUCUGGUCUAAUGCUAAUUGUAUGUUUUACUUUUCUUUUUCACCUGCUCCCCUUUUCAACUCAAAAGGAUGCAAUAGUUUGUGAUCACUGUUUAAGACGGAAGCAUGAUACUAAUGAAUAUCUCAUUGAAACUCAAGGAAACUAACAUUGCGAAAAGUGUAAAUCUUGAUUUGAUGCAACUAUUUAUUCGUGGAAUCUAUAGUUACAAAACUCAAAUUCUGACUGCGCCAUUGAUAAAUUAUUAAUGACGCUAUCAUCAUUAUUUAUCCCUAACUAGUUUCGACUACAACUGAACCCAAUAUUUUCCCCAUGAUAAAAGUUUUUGACUAUUUUACUGGCCUCUCUUCAAAUUUUAAAAAUUACACUAAUCUUCAUUGAGAUUAAUUAUCUUGUAACAUUUAAGUCCAAUUAAUAAUUAAAAAAUGAUAUUAUGAGAGAGAAAAUAAUAUAAUUUUAUCAUUGCCCCCCAUCUUGCUAUAUUAUUUAAUUAAUUUAAUAGCAACCCACACAUUAAAGAAAAAUACUAAAAUUUGCUGCUUUUCAUUAAAGAUCAAAUUGCAUAUGCCAUAAAACAUAGUAUAUCAUUCUAUAUGUUUCACUUAAUGUAAGAUCCCAAUUGUUCUUUUCAAUUACAAACCCAUUGUCAAUAACAAAUAACCAAAAAAUUUGCAACCAAAAUAUUACAAAAAAAAACUUCAACAUCAUAAAUAUUCUUACCACCUCUAGUGCAUUCACCCUCAUAAAAUAAUUCAAGACCCUACUGUCAUAAAAUGACUGAUCAACUCCCGUAAACCUAAUUUGACAACAUUUAAAUGGAGAACUUUAGCUAAAAGAAUUAUGGUCAAGCUAAAGAAAAAACCAGUUAUUUUCCAACAUAUGCAAUCAUUGAUCAGGGAAAAAAAAAAGAGCAAAAAGACAUCUUCAAUCAUUUAAUAGCUUACAGGGCAAAUUAACCCCUAAGCGAAAACUGGUUGCUCUAGAAUCAAAAUUUUACUUUAGUUACCCAGGCAACUUUUUUGUUGCUUUUUUUUUUUUUUUCCUUUAGUUUUGCCCCCUCUGUCAAGCUUAUAAAAUUAUUAAGAUAAUAAAAGUGCCUUGAAUAGUAUUAAUAUAUCCAUUGACUUGAGCUGUCGUCAGUUUGCGAUUCCAUGAGGCCUUUUCAAAGUACUCAGAAAAUGGGGAGUCAUGAAAUCCAUUUGUUCUAUUCAUUGCUAAGAUGCUUUUCUCUAUAAAGAGACUUCCUAACGAAAAUACUUUGUAGAUUUCUUUACUCCAAGUGGUGCAUGGAAAAUUAAUAUUUUCAAUUAUCAAAUAAAAUUCCCUUUUUUCGGCGUAGAUUUCAUCCAUCCAGCUGUUAACACAUUCUAUAAAUCCGAAUUGACUAAUCUUUUCGUUUCCAUUUUCCAACUUGCGAAUACGGCAUAUAGUGUCUGCUAAACACUAUAUAUUCUCUGCCAAAUAUGAAUACAUAUCACUUUUCUGAGCAAGUGCAGAGUCAUUAUCAUUUUUAUUCCCACCUAACAAAUUAGGGAUAAAAAAGUUAAUAAUCUUUACAUGCUAUCAGGUCACAAGUUAAUAAUCUUUUAAAGAACAUGUUAAAUUAAUUUAUUGGUAUGAAUAGUAGUCAAAGAAGUAUGUUAAAGUUAGUAAUCUUUAAAAUAAUAUGUUAAAAUCAUUCGUACAAAUUAGUCAGAGAAGUAGCAUAAACACCGCGAUGCAAUUAAUACUUUCAAUCUCAAGGUCUCUAUUAUGGAAAUUUGCAUCGGUCAAUAUACACUUGGCAUAAUAUAAUCUCCCAACUCAUUUCUUUACAAAUGCACCUUUAAUCACCACCAAAAGGUGUGGACAUGAUCUUUACCCUAGAAAACUAUUCACCGACAGGCAAAUUGACGUCAGAAAUACUGAGGAAUUCUAGUUUCCUUCGGGUUCAUGCCAUGUUGUAUCCUUCAACUGUAACUCGAUUUCUAAGCUGUAAUUUGUGACAUAAUAGUCCUUAAACUAUGAAACCCUUCUUACUUAAUUACAAUGGUUAAUACAAUGCCCGUGACUAGACAAGUAUGAAGCAACCAUAACAGAAAAAAAAUCCAAAAUUAGAGAAAAGAAAGAAGUUUCGCGACCACCACCAGUUUACAAGUCACCUCCACCACCUCCUCCAGUUUACAAGUCACCUCCACCACCUUACCAUUAUUCCUCACCACCACCUCCAGUGCAUUCACCCCCACCACCACCAGUUUACAAGUCUCCGCCACCACCUUACCAUUAUUCCUCACCACCACCUCCUGUGCAUGCACCUCCACCACCAAUUUACAAGUCACCUCCUCCAGUUUACAAGUCUCCACCACCACCUUACGAUUAUUCCUCACCACCACCUCCAGUGCAUUCACCCCCACCACCACCAAUUUAUAAGUCUCCCCCACCGCCUCCCCCAGUAUAUAAGUCACCACCACCACCUCCUCCAGUAUACAAAUCACCUCCACCACCUCCUCCAGUUGACAAAUCUCCACCACCACCAAUUUAUAAAUACAAGUCUCCUCCACUACCUCCUCCAGUGUACAAGUCAUCACCACCACCUGCUUACAAGUCUCCACCUCCUCCAGUUUACAGUUCCCCACCACCACCAAUCUACAAGUCUCCACCUCCACCCUACCAUUACUACUACAAUUCUCCUCCUCCUCCUCGUCACUACUAAGCAAUUGUAUCCAAGUUUUUGAGGUAAUAACGCUUAACCAAUAAAUUAACUUUCGCAUGAUAAACCUUAUCUCUAUCAAGACAAACUGCCAUGUGUAUCAUGCCAAAUACGUACACCUAGAUCCAUGAAAAUGAAUGGUGAGGAGGGCCAUUUAGGCUCGGAGCGCCCUAGGCCUAGUUCCCCACCAUUUCCUGAAGUGCCGCCUCGGGUAUUAUCCUGGAAGGCGAUCGCGGCCCAUUUACCACCUCGGCUACAAUGUCAGGUCGUAACACCGAGGUGGACAUUGAAUGACAACUACGAAAAGGGGAGAUGUGAUCUCUGACACCUGAGCAAAGGCUGCUCUGACCCGCCGCCUGAAUCUGACAGAAUGUCCCAUCACGUCUCUUCAUGGAGACCGGUCAAGUCCACCUGAUCCACUGACUAUCUCAGAUCUUUUGGGACCCGUGCAAACAUCUCCUCUCUCCUAUCAGUCCCCUAUAAAUACACGAUACUUCUACUGAAAAAGGAGAUGACCAAUUUCUGGUAAAACACACUCCACUCAUUAUUUACUUCUCUAUAUCCGAACUGACUUAAGCUUCGGAGUUAUACCGGGGGAUCCAGCCCCUUUCUUAUCCAAGCAGGUGACUUCGUCCAAGAGAGUUGCCCAAGGUAAAGAUAUUCUUCCAAUUGAGGUGACUCACUCCUGCGGGUCGAAAAUCACCUCUUCAAUUGGCGCCGUCUGUGGGAACCGCAAAGAUAUUAGAAGAUGAAGCCUGCGCGUUCUAGAAGCAGAAAAGCUCUCACUAUCGAGGCUGGGCAAAGCAAUGCAGCUCAACAAGAAAAUAUUUCUGAAGGGCAGGAGUCCCCAAGGACUCAGCCCGCAAACGAAAAAGCCAUAACCCGUAUGGCCGAGUUUGUGACCGAGAACCCCAACAUCUUUGAAGAGUUGGGAAGAUACCUGAAGAGGCAAGGCAAACAAAAGGCCGAGUCCUCUAAAAGGAUGUCAGAUGGGUCUCUUGAGGACUCAUCUGAGGAGGAGUCGGAUGGAAGGCACUUAAGCCGAAGUGCCUCAAAGCGAGCAUUUUCUAAGGCCACUUCUAAGGUAGCCUCCCUGACCAAGGCGUUUUCCCGAGGGCUCUUGGGCCGACGACCCGAGGAAGAACCUCGGCCCUUGGGAAUACCCGGGGUGGACUGCAUGAGGGCUCCACCGUUCACGGAUGAUAUAAACGAGGAAAGGCUUCCUCCCAAUUUUAAGCUCCCCGCAGUACAAUCUUACGAUGGCCGAGGUGAUCCCGAGAAUCACAUCCAUACCUUCAUCUCGGCCUUCCAAAUAUACUGCAUCCCAGACCCUGUCAUAUGUCGGGCCUUUCCAGUAUUCCUCAGAGGAACUGCUCGAAAAUGGUUCUGAGCUCUAGAACCUAGGAGCAUUUCGACCCUGGGUGAAUUAGUGGAGAAGUUUCUCCACCGAUUUGUCUCCUCCCGACCUACGACUAGGACCUCGGCUUACCUGCUCACCGUGCAGCAGAACCCGGGAGAGUCACUCCGGUCGUACGUCCGGAGGUUCCAUGAGGAAAGCGUUCAGAUACCUGACCCCAAUGAGCAGGUAACCCUCGCUGCCUUUACCCAUGGACUCGUUGCCGGGGAGUUCAAUACGGGGAUCCAUAAAAAAUACCCCCGCACACUGCAUGAAUUGUGGUUGAAGGUUGAAAAGGGCAUACAGGCCGAAGACCUCCAUCGCAUGAAGAAAGAGGUCCAAGCCACCCGUCCAAGGGCUGAGCCCAGAAAGGGAAAAGACGCUGGCCGAACUGAAGUAGGGUCGGGAAGUGGCUUCCGAAGUCCUGGCCGAGACCGCCGCAGCGUGUUCGACAGGAUAUCCAAGGGGAAGUCACCUAUUCCCGAGUCCGAGUUGACUCCUUUAAAUACUACCCGAUCUCACGUGUUGUCCGUGAUGGAACAAAACAACCUCGGCAAGGGCCCGCCGAGGAUGUUUGGAAGCAGAGACAAGAGGAACUCGAACCUCUACUGCUUGUAUCAUCGUGACAUUGGUCACGAAACUGAGGAUUGCAACGAUCUCAAGAAGGAGAUCGAGAACCUCAUUAGACGGGGACACUUGAAACAGUUCAUCCGCAGAGGUGGAGGUCACCAACGUGACGAAAACCGGCAUGACAAAUGAGGUGACCAACGCCGAGAUGAGCGGCGGAGCUCCAGAAGCAGUUGCCGACCUCCUGAGGAUCCCAGGGAGACGAAAAGGCCUCCCCCAGACGGAUCUUCGGGACAUGGGCCAACCAUUGCCCGGGUCAUUAACACCAUUGCCGGAGGUCCGACGGGAGGGGACAGUCAGAACUCCCGGAAGAGAACCUAUAAGCAGGCUAACCCGGAUCAGGCCGAGUCGAGUUCUCGCCUGUCCGAGGUGAUCACCUACGGGCUCAGUGAUCCCAUCCCAGCUGCAUCCAGCAGUCAUGAAACCUUGGUGAUUGAAGUCCUCACCAAUAACUACAUUGUGAAAAGGUCUACAUAGACCCGGGAAGUUCAGUUGACGUCAUGUACCUCCGUACCUUUGAGAGCCUUAAAAUGGCUAAGGGGUGCAUGACCCCGCUGAGAACCCCUCUUGUAGGGUUCGGGGGACACGUGGUGCACCCCGAAGGGAUGGUGACUCUGACAGUGACCAUAGGGCAUCACUCUCGCUGUAGAACCGUCCCUGUCAAUUUUGUGGUGGUUAAGGCUGACUCCCCAUACAACCUACUUUUAGGUCGGCCUACGCUCAAUGCCUUGCGGGCGGUCUACUCCACCUACCACCUGAGCUUCAAGUUUCCUACCCCAGCAGGGGUGGCCGAGGUCAGCAGCGACGUCUGUGCUGUCCGGGAGUGCUACCUCGCCACCCUACAAGCAGCCUCCCCGUCUACCUCCGGUGCGAGGUCCGAGAAGAGGUCAAAUAUCCUCUCAAUAGAUAGCAUCGAUCCUCAGUGAGCUGAGAAGGUCCCGAGGCUGGAGACUGGGGAUGAGGUGGAAGAGAUUCCCCUGGACCCCACGAAACCUGAUCAGACAGUUCGCGUUGGUACCCGAUUGCCCGGUCCUAUCCGAAGAGGUAUGAUGGACCUCCUCAGGGAAUACCGGGACGUCUUUGCUUGGGCCGCCGAAGAGGUCCAAGGAGUCCCGCACCAUCUCAUGAUGCAUGACUGAACGUCGACCCCCAAGUCCGUCCGGUCAAACAGAAGAGAAGGCACAUCGGCCCUGAGCGCAGCCAAGCUGUUGGUGAGGAAGUGGACAAGCUUUUACCCGCUAAAAUAAUCCGAAAAGUCCAAUACCCGAUCUGGUUGUCUAACUCGGUCAUGGUCAAGAAGGAUACGGGGGCUUGGAGAAUGUGCGUCGAUUUUACCGACCUCAACAAAGCCUGCUCCAAGGAUUGCUACCCCUUGCCCAAAGUCGAUACUUUGGUAGACUCAGCAAUGGGCUACGAGAUCCUCUGUUUCUGGGAUGCAUUCAAAGGCUAUCACCAAAUUGGGAUGAGUCAAGAAAACCAGGAGAAAACGGCCUUCUACACCGACCGCGGCACGUACUGUUAUACUACCAUGCCAUUCGGGUUGAAGAAUGCCGGAGCCACUUAUCAACGCUUGGUCAACCAAGCAUUCAAGUCUCAAAUCGGCCGGAAUGUUGAGGCCUAUGUAGAUGACAUCCUCCUCAAAAGCCAGACGAACUCCACCUUCCUGGCCGACUUGAAGGAGGUCCUUGACAUCCUGCGGAAGGUGAAAAUGAUGCUGAACCCCAAGAAAUGUGUUUUUGGGGUCACCUCGGGGAAAUUUCUAGGUUACCUCGUCUCAAGGCGAGGUAUCGAAGCAAAUCCGGAUAAGGUGCGAGCCAUCCAGGAGAUGUCUCCACCCCGGUGCGUCCGCGAUGUCCAAAGGCUGACAGGGCGAUUAGCCGCCCUGAAUCGGUUCUUAUCGCAGUCGGCAGCUAAAGCACUGCCCUUUUUCAAAGUGUUGAAGAAAGCUGACCAUUUCUCCUGGACGGAAGAGUGUCAACAGGCGUUUGAGCAGUUGAAGGAUUACCUUCACUACCUUCCAACGCUCACCUCACCUCGUCCGGGGGACAAAUUAAUCUUAUACCUUUCUGCUGCGGCCGAAGCGGUGAGUGCCGUGCUGAUAAGGAAGGAAGGGGUCCAAAUGCCCGUCUACUACGUUAGCCGAGUCCUCCGAGGUCCAGAGACCAGGUACACACAAGCAGAGAAACUUGUGCUAGCCCUGAUCCACGCCGCCCGCAGACUCAAGCCCUACUUCCUAGCUCACCACGUCUGCUUGAGGACUGAUCAACCACUUCGGCAGAUUUUGACACGACCAGAGGUUUCGGGACGUCUUACCAAAUGGGCCAUUGAGCUGGGGGAGUACGACCUAACUUAUGAGCCUCGCACAGCGAUCAAGGCCCAGGCUCUCGCAGACUUCGUAGCCGAGCUCACCUUUGACGAGGUGCAAGGAUCCGUCCCGGCUGCCACAUCGGCCACAGUUGAUGUGGCCACCACUGGGCUCCAGCGGUGGAUCCUACACGUGGACGGUUCGUCAACAGUGAGGGUAGUGGAGCAGGCUUGCUCCUCGAAGACCCCCAAGGAGAAAUAUGCUAAUAUGCCUUAAGAUUUGACUUCGCUGCUUCAAACAAUGAAGCUGAAUACGAAGCCGUCAUUGCUGGACUGCAGCUAGCUCGCAAGCUCGGGGCCGCACACAUCUUGGUUUAUAGUGAUUCCCAACUCGUCGUGUGCCAGAUAUUAGGUGAGUACGAAGCCAGGGACGAGGUGAUGCAUCGUUACCUCUCCAAGGUCCUCCAGUUGGCGACUCACUUCGAGUCUUUUGAAAUUCAAAGAAUACCGCUAUCGAAAAACAGAAGGGCUGACGCCCUCUCCCGGCUUGCCUCAACCUCUUUCUCUGACCUGAACAAGACGGUUCUCGUUGAAGUUCUAGCCGAACCAGGAUAUGUAGCCGAGGUAGUAUACCCCGUCUACCCUGGGGACACCUGGAUGGGUCCCCUGACUCGAUUUUUCAGCCAGGGUGAGCUCCCCGAAGACCGAGCUGAGUCACGGAAGCUCCAACGAAAAGCAGCACGGUACAUUCUCCGACAAGGCCUUUUAUACAAAAGGUCUUACCUCGGCCCUUAGUUGCGAUGUAUCACGCCCGAGGAAGGCCAGAGAAUCCUCCAAGACAUACAUGAGGGGCUCUGUGGUGCUCACGUCGGCUACAGAAUGCUGGUAAAAAAGGCUUUGUUACUUGGGUAUUUUUGGCCCACUAUGAGGAUAGAUGCCCAGGUCAUGGUCCUUUGCUGCCCCUCCUGCCAGCAUCACGCUCCUGAGCACCACCAGCCGACCAAUUUAAUGAUCCCUAUCACCUCGUCAUGGCCAUUUGAGCAAUGGGGAACGGACAUAAUUGGCCCCUUUCCCAGAGCUCCAGGCAAUUAUACCUACGUGGUGGUAGCAGUGGACUACUUCACCAAAUGGGUCGAAGCUGAACCCCUAAAAAAUAUCACUGGUGCGGCAGUCCAGAAAUUCUUCUGGAAGAAUGUGGUUUGCCGCUUCGGCCUACCCCGGGUGAUCAUCUCGGAUAAUGGCCGACAGUUCGCCGAUAAUCCUUUCAAGGCCUGGUGUGAGAACCUCGGGGUCAAACAGCAUUUCACUUCGGUGGGACACCCCCAAGCCAACGGACAAGCCGAAAACUUCAAUCGCACGCUCCUCCAUGGCCUCAAGACCAGGCUCCACCAGGCUGGAUCGUUUUGGAUGGAAGAGCUCCCCAGUGUGCUGUGGUCCUACCGAACUACGCCGAGAUCAGCAACCCAGGAAACCCCGUUUUCCUUAACCUACGGGUCAGAAGCUGUUGUUCCAGCCGAAUUCAUCACCCCGAGUCCACGAAUGGCCGCAUAUGCUGCCGAAGUCAAUGAAGAAGAACGGCGAGUUGACCUCGACCUCGUCGAAGAGAAGCGUGAUAUGGCCGCGGCCAAAGUUGCUGUUUACAAAAAUAUCGUAGCUGGCUACUACAACGCUCGGGUUAAACAUUUGCGGUUCAGUCCGGGAGACCUGGUGCUCAGGAAGAACUCAGUCAGCCGGGCUGAACCUCAGGGUAAACUAACCCCCAAGUGGGAGGGACCAUACCGUGUUGUUGAGUCCAGCCAAAAUGGAUAUUGUAAAUUGGCAUACCGAGAUGGGUCUCUGAGUGCCCCGAACUUGGCAUGCUGAAAAUCUUAAGUUGUACUACCCUUGAGGGUAUGUGCUUUUAAUCUUGAGUUAUUUCACACUUAUUUUCAUUUCAUUAUAAGUGAAAAAUAAGGGGACAAAGUAGCAGUAAAGAGGAAAACCGAAUUUAAUUAAAAAGAAAGCAAGAAUAUGAACUCAAUUCCAUUGAAUUACAUAAAAGUAGAAAGCCGAGGUCACCUUUAAUUAGGAAGAAAGCAAGAAUAUAAACUCAAUUCCAUUGAAUUACAUAAAAGUAGAAAGCCGAGGUCACCUUUGACCUCGGCCUACAAUGACAAAAAAAAAAACAAGUGCCUCUAGGCACUCCCUACCCUGACAUCCUGGCCCCCCGUGGUCGCGCCACCCGUUUCGGCACCCUGUCCACCCUCAGCUCCUCCACCGGCCUGGUCGUCUUCAGUACCAUCUAGUUCAAACUCCUGGAGCCAUUUGUUGAAUUCGGCUCGGACUUCGGUUAGGUCUUUCUCAGUCCGGAUGCCCUCAGCCAUGCUGUCGCAUAGCUCCUUGGCAUCCUCGUUAUAGUGCGAAGUGCUCUGAAGGGACUCCAGUUGUUCAGAGGGAAGAAAGGAUGCCGCGUCAUUAAUAGCCGACGUGUACCCGAACAUGAAGCUUGGCCGGGUGAGCUCGCCGAGGUCACGGAUGAAGGACUCUGACGUCCGGAAGGCUUCCACAGCAGUGACCCCGGCCUUGUCCAUGGCCUCCCUGUUUGACUGUUCUUCUUGGGCCCUCCUUUUUUUCUCCUCAUCAAGAGCAGUCACCAGGGAAUUGUUCGCGACCUCGGCCCUUUUGUUAGCCGCCUUGGCCUUGUCACGCUCCAACUCGGUUGCCUUCAGUUUUUCUUCCAACUCGGCAAUUCUCUUCUGGAGCUCGGCAGGAGGCUCAUAGUUUUCCAUGAACUUUCCAUACCGUUGAAUCAUCUCGACAAAAAAAGCCGUGGUAGAGGCCCAUGACACCGAGGCGCUCUGCAUCAACUCCCCUGCGGAGAGCUUCCUAGCAUAAGUGCUAUCUCGUGGCAGCACUGAAUGCACCAAGAGCUCCUGAGCGACCAAAGGGUUCUUGCAGCGAUCGUUGAAAUUAAUCUCCCACUCUGGACACCAGUGUGAUCCGGGGUGUCUCUUGUCCUCCUCAGCUGCCUUGAAAGGCACAUGAUGGAGUUUGAACAAAGAUGACCCCGUGACGGGGUUCUCCGGAAAUAUGGUCACACCCUGACCCCGGGGGGGAGUGGCAAUCGUGACCCAGCGAGAAGGGAUUCCCACCGGAAUUGCCGAGGCUCGGGAACCUCCCGGAGUGGCCGAGGUGUGCGAGCCCUCGCCCACGAUCACCACGGCAGGCUCGCGGUCGCCCGACGCCGCGGUGGUUUUCUUAGCCGGCCUGGAAGAGGACCCUGCAGUGUCCUUGCGCUUUUUGGGAGCUCUUUUGACCACCUCGACAUCUCCCGAGGUUAUCAGGUCGAAAAUCUUCGUCACUGCAAAGUAGGAGACGAAGUCAGUUAGAAUUCAAGAGGGAUAAACUAAAAGGGAAGAAAUGGAAAAAUACAAAGUCUGUGAAGCCUAGUCGAGAGUAAGACAGGCUGGUCAGAGCUCGUCAAGGCUCAACUGAUCCCGCCUUCCACGAGCACCACUUCGGGAAAAUCCCAGCAGUUUAUCCUGAGGCCCGACCCCGUUAACUUCUGGAAGUUACGCUCUUCUAACUUCCCUGGAGAUAUCUCCUUGAUCGAGGUGGGAGGCCUCCACCAGAAUCCGCGAGGGAAGUCAUCGGCCGAGACGAAGAAGAAGUUUUGCUUCCACUCCUUUAUUGAGUUCGGAGCAUCAACCACCAACUUCGGAACUUUGUUUCCGAAGUAGAACCAUCCUUUUUCACUUCUGCUGUUCUUGAGUGAGUAACAGCGGCGAAAGAGGUUGACCUAAGGUUGUAUCUCCUGAUGUCGGCAAAGUAGCUGGAAGCCAACGAGAAUGCGAAUAGCGUUAGGGGUGAGUUGAGUGAUUCUCACCCCCCAGUACCUCAGGCAGUCCCGAAGAAACCUCGUCGUGGGCACUCUGAGUCCGGCCUCCAGCUGUUCCUGAUAGAUAGUCACCUUGCCCUUUGGUGGCAGUGCGGCUGACUGAUGCGGUUGGGGUAUGUAAAUACUAUAAUCCCUUCUCCAGGGAUACCUGCGGACCACCUCGGCUAUUGAGGCUUGUCCCAUACCACUACUGAAGAACGGCAUCUGGCCGUAGUCGAGAGUUGCCACGUUUGGAGGAGUGGAAGGUUCUUGUACUCCCUCGUCUCUAGGGAUCUCAAUCCCGAGGUCAUCGUUGUAUAGGACCUCGGGCUGGACCUCGAUCUCCUCGGGCUGCACCUCAACCGCCUCAGCUCGGCGUGAUGCCUCGGCACCUCCACCCUCAGCUUGGUGAGAUGCCUCAGCACCUCCGCCCUCGGACGCGGUCCUUUCCUGGGAGGGGUCAGGCCUCUCUGCCUCAGUGAGGUCAGGUCUCACUGUCUCUUUGUGCGUACGAGCUGUUCUAGCCAUUGUAUCAGAAGGGGAAGAAGUGAACUUACUUAGAAUCUGCGACUGGAAGAAGAUGCCGAAGUAGACGUGGUUUAGAAAGGUUGCCGAAGUGAAAAGAGAAAGAAACAGAGUUCUGGGGUGAUUCUUGAUUUUUGGUGAAGAGUAAAACGGUGAAAAAAGACCACUAUUUAUAGGCCACCAGGGUGAAACCCAAGAGACGGCACCCUCUCUCUUCAUUAAUGGGAGGACUGUUCGUCUGCCAACACAGCUGACAGCCGUCCCUUCAGUUAUCACUCAGUCCCAUCUAUGCGGUCAUGACGUGUCCGUGUUCCGUGUUUUAUACGCUUCUCAGCUUCGGGAAGUAACGACCACGGCGGAUGCCCAUCUCGCCCUUCUCAAAGCUUGGGGGGCUUAGUGAGGAGGGCCAUUUAGGCUCGGAGCGCCCGAGGCCUAGUUCCCCAUCAUUUCCUGAAGUGCCGCCUCGGGUAUUAUCCUGGAAGGCGAUCGCGGCCCAUUUACCACCUCGGCUACAAUGUCAAGUCGUAACACCGAGGUGGACAUUGAAUGACAACUACGAAAAGGGGAGAUGUGAUCUCUGACACCUGAGCAAAGGCUGCUCUGACCCGCCGCCUGAAUCUGACAGAAUGUCCCAUCACGUCUCUUCAUGGAGACCGGUCAAGUCCACCUGAUCCACUGACUAUCUCAGAUCUUUUGGGACCCGUGCAAACAUCUCCUCUCUCCUAUCGGUCCCCUAUAAAUACACAAUAUUUCUACUGAAAAAGGGGAUGACCAAUUUCUGGUAAAACACACUCCACUCAUUACUUACUUCUCUAUAUCCGAACUGACUUAAGUUUCGGAGUUAUACCGGGGGAUCCAGCCCCUUUUCUUAUUCAAGCAGGUGACUUCGUCCAAGAGAGUUGCCCAAGGUAAAGAUAUUCUUCGAAUUGAGGUGACUCACUCCUGCGGGUCGAAAAUCACCUCUUCAAAUGGUAGAAAGUUUUCUUAAGAACCAAGAACAGCAUUAGUAUUCCCUCUGCUUCCAAAAACUUGUGUAUUAAAUAGAUUAAUGAAUUGUUUAACAUGCUCAUCUACUUGAAAAUGCACAAUACCCAUAACCCACUGAAAUUUUUGCAGGAAAAGGGAAAGAGAAUCUGUGUUUGAGAGCUUCAUGAAGAUGUUGAAGAAUAAGAAUAAAAGCCCAAUGCGAGGAUGUUUUCAAGUUUUUCUAUGUCCACUUUAAUUUGUAAAUUGAAUUUUACAACUCAAUUAAUUCCUUGUUUGUGAGGUACGUAUUGUUUUACGUACCAUGCCGUACAUGUUUGUAAGGAUUUCUAUCCUAUUGGCAAAAGUCGGUUCCAUACAAUUAAUCAAUUCAUUUCACUUCUAUUGGCUCUACUAUUUAUGCAUGUUACGACACUCUUUCCCUUAUAUUUUGCCUUUAAUAUUAUGAGUCAAUAGUAAUAAUGGGCCUUUUUCUUAAAAUUAUACUAUUAUACAUAGGUAGUUUGGUCUAACGCUAAAUUCAUGUUUGUCUUUCUUUUAUUCCCUUUACAUCUCAAAGUAUACUAUAGUUUGUAAUCAUUGUGGUGAUGAUAUUACCAGCUGGUACUUAUAGUUUAAGGCAGAGACAUGAUAUUAACAACUAUCUCAUUGAAACAUAAGUCAAAAUCAUGACAAGUGUGAGUCUUGGUUAAUGCACAAUUUGUUAGUGGAAUUUAUAUUUAUAAAACUCAAAAAAAAUUUUUGACAAUGCUAUUACUAAUUAAUUAAGGACUUCAUUGCUAUAAUUUAUCGCUUACUAGUUUAAACUAUAAAUGAUCUCAAUACUUUUCUCCAUGAUGUCGAUUUCUUUAGACUACGAAAGGGAAAAAUUAGUGACAUAUCCCUUACUGAUUACAACAUCAGCAAAAAUUAGUUAUAAACUUUUCCGGUGGUUUUAAAUCCCUCGGGCACUAAGGUUUUUUGCACAUCGAGUGAAUUAAGGAACAUAGGCAAUUCGUUCUGCAUACCAAGUCCUUGUUUAAGAUGCACGUACUAAAAUGCAUCCACUUCAUUAAUUUGGAAAAUUGCCAUAGUUUUUUUUAAGCAUUUUGAUUUUUUACAUGAUUCAAAAUUUUCUUAUUGGAUACAAUCACUUUGUGUCAAGAACACAUUUUCAAUCAUCUUUUUUAUCUUCUCAAUAAGAAAAUAAAAAUUUAUUCAUGCUUUUCUAACAUAUCCAAUCAUUGAUCUGAAAAAUAAAGAAUUAAAAAAAAAAGACAUUUUCAAUCAUUGCUUACAGGGCAACUUCCCCAUGUGAACCUCUUCAAACAAAGCCAAUAAUAUGAAGGAACAUCUAAAUACACUUUUGCCCUAAAGGCUGGUUGCCUUGGGGUCAAAAUUUAACCUUCGGGAGUAUAAUUACCCGCCAAAUUUAUUAUUUUUUAUGGGUAUAUAGUUCCAAUUUUGCCUCCUGUUAAGCUUAUAAAUAUAUUACGACCCAGAAAAUAAAGGAAUCUUGAAUAGUAACAUGUCCAUUGACUUGAGUUGUCAUCAAUUUGGCUACUUCGAUUCCAUGAGGCCAAUCCAAUUCACACUAGCUAGAGAAAAUGGUGAUAAAGGCACUUAGAAAUUUAUAUGUAAUAUUGAUUGGUAGUAACUGAUAAGUAUAUAUUUUACGUGUUUUAAAUAUGUUUUAUUAGUUAGUUUUGGUGUGUUUUAACUACUUUUAUAACUAAUUAACUAGGAAUCUAGUGAAAAUAUGCAUUUUGUGGUUUGAAGUGUGAAAAUUGUAUUUCUAUGGAUUUUAAUGGUGAAAACUUCAUGUUUUUGUAGGUUUAAUGAUUCAAUCAUCAAAUGACAUGAUUUGAGAAGAUAAUUAGAUGAUUGAUGAUGUUUUGAAGUGAUAAAAAGAGAAUACAAAGUGCAAGAGAGGAAAUGCAAUCAAGAAUAAAAGAAGAAAAUUUUUGUAGCUUUGACAUAUUGUGGUAUUUUGGCAAUAUAUUGAGCUACAAUGAUUGGAUUAAGGUGAUUCUUAAACCAUUUGAAGCUAAGAUAUAGAUCUACAUUUGGUAUGAAGGCAUCGAAACCCAUGUCAGUCAUUUUCCUUGUCAAAAUGUUGAAAUACAGAAGUGCAACUCUGUUCUCGAAAGCUAAAACAGAGCUCUGGCUAGUCGAGGGUAUUUUCAUCAUUUCUUAGUCCACAGAGCUCCAAAUGAGAUGAUUCUUAAGGCAUUAGAACCCUAACUCAAAGAGCUACAACUUUCAUAUUUUGUACAAGAGUUAGUUCGGCCUCCAUCAUUCAGAAAAUAGUAGUUGAAGUGGUGCCAAAUGCAUAGAAGUGAAAACGCGAGCUAUCAAUACUCGACCUGAAGUCGCGUAUUCCUGAGGUCAUGCAUUCUCUUCUAUUUUCUGCAACUUGCCCUGCUUUCACAUAAUUUUUUCAUCUCAAUUCCAACUAUCAAUUUCGGCUAUAUCUGAUCAAGAAAAGUGUGGAAAGUUUGAAAGACAACUCAUAGGAGUUUCAAGAGUCAAAAAUUACAAUUAGAAACAACUCAUUUGGCUCUUGAAUCCUCUAUAAAUAGAGGCCUUUGAAGAACAUUUUCACAACUUUGGAAGGUUAGAGAAACUCCACAAAAACAUAGUCUUCACUAGAAUUUCCUUAGUUCAUUAGUUAGGGUAGUAUAGUAUAGUUAGUGUAGCUUUUCCUUCUUGUAUUUAUAGUUAGGUUUGAAUGAAGAUUCAGGAGCAAAGAUAGAGAGGUUGAUCUCAUGUGACAAGGGUGAUAUCUCUUCUACUACUUUCUCUUUUGUAUUUGAUUUCAUAUUUAACUAUACUACAAAUUUGGCUUUGUUUUUUUUUUUUAUCAUGUUUAGUUAAAGUUUAUGCCUAGAGUAUGGAUGACCUUUCUAUAUCUUGUUUGUGAUAUUUAACUGGUUAUUUGAUGAUGUUAUUUUUGAGCAAGUUAUUUAUCACUUUUGCUUUUCUAAUCGUGAUUAACUGGCCAUUAGUUGUGAUUAUCUAAAAGUGUUAAGUUUGUAAUGAGAAUUGGAGUUUAACACUAGUUCAAGGAAGUGAUAAAUUUAGGGAGUUCACUCAUGAGAGUAGAGGAACACCUUUGUGACCUAAGUGACUUGUUUCAUAUAAUUUCAUAGAAAAAAUGAACUUGUAAUUAAUUUCAUAACCACGAGAGUAAGUAUGGUUUAGCUAUAUGUAUAGUUGAUUCACUACGAGAGUAGGUUUCACAUACAUUAGAAAAUUACAUCAUAACUAGUCAAGAUAAUAUCAUUCAUUUAAUCAGUAAUCUCAUUUGCAUGAGUAGUAAGGCAUUCCAUAUCUCUAGGAGGUUUUUAGUAUUAUUUUCAUUACUUUUAUGUUUAUGGUAGUCUAGAUAAUAAUGGAGUUCAAAAACUACUAGUAAUUGAAAAUUUUCCCUGUGGGAUCGACCUUUAAUACCCUAUACUCGCUCUCGACUCGUAUACUUGCGAAAAAUCACGUGUGCGGUAUUUAGAAUUUAUAAAUGUAAAACUUGACUGUAGAUGAACUAAUUGAUAUAUGUAUACCCCGCACUCGUCAGUAACCAGCUUGUAUUGAUCCCAUUAUUGUGGAUAAUUGUGCUCUUAUGAAAAAAAAUUAUAAAAAAAUUAGCAAAAUUUAUGAUAACAAAUUAAAUUUAUUCAUACAAAUCAGUGAAAGAAGUAGAAUUUUAAAGACCAUGAUGAAAUUAAUACUUUCAAGGGCUCUAUUAGGAAGACUUCACUUGUUGGUGAAACUACACUAGCACAGUUAUAUGCACAUUUACUGUUUUGGUAUCUAAUUUCCUUGCCUUAAGUUGGGUGCAGAUGUUUAUAUUACAAAUAGAUGGUAUCAUAAAAUUGUUGUAUUCACGUUUGUUCUUUUUUUUUCUUCCUUAAGUUUUUUUCUUUAUUCUCGUGACUUCAAAAAUACGAACUCAAGAAAUUGGCUGCUUAAUCAAUAUGUCAUACAGGCUUCGCUAGUGAGGUAUAACUUCACAACUAGAGUCAAUAGAAAUUAUCAAAUGAUUUUUUAACAUCCAAAUUAAGCAAUAAAUUUUGUUUUCAUUUUAUGACAUAUAAUAGUACUACUUCAUGAGAGAUUUUAUAGUUUCUUUUAGGUAUCAUACCUACAAGUGAUAUUUGUCAUUGGAUAGUGACAGAAGUGUUAAUGAUUGUAAGAUUAAAUAUUGUUAAAUAUUGAAAUUUAAACUAUUUAUCUUUAUUGAAAGAUACAAGUUAAAGAAUCGUUCAAGGGGGCAAUUUUCCAUCUUGUCUUUUUGAAAAAACGCUAUCACAUUGUAUAGGCAUGAUAGGUUCAAAUUUGUCAUUAAAUUUAUGAUUGAUUUCCCUUUUAUUCAAGCCAAAUAUUGUUUUAAUUAUCAAAUUCUACUUAUAUUUGGUUAAUUGUACUAAUUGUAGGGCGGUAGAGCAAAAGUUGCUAAAAAUAGGUGAUUUUCUGCAAAUUGGUUGUCAAGGCUGAAGGAUUUGGGAUUCGCAUGUUCAAGGCCUGUUUCCAAGUUUGAUUCAAACUCUGGACAGUUUUAGAGGAAGAUUUGGAAGAUUUGAAAUUUCAUUAUUAGUUUUAUGGUUGAAUUAGGAAUCUUGGAAUAAUUUCUUUUGUGAUUUAUUUUUCUAUUUAGGAGACUAGUUGUUAUUUAGUAGUAGACUUCAAUUAGAAAACAAAGAGAAAAAGAAGGCCGGAAUCCCGCUUGAUUAAUACCUUGGCCAGGGAACAAUCUCGGUGGGGAGGACGGCCACUUAGCCUCUCAAUUCAUCUUGCUUUUCGUUAGUUUGAGAGGAAAACCAAUUGCAACUAGAUUCAAUGGAGUCUGGCAGAAUUUCUUCUAGGAUGCGUAGCUAAAUCCUCAAUUUUUAGUCGAAGGUCAAUUUGAAAAUUCGGUUCCAAAUAUCUGUGAAAUCGAAUUAUUUUACUUAUUUCUUUUAUUUAUUGGUAUUCGCACGUUUUCUGAUUUAACUUUUUAUGAUUGUUUUGUUAUUUGAAUGUCAAGGGUCCGAUAUUCGAAUUAACUUAAUAAUCUACUGCCAAAUUAACCGGUUAAAUCCGUAAUUGUUUGAUUGAUUAAUAUCAGUGGCGACUAGCGUGAUUGGUCCCAUGUUAGGAAAACGUCUGAUCUAAUUUAAACAAACCGUCGUAGCGUGUUUGUUGAUUAGGGUUGGACUUUUCUAAUUCUUAAUUCAAUUGAGAAAUUAAAUCUCCCGGUCGUACCUAAGAUUAUUUUUUUGUUAGCGAAAUAGUUAAUGGUCGUACCUUGACUAUCGAAAAAGUAAGGAAGAGUUGAUUGUUUAUCGCGUGUACGACAACUAUAAUCAAUCUAUUAAUGAGUAAUUGAAUUAUCUUUGCAUCAGUAAUCAGUUGAAUGGACCGUGUCUGAAAAGUUGUACCUUUGGCUAGAGUCUUAUCUGUUGUUGAUUCAUUCAUAUCUAUCUUCAUGCGUUGUUUUAAUUUAGUUAAUUAGUUAUUUUUAUAAAAACCCCUCAUCUCUGGACUCUAAAAGAAAUAAAUUAUUUCUAGUUCCUGUGGAUUCGAUCCUACUCACCGCUAUAUACAAAAUUUGUAUUUUUUUGAAUAAAUAAUUAUUAUUACACAGGCUUGACACCUGUCAAGGCAAAAUUUCCUUAACUUCAUCAUCUGUAGACGUAAACUUUCUACGGGUGAUAUAAUAUAAGGAAAUUUUGCCUAUACGAUGUGAUAGCAUUUUUUCAAAAAAGACAAGAUGGAAAAUUGCUCCCUUGAACGGAAAAAAUCAUGAUCUUUCCUCAAACUAGUCUACUAGUCAAUUCUUUACAAAAGAAUACUCGCUCCUAAACAUAGCCUGUUCAUCUACACUGUCCCGCAGAAUUCUAGAAAGUUAGGCAAAACUAGACAAGUUGACAGGUAUAAUCAUACCCAAGAUCAGGAACAAGCAGUUGCACAUUUCAAAAUUCGCUGCUGCAACAGCUAAUUUGAUGACUUACAACACUACACGGUCAAACUUUGAAUGGCAAUGGAUCUUUUGUUGUACGUCAUGAUGUAAUUUUCAUGUUACAUACAUUAAUAGGUUGAUAUCUAUAUUCUUUAAAUUAUCAUGAUAAUACCCUUAAUUAGAUUUAACUGAUAAAAAGAACACGUGUUAAUAUACAAAAGUGUGUAACGUGAAUGUUACAUUACUGUAUUGCAGAAGACCUAUAGUCUCUUCAUAUCUCUUCCUGCACGUAUCAAUUCGUUUCCUCUAGAUAAUAAUCUCCCAACUCGUUUCUUUACAAAUGCACCUUUUAUGUUUUAUUACCUCCAAAAGCCUUUACAGGGUCUUUACCCUAAAAAUCAAUUCACCGACUCGCAUUUGAUGUCAGAAAUUCUUAAGACGAAUUCUACUUUACUCAAAGAUUGACUGUUAAUAAUGAGACAGCGACCAUUUUGUAUUAUUAGACCGUCCUUCUUGAUAGGUAAAAGAAAUAGAGAGGAAAGUGGGUCCGUAUAUGGUCUUUUAUUCAUAGAUAAUACAACAUUACGCCAUCGAGCAUUCACACAAUAUUUCAAAGUCAUAGCAUGCCUAAGGCCCUGUUUGAUAGCUCAAUUUCGUAAUUAAAUUUAAUAGAUUCAAAUUUUAACACAUUUAAAUCAUUUGAUAACAAAAAAUUGAAUAUUUAAAUUAAUUAAGUAACACUGAACUUUCUAAACAAAACUUGCUUUCAAAAUUAAGUGAUAAGUUAUUCACUUAUCUUUGAAUGUGAUAUGCACUCAAAUAUAUUAAAUUUAAUAAUUUAAUGGAUUCAGAUUUCAGAUUUCAGUUUUAUUACACACCCUAAGUUGCAAAAUAAUACCAAAACUUGUUAUUAUAUAGCUUGAGAUUCAAAAAUUUAGAGCAUAAUUCUCAACCUAACACAAUCGAAUAAUGAAUAUUCACGAUUGUUUCAAAGUACAAUUUGAGGACAACCCAUUCCAACGCGUACACGAUUUUUAACUUUUCUAAAGUUGUUGAGAGCUGUUAAAAGAGAUUUACCAUGUUUACAUCUUCCAAGUCUUGGAAGUGAAAAAUGAAGCCACUGAGUGCUAUAAAAAGGGGGCUAGAGGCUGCCUAGAAGCAUAUCAGCCUAAAACAAGAAUUUGUAGUAACAAUGGGGAGCAAAGCAAAAGCAACGGGGUCUAGGCUGACUCCUCUUCUUACCACUGUUUUAGUGGUAUUUGUCGCCCUUGGCUUGCCCUUGGAAACUGCAGCUGAUUAUUACAAGUAUUCAUCUCCUCCUCCUCCUCCUUACCACUAUUCUUCACCACCACCUCCAGUGUAUUCACCUCCACCAACCCCUGCUUAUAAGUUACCCCCACCAUCUCCUCCAGUUUACAAGUCCUCACCACCACCUUACCACUACUCACCACCUCCGGUGUAUUUACCUCCACCAUCUCCAGUUUACAAGUCACCACCACUACCCCCUCCGGUAUACAACUCCCCGCCUCCACCAGUGUACAAAUACAAGUCCCCACCACCACCUCCUCCAGUUUACAAAUCUCCAUCGCCACCAGUUUACAAAUACAAGUCACUCCCACCACCUCCUCCGGUAUACAAGUCUCCUCCGCCACCUGUUUACGAGUACAAGUCUCCUCCACCACCUCCUCCAGUGUACAAGUCCCCACCACCUCCAGUUUACAAGUACAACUCACCUCCACCUCCUCCCCCAGUUUACCUGUCUCCACCUCCACCCUAUCAUCACUACUACGGUUCUCCUUCUCCUCACCACUACUAAGCAAGUGCAUAAGUUUUGAGGUAAUAAUACCUAUCCAAAACUUUAUCAACACAAACUGCCAUGUAUAUUAUCAUGCUAAGGACGUACACUUGAUCCAUGAAAAUGACUAGUAGAAGAUUUUUUUUAAGAACCAAAGAAAUACAUUAUUUUUUCGGUCUGUUUUCAAGAAUUUGAGCAGUAUACAGAUUAAAGAGUGUUUUUUUUUUUGUAAACUUGCUUGUCAACUUAAAAAUGCACAUAGCUGAAAGCCAACUGAAUAUUUGCAGGCAAAGGAGAAGGCAAUCGGUGUUUGAGACCUUCAAGAAGAUGUAGAAGAAUAAGAAUAAAAGCCCAAUGCGAGGAUGAUUCCAAGUUUCUACGUUACCAUUUCUACAUCUAAAUUGACUUUAGCUCCUGAGUUCCAUGUUUAUGGGGUUUGUACCGUUUUACGUACCAUGCAGUACAUGCUUGCAAGGUUUUCUGUCCUGUUGGCAAACUGCAGGUCCAUAUAAUAAAUGAAUACUAUUUACAUUACGACACUUUUCUCUUUUUCUCUUAUAUUUUGUCUUUAAUAUUGUUGAUCAUUUUUUUUUUAUCAAAAGCAUCAAAUGCUUAGGUAAUUUGGUCUAAUGCUAAUUGUUUUACUUUUAUUUUUCACCUACACCCCUUUUCAACUCAAAGGAUGCUAUAGUUUGUGAUAAUUGUUUAAGACCGAAGCAUGAUACUAAUAAAUAUCUCAUUGAAAGUCAAGGAAACUAACAUUAGGAAAAGUUUAAAUCUUGAUUUGAUGAAACUAUUUAUUCGUGGAAUUUAGAGAUACAAAACUCAAAUUGUGACGGUGUUGUUGCUAAAUUAUUAAGGACAUUAUCACCAUUAUUUUUCCCUGAUCACUAGUUUCAACUGCAAUGAUCUCAAUCUUUUUGUGACUAAUUCUUUCCUUAAUAAUUUAUAAAGACAAAACUCACAAAGAAUAUGUGACUAAUUCUUUCCUUUCGUCUUCUAAAGAAAAUGCCAACUGUUAGUUUAUCAAGGGGAAAAAGGAUCGACAUCAGUUAUUAUUGAAACUAGUAAGGAAUAAAUAAUGGUGAUAAUGUCCUUAAUAAUUUAACAACAGCACCAUCAGAAUUUGACUUUGAGCUUCGGUCUUAAACAAUGAUCACAAACUACAGCAUCCUUUGAGUUGAAAAAGGAAGUAGGUGAAAAGAAAAGUAAAAAAUACAAUUAGCAUUCCCUCAAAUUGUAGAAAGUUAGGUAGCAUUAUAGACAAGUUGAUAGCGGCAAUUUUACAUUUCAAACUUCACCUAUUCAAUAACUAAUUCGAUGGCUUGCUACAUGGUCAAUCUUUGGACCCCUUCCUGCCUCCAGAUAUCCCUUUCCUCAAUCAGGGGCUUCUACAAUUACCAGUUUCAAUUGUAUGGUAUAGUGUAAAUAUCAACAAAUUAGAUGUAGAUGCUAACAUAAUAAAUGUGAAUGCUAAGACAGCAACAUACAAUCGAACCUGCAAUUGUAUGAACCCCAAUCUCGCUUCCUAGUCCACCAUCUUUCUCUAGGUAAUAAUCUCCCUUCUAAUUUAUUCACAAAAUGCACCUUUCAUCACCUCCAAUAGCGUCGACAUGAUCUUUACCCUAGAAGACUAUUCACCGACUCUCAAUUGACGUCAGAAAAUCUAAGAGUAAUUCUACUUUACCCUAAGAUUGAUAUCAACAAGACAAGGACAAUUUAGAAUUAUUACACGCCUCUUCUUAAUAGGAAAAAGAAAUAGAGAAGAAAGUCAGGCCAGGUCUAAUUUCUUUUCAAAGGCAAUACAACAUUACGAAAUCAAGCAUUCAUUCAUACAAAUAUUUCAUAGUCACCGGUUUGCUGAGUAGAAAAAUUUAGACAAAAACUUAAUAUUAUAUUGUUUAAGAGUUAACAAUUUAGAGCUUAAUCUCCUUGUACUUUGGAGUUAACAAUUUAGAGCUUAAUCUCCUUGUACUUUGGACUAAACUUGAACGUGAAAGGAAAUCCCAAAACCAUAUUGGGCAUGAAUUCACACUUAAUAUACCCAAUAAAAGAUGGCGACUGGUGAAAGGCAGUGGAGACUGGUGGAGAGAUUUGAGGAAUAGAAGCAGACGGAAAAGCAACAAAUUUUUGCCGAAAAACGGUCACUUUCAUGGUUAAUUUUGCUACUCUCCAAUUGUACUUGACCAAUUACAACAAUUUCAUGGAGUUUGAUACGUGAAAAGAAUUUUUUAUAAAUUUUAUUUUGAUCCAUAAUGUUAUCUUUACAUAUAUAAAACAUUUUACAAUUUUGAUUUUGGCGCAGCUAACUUUUGGUUAACAAAAAUGCUCAUGUUUAAAAAACCAGAAAUAAAACAAAACAAGAAACAAAAGAAAUAAGAGGGUAGCAUAGACAUUUUGGAUUUUUCCGUUAAUUUGGAUGAUUUCCACCCACGUUCUAAUUUAAUCCAAAACACAAAGGAAUUACGUAGAGGUUUUAAAUAAUGAGGGAGCUUCAUGAUCGAACCCCAAACCACAAGGCGAUUUACUAUAUUUUACUCUUAAAUUUUGGUUUCAUCUCAUAGCAUACAAGAGUUCUAUUUCACUAUCUGUAGACAAAGACUUUCUAUGGUUGAUGUACCAUAGGAAAAAAUCUGCCUAUACAACGUGAUAGCAUUUUUUCAAAAACACAAGAUGGAAAAUUGCCCCUUAAACGGGGAAAUUCAUGAUCUUUCGUCGAACAAAGAAUACUCACGCCUAUUCAAGAUGGAAAAUUGCCCCCUUAAACGUCUAUUUGUCAAUUCUUGAAAAAAGAAUACUCACGCCUAAAACACGGCCUCUUCAUCUGCAGAAUUCUAAAAAGUUAGGUAAACUCUAUAAACAAGUUGAUAGGUACAAUCGUACCCAAGAUCAAGUACAGAUAGUUGUACAUUAACUGCUGCAAUAACUAAUCUGAUGACUUAUAAACAUAUCAUGGUCAAUCGUUGAAUGGUAAUGAGUCUUUUGUUAUGCAUUAGUAUUAGUGUGUACACUCUAAUAGAUUGAUACUUAUACUCUUUAAAUUAUCAUAAUAAUACCCUUAAUUAACUUUAACUCUUAAAAAGAAUACAUGUUAAUACACGAGUGUGUGUAACCUGAAUUGUUACUUAUAAAUUAGUGUGUAAUAGAUAGGGAUGGCAAUGGGGGCGGGUGCCCGCGGGGGGCUCUCGGGGCGGGGGUUGGGGCGGGGGGGAAUUUUUUCCCCCCGUUUAGAAAUGGGGCAGGGGACGGGGGAGUAUACCCCCGCCCCAUCCCCCGCAAAAAAAAAAUUAUAUAUAAUAUGUAAUUUAAUUAGUUAUAAACUUAUGAUAAUGAUAUUAUUAGUUAGAUGUAUUAUAUAAUGUAUAUUAGUGUAUGUAAUAUAAUUAAUAUUAUCAAUUAUAUGAAUAAUUAGACAUGUCUACUAAUAGAAUUUAUGAAUUAGUUAUACUAAAUUUACUAAUACAUUUAUACUAAAUUUCUAAUUACACUUAAUAGAAUAACACUUUUUUCUAAAACAAAAAAGCACAAACACAAUAAUGAAUUAGUGAUUGUAUGAUAGGGUGUAAUUUUACUAUUUAUUUUAUUAUUAAUUUCCCCUAUCACCUGACCUGAUGUGGAUUAAUUGCUGGAUUCUGCUCACUUUUAGUACUUUGUAUUUAUUUCAGGGAGUAGAACGGAAAUUUGAUAACAGGUGCUAAUUUGGCAGAAAAAGAGUCCAGAUGAUAGAGCUUGCCCCAAGGGCAUUUUUGGAAAGGAGAACUUGUGCCCAUCUUGGUAAUUUGGGAGAAAAGGGAAACAGACAAAAUGGGUCUAACAUGGAUUGGAAGCGGCCGCACAGUAGCAGGGAAGAGGGCAGACGUAAAAGCAAUUGCAGGGGGGAAAAGGAGUUUUUUUAGUUUUUAGCUUAGCAUCUGAUUUUCCCUGGGAGACUUUUGUUAAAGAUUUCCUUUUGGCUGAUAUUACGCAUGGCAGAUGGCUUUUAACUUAUUCCUCCAUCUUUGACUUUUCUUCUUUAGCUUGUGGCAGUGGAUUGCUACUUACGAAUGUCAGCACUUAGCCAUUCGUGGCUUUUGAUCUUUUCUUCCUUAGAAAUUCUGAGUAACCUCUUUUCCUUUGUGCGCCAGACGAAGUGAAAACUAUAAACUUUUGUAGUUUUUCUAUUCAUUCAAUAUAUUGAGACGAGUUGGAUUCUACCAAAUUUCAACGGACAUGGCCGCUGGUUUCUCUUCAAUUUUAUAUGGGCUUUGUUCAUCCAACAUGAACUAAUUUCACCACUCUAGUCAAGGAGCAACGAAGGCUCUGAUUUGCCUAAAAAUUGUGAGAUCGUUUUAAUUUAAUCUUUUCCUUUUAUUUAUUGGUAUCCGCACAUUUCUUGAUUGCUAUGCUUAUGGUUAUUUAAUUAAUUGAUUGUCUUGGAUCCAGAUAAUUAAUUGAUCUGAUAGCCUAUUGUCAAUUAGGGCAUUUAAAUCCGUAAUUGUUUAAUUGUCCUGAAAUAGUGACAACUGGCACGAUUAGAUUCGUGCCAGGGGGGAUAUGCGGGCUAAUCUAAAAUAACCCUGGUAGUGUGUUAUUUGGUUAGAAUAGGGCUCCUCUAAUACUAAGGCAAUUGGGGAAUUAAAUUCUACGGGCGUACCUAGGAUUAUUUCUUAAUUAGAGCAGUGAUUAACGGGCGUACCUUGAUCACCGACACAGUAAGGAGGGGUUGACCGUCAUCGCUUGUUUGGCAGUUAUAACCUAUUUAUCAGUAAAUAAUUGGGAUUGCCUUGCAUCAAUGAUCAAUUAGGUGAACCAUUGUUGAAGUUACUUCUUGGUUAGAUCUUUAGUUAAUAUUACCUUGAUUUUGGUGAAUUGCCAUUUGAUUUUUAGUUGCCUACUUUAUUUUAUUUUUAAUUGUUUCCUUGCUUUAAUUGAGUUAGGCCUUUAAUUAUUGUUAUUCUAAGUUUAGUGAAUUGUGGUUUAAUUCCUAAUUAGUUAUUUAUUUUUACUUUCUUAUUUGAAUUUAUUUGCUUGUUAUCAUUCCUACGAAAUCACCCCCCUGUGUUACUUUGGAUUUCUUAAGAAACAAAUAUACCCAAUCCCUGUGGAUACGACCCUACUUGCUCUGUUCACGAAUUCAUAAUUAUUUGUGAAAAGAAAUAACCAUUCCACUCGGGUAUAUCGGAUCAAGCAAAUUCUUCGGGAACAGGGUGAAUCAAGUAACCCAAUGCACACCUAGAGUCCCUGCUCCAGUACUUGGAAUUGGGUUUUGGUCAUUUUAACUGGCAAUUAGGUUUAAUUUUAUUAUUGCACAGGCUGACGACCCUGUCAAUUUUUGGCGCCGUUGCCGGGGACUGGCGUUAUUAUUUGUUUCUUUUUAAAUUCAUUCUUUGUCCUAAUUUUCUGGUUUUCUUCUAGUGUAUGCCUCGAUCUUCUCGUACAGGUAAUUUGAUUUUUGACCCUGAGGUAGAGAAGACCGCAUGUAGAACGAGAAAGGAAACCAGACAGCUCAGAGAAGAGCACUCCAGUGCUACAUCUCAGAGACCCGAGUCAGAAGUUGAACUAACAGAUUCGUUUGGUAACACUUCGAGUGACUCUGACCAGGAGGAAGACACCAUGGCUAAUGCACGAACAUUAAGGGAGUUGGCUGCUCCUGAUUUAACUCAGCAGCCUUUAUGCAUUACUUUCCCCACUUUAAAUGAUAACAUUCCAUUUGAACUAAAAUCUGGUCUGAUUCAGCUUUUACCCUCUUUUCAUGGUUUACCAGGUGAAGAGCCGUAUAAGCAUCUGCAGGAGUUUGAUGUCGUGUGUAAUAGUAUGAAACCCUCGGGAAUCACAGAAGAGCAGAUAAAAAUGAGGGCAUUCCUCUUCUCCUUGAAAGAUUCUGCGAAGGACUGGCUGUACUACCUGUCACCAGGUAGCAUCACCACGUGGGACCAAUUGAAGAAAAAAUUUUUGGAUAAAUAUUUUCCUGCGUCCAGGGCUGCAAGUCUAAGGAAAGAAAUUUGUGGGAUCAAGCAGCAUCCAGGGAAGUCACUUUAUGAGUAUUGGGAACGGUAUAAGAACUUGUUGCGCAGGUGCCCCCAACACCAAAUAAGUGAGCAAUUGAUCAUACAGUAUUUUUAUGAGGGGCUCCUUUUUAGAGACAGGAGCAUCAUUGAUGCCAGGGGGGAGGGUUGGGAUGGGUGGUACGGGGGGAGGGAGUGUAAGCAAGAGGUCUCGGGUUCGAGUCCUCCCGCUUACACACAAAAAAAAAGAUGCUGCAAGUGGAGGGGCACUGGUAAACAAAACCCCUCAGGAAGCACGGGAGUUAAUAGAGGGGAUGGCAGAGAAUUCACAACAAUUCAGUACAAGAGAGGAUGUCCCAAUACGUAAGGUGAAUGAGGUAGAGACACCCUCUAUGCAGCAGCAGCUAACUGAGUUGACCGCGUUUGUUAGGCAACUGGCUGUGAGAAAUGCAUCACAAGCCAGGGUGUGCGGGAUUUGCACUGGUAUGGGUCAUUCUGCAGACAUGUGCCCAAUGAUUCAGGAAGAAACUGCAGAACAGGUGAACAUGGCUGACCACGCGCCCGCGCCAAGGAAGCAGUACGACCCUUACUCAAGCACCUACAACCCCGGGUGGAGAGAUCAUCCCAACCUCAGUUAUGGAGAAAAUAGGCAGCCCAACAUUACACCGAACAGGCAGUCUAACUUUGUGCCAAAUAGGCCACCAGGGUACCAGCAGCAAUAUCAACCCCGACCACCUCCGUCCCCAAGCUCUGGCCCAUCUUUGGAGGAGAUGAUGAAACAAAUGAUGACAACUAUGGCUCAAAAUCAGCAAAUGACGGAGGCAACCAUUAUGCAAAAUCAGCAAAGGACGGACUCCGAAAUGAAGGAUAUAAGGAAUCAGAUAAGUCAAAUGGUCACAACAAUCAACCGUUUGGAUUCCCAGAACCAAGGUAAAUUGCCAUUUCAGCCCGAAUUAAAUUCGAAGAACGUGAGCGCAAUGACCCUAAGGAGCGGGAAAGAAAUUCAGGGGUCUGAACCUGUGAUCCCUAAGGAUAAGGAUGAGGAAAAGAUCGAAAAUGAGCUUGAAAGGGAGGACAGCAAUGGUGCAGAUCUAAAGGUACUUCCUGACCCAAUAAUUACAGCUAAAACUAACCCGCCUCCUUUUCCUAGCAGGUUGGAAAAAUCGAAAAAAGAGGAUAAGGAGAAGGAGAUCUUGGAGGUUUUUCGCAAGGUUGAGAUAAAUAUCCCCCUCUUAGACGCAAUCAGACAAGUACCAAAAUAUGCCAAGUUCCUAAGGGACUUGUGUGUCAACCGAAGGCAGUUGAGGGAAGAUGAACGGGUUAUUGUUGGGGAGAAUGUGUCAGCAGUCCUGCAGAGAAAGCUCCCACCAAAGUGCGGGGACCCAGGUAUGUUUACUAUUCCCUGUAGGAUAGGUAAUACUGUGAUAGAAGGGCCAUGUUGGAUCUGGGAGCAUCAAUUAAUCUCAUACCUAAAUCUAUCUAUGCUUCUCUAAAAUUAGGUCCAUUAAAAGAAACUGGAAUAAUCAUUCAAUUAGUUGACCGAACUAAUGCAUAUCCUGAUGGGUUGGUUGAAGAUGUGUUGGUAAAAGUUAAUGAUUUGAUGUUUCCAGCUGAUUUUUAUGUACUUGAUAUGGAUGAUGAUCACUCCCCUGAUCCCUCACCUCUGUUAUUGGGUAGACCCUUUAUGAGCACAGCACAGACGAAAAUUGAUGUUAAUAAGGGUAUCUUGUUCAUGGAGUUUGAUGGGAAAAUUGUGCAUUUCAAUAUCUUUGAUACUAUGAAAUAUCCCUCAAACUCCAACUUUAGCACAGUUUUCUCUGUGAGUGCUAUUGACCCUGUAGUGCAGGAAGUGUUUGAAACUGAUGGCAGGGAUGAGUUGGAGGUGGCUUUGACCAAGCACCUCGAGUUGGAGACAACUCCUGAGGUGGAAUGGAGCGAGGACCUAAAAUGCACAAUAGGUGCAUUACACUCAUUGCAGUCCACCACGAAAAGGUAUGAAGUCUUACCUAUUUUUACUCCCGAACCUCACCAGAGGGUGUUGCCAUCUGUGGUGCAGGCACCUGUACUAGAAUUUAAACCUCUAUCAGAGCACCUGAAAUAUGCAUAUCUGGGUGAUAAUGAGACACUCCCGGUGAUUAUCUCAUCGACACUGUCAAAAAUCCAGGAGGAGAAACUGAUCCGGGUCCUUAGAGAGCAUAAAGAGGCGAUAGGUUGGACAAUCGCAGAUAUUAAGGGGAUCAGCUCGGCCAUCUGUAUGCACCGGAUUAGACUAGAAGAGGAUGCCAAACCUGUUAGGCAGGCUCAAAGGAGGCUCAACCCCCUAAUGAUGGAAGUUGUAAAGAAAGAAAUUUUAAAAUUGCUAGAUGUGGGGAUUAUUUUUGCAAUAUCAGAUAGCCCUUGGGUAAGCCCGAUCCAGGUAGUCCCAAAGAAGGCAGGGGUGACGGUGGAGGCAAACCAAACGGGUGAGCUCGUGCCAGUGCGCAAACCCACUGGAUGGAGGCAGUGUAUAGACUACCGUAGGCUAAACGCCGUCACCAAAAAGGACCAUUUCCCUCUCCCUUUCAUUGACCAAAUGGUUGAACGUUUAGCUUGUAGAGCUUAUUAUUGCUUUUUGGAUGGAUUUUCAGGAUACUUUCAGAUAGCAAUUGCUCCAGAGGAUCAAGAGAAGACAACCUUCACGUGCCCGUUCGGGACCUUUGCUUAUAGACGAAUGCCAUUUGCGUUGUGCAAUGCACCUGCAACAUUCCAGAGGUGUAUGGUAAGUAUUUUUUCUGAAUAUGUGGAGAAAAUUAUUGAAGUUUUCAUGGACGAUUUCAGUGUGUAUGGUGAUAGUUUUGAUACGUGUUUAGAUAAUCUGAAAUUGAUCCUGAUAAGGUGUAUAGAGACUAAUCUUGUGCUUAAUUGGGAAAAAUGUCAUUUUAUGGUUGAGCACGGGAUAGUCCUGGGUCAUAUUGUAUCGUCUAAGGGCAUAGAAGUUGACAAGGCUAAAAUAGAUAUUAUUUUUGCAUUACCUUACCUCGCGAGUGUGCGGAAGGUGCGUUCUUUUCUUGGACAUGCAGGUUUUUAUCGAAUGUUCAUCAAGGAUUUUUCAAAAAUUGGAGCCCCGUUAUUCCAACUCCUACAAAAGGAUGUGACCUUCGAAUUCGAUGAUAAGUGUGAGGAAGCCUUCAACAAGUUGAAAGAAUUGUUGACCUCACCCCCAAUUAUCCAGCCCCCUGAUUGGAGUCUACCAUUUGAGAUCAUGUGCGAUGCCAGUGAUCAUGCCGUAGGGGCUGUAUUGGGGCAAAGAGUAGGGAAGGCAGCUCACGUCAUCUACUAUGCAUCCCGAGCAUUGAAUGGAGCCCAAUUGAAUUACUCCACUACUGAAAAGAAGCUUCUUGCAGUUAUUUUUGCUUUAGAAAAAUUCAGGUCAUAUUUGCUAGGUGCUAAAGUAAUUGUAUUUUCUGACCAUGCAGCAUUAAGGUACCUAAUGACCAAGAAAGAUGCCAAACUGAGGCUCAUUAGGUGGAUAUUGCUACUGCAGGAAUUUGACCUGGAGAUACGGGAUAAAAGGGGCUCAGAGAAUUUAGUAGCUGACCAUCUGAGUCGUAUACCCGUUGGAGAGGAUAAUGAACCAUUGAGGGAUGCGUUCCCUGAAGAGCACUUAUUUUCUUUAAAUUCUCAGUUGCCUUUGUAUGCCGAUCUGGUCAAUUAUUUGGUAACUGGUAAUUUUCCUGCAGGUUGACCAAAAUCGAAGAGGGAUAAAUUGAAGAGCGACGCCAAGUAUUUUAUUUGGGACGACCCGUACCUAUGGAAGAGGUGUGCAGAUCAAGUGAUGCGGAGAUGUGUAAGUGAAAUGGAAUUUCAAUCGAUUUUAGCUUUUUGUCAUACUUUUGCCUGUGGAGGUCAUUUGGACCCAAGAGAACUGCUCAUAAGGUUUUAGAAAGUGGAUUUUAUUGGCCUUCAUUGUUUAAGGAUGCCUAUGUGUUUUGUAAGUCAUGUGAUCGCUGUCAAAGGGUAGGUAAUAUACCCCGUAGAGAUCAAAUGCCCCAAGUCCCGUUGAUUUUUAUUGAAAUUUUUGAUGUCUGGGGUAUAGAUUUCAUGGGGUCUUUUCCUACUUCAUUUGGUUUUUUAUAUAUUUUGCUGGCAGUUGAUUAUGUGUCUAAAUGGGUGGAGGCUAAGGCCACUCGAACUAAUGACUCGAAAGUAGUUGCAAAUUUUGUCAGGUCUAAUAUUUUUGUGCGAUUUGGAAUGCCUAGUGCUAUUGUCAGUGAUAGGGGAACGCACUUUUGCAACAAAAUCAUAGCUGCGUUGUUUCGCAAGUAUGGUGUACUCCAAUGGGUCUCAACGUCGUACCACCCUCAGACCAAUGGUCAAGCGGAGGUGUCGAAUCGAGAGAUCAAGUCUAUCUUGGAGAAAAUGGUGCGCCCCGAUAGGAAAGACUCGAGUCAAAGGCUGGAGGACGCACUUUGGGCCUAUCGGACGGCGUACAAGACUCCUAUAGGGAUGUCACCGUACAGGUUGGUAUUUGGGAAGCCGUGUCACCUUCCAGUGGAGUUUGAGCACAAAGCUUUUUGGGCGAUAAAGUAAUGCAACAUGAAUUUAGAGGAAGCCGGUGCCCAACGAAAGUUGGAUUUGCAAGAAUUAGAAGAGAUCCGGAACGAGGCUUACGAAAAUGCACUAAUUUAUAAGGAGAGAAGCCGGAUAUUUCAUGAUCAACAAAUUUCAAGAAAAUCCUUUGAAGUUGGUCAGAAGGUCCUACUAUACCAAUCCAGGCUCAAGCUAUUCCCAGGUAAACUACGUUCCCGUUGGAUUGGACCUUUUCUUGUUACUCAUGUUUUUCCAUAUGGUGCAGUUGAAAUCCGGAGCGCUAAAACAGACAACAAAUUUGUGGUGAAUGGACACCGUCUCAAGCAUUACUACGAAGGAUUUUCAGGUGAAAAGGUGGAGACAAUAAGUCUAGACGCGCCACCGUGUCCUAAUCAGUGACAUUUUACUAUGUCUAGCCAAAGACAUUAAAGACAGGCGCUCAUUGGGAGGCAACCCAAUUGUCCCUUUUAAUUAUUUGUUUGAUUUCGUGUGAUAGUUUAAAUAUGUUUUCCUUGAAUUCGACUGAUUUUGGGUUUCAGUUUUCGUUUUUGCUGAAUUGUAGGUGACCUUCAGUCUUGACGCGCCCGCGUGAUGACAUGCAGGAAGCUCACGAUCAGAAUCGUCUGAAAGCUCUCUUGCCCUUUUGACGCACCCGCGUGAUGACGUGCAGGAAGCUCACGAUCAGAAUCGUCUGAAAGCUCUCUUGCCCUCUUGACGUGCCCGCGUCACGUUCGCAGGAAAGGUACGGGUUUCAAAAAUUUAAAGAAAAAAUAAUAAUAAUAAUAAUUUAAAAUUUUGAAAUUAACUUCCGUAAAAAAAAAAAAGAAGAAAAAAAAUUUCACCGUGGCUUAAAUAGAGCCUAAAGAAGAGAAAAAAGAAACAAUUUCUUUCUUUUUUUUUUCUUUUUCUUCUUUCUUCCUUCUUUCUUUCUUUCUUCUUUCUCUUUUCCCUCUCUCUUCUCCCCUGUUUCUUCUCCCCUGUCCGUCGCCCGUGCGCCCCAUCGCUGCUCCACCUCCACACGCACGCCGACGCUGCGAGCCACCUGCGACCCCAGCGCCAGAUCUGGACCAUCGCCGAAACCCGCAGCCUCCGCCACCUCCACCUGAGCUCUGCCUCGCGCGCAACCCAGCUGCUCUGCGCCCGAAGCUCCACCGCCGCCACAGCCUCCCCACGCAGCUCCCUGCUCACGCGGCCACAAGCCCAUUGGAAACGGGACAGAGACUGCCGCCGAGCCACUUGCCCGCGUGACCGCCGCUGUUUUCCACCACCUCCCUCACGCGAGCUCUUUCCCUCUCAGCAGCAAUCCACUUCACAGCGCACCCGCUGCGCGCCGUCGCAGCCCUCGCAGCUCCAGCCCGUCUGGUCUAGUCCGCCGCGCGCACCAACCACCCACGGACGCUACCCCCAUCGCUAACCCACGCGGCCUCCACUCCAGUCUGUCCGCCGCCGCUGCUCGUGUCUCCCUUGCGCACCUCACGCCACCCGCUACUGUCCCCUUCCGUUUGGUUAGCAUCCACGGUGGAGGUAAUUGGAGGUUAUUUUCUCAAUUGUGUGACUUCCGCCUGUGAUACUGGUUGCAUUAUUUUUGCUGGGAAUUGCUACUUCUUUUGGGUUGGGUUCAACUGUGCAAUUAAUUGGCCAACUGGAGCCAUUUGUUGGGAUUUUGGGUGAGCUGAAAUACUGCAUUUGUGUGUUACAUUGGGAGGUUUAUUGGGUACAUUCUAACCGCUGUUUUCCAUUGUUACUCUCGCUGGGGUGUCUAUUAAAUUGCGAUUGAAGUAUUUUGGAUAUUGCAUGUUGAGAUUGAGGUUUCAUUGAAUUUGGCCUACGUUCUGCCCCCAGUGGUACUGGUGGGAAUAUUUUCAAUUGAAUUUGUUACCUCUAGUUGGUUGGCUACAUUAUUAUGGUCGAAUUCCUAAGUUGUCGUCAUUGCAUUUGUUGAUCUUGAUUUGGGGCAUUAACCGGCCAACUGGAGCCAUCUGUGCGUUUUUAGGCGCUAUUAUUGGUUUCUUCUCCCUUAACUUUGUCAACUAUAUUUGGUUGGGUAUUUGGUUGACUGCCACGGACUUGUAACUGUGUUUUGCUUCUAAUUGACCAGUUGCACAGCAGUUUUUUUUUAAUUGAUAGGGUGGUUAUACCUCUGGAUAUUUGUAUCCACUGGUUUGAGGACAUGGUGAGACCAAAAUCCUCCUCUAGGUCUAGGACCCCUAGAACCUCGCAAUCCCAACCCCAAGCCUCUACUCUAGUCAAUACCCCUAUAAAUCAACCUACUGCUCCCGGUGUCCGAACCUGGUUAGGUAGGGGUAGAGGUGCCCACGUGGCUUCCGCCACUCACUUGGGAGGGCAUUUGGAAUUCACUAGAGCCGCCGAUCAGCGACGCUAUGCUCAAGCUUGUGAGCGGCGUAUCAUUCCGUGCAAAUGCGCGGACCACAUUACUAUGGUUUUUCUGGGGAUCCAAGGGGAGGUUGAGCGCAUGUACACCGCCAUUGGAUGGCGCCCCUAUCUGGAUAUUUUCCAGCCAGCCUUUGUCGAGUUGACUAGAGAGUUUUACACCACUUUUAAGUUUGAAUUACCGACUAGGUAUACUGUUGCGACUCCCGAUAUCAUUCACUUCCGUCUCAUGGGCCAGGAAUUCAAUUUCUCUAUCACCCAGUUCAAUCUGGCUUUCGGUUUCAUCACUCGGGAGUAUGCAGAGACUAGGGAAUACGGUGAGAGUGCCUGCGAUUUUGUGGAACCUUUCCUUACCGCCUACCGUGAGGUGUGGGAGGACAUGUCUGUGGACAUGCAGCGUUACGAUCCCUCUCGGUCUCGGAGCUCCUUUCUAGAGGACCCGAGUGCUCGGUAUGUUCAGCGGCUUUUAGCAUAUAGCUACUCGGGCAGAAAGAACAGCUUCGGUAUUAUCUCUCGGCCGGAGCUCUUCUUCCUUUGGUGUAUGAAGAAUGGGUUCAAGGUCAAUUUGGGUUGUUGGUUGGCGGCACAGUUCAAGACCGUCAUGGCAAAGAAGAACAAGCCGUUGAUUCUUGGGUCGUAUAUCACGUACUUGGCGGUCCAGCUAGGCGUUCUGAAUCUACAGGAUCACGAUUUGCACUUGGCCUGCGACAUGGAGUAUCUCACUGCUGACCGGCUAGAGAAGAUGGGGGUUCUGGAGCUUGUCGAUGGCCACUACCGAUUUGUGCCCCCGGGACCGCCCCGCGCCCCGCCUCGCUCUUCCUCCACCCAUUCGGCCCCAGUUGGCGGUGAUCCUGGCCCGUCGACAUCCGCUCAGCUCCCUCCACCAGCAGGGGCUGAAGAUUGGCACCAAAUCAGGACGCAGAUUCAGAAUUUGGACGCCCGGAUGAUUAGCAUCGAGAGCAACGUGGCGGCUAUAUCACAGAAUCUGGCGGCAUUCCUGCAGCACUCGGGUUUCCCGCCCCCAAUCCCACCUCACCCUCCACUAUGACCCGGUUUCAGGGAAGUUUGGUUACUUUCUCCCUCACUUUUGUUGUUUUUUGACACAUUGAGGACAAUGUGUCCUAUAGGUGUGGGGGGGUCUAUAGUCUUUCUAGUUUUUAGUAGUUGUUAGUUUUUAGUUUUUUAGUAGUUUUAGUUUUAUUUCUAGUUGCGUAUUUUCUUUCUUUUCUUAGUGCUUAUUCCCCAUGUGAAAAGAAAAAGAAAACAAAAAAAAAGAGAAAAAAAUGUUGGUUUAUUGACUCUAACUCUACUUUUGCCAAGUUUUUUUUAAAUAAAAAUGUAUCGGGUUAAUGUGGUUGGAUCCAGAAUAUCUCCCUGGUGAAUAUCGGAUUGCUUGGCUCUUUUGAUUUCUGUGUUAAUUUCUCUAGGCAUAGGGAAUGACUGUUGGCAUUUUAAUGUGAACUGGUCCAAUAUUGACUCCAGUUCUCUAUGUUUGGCAAUAAUGAGGCGAGCUGUUCCUAUUUUUGGUUCUUAGUGUUGUUAUUAUGUGUUUUUGGCUUUGUUUGGCUGUGAAUAAUCUGGACUGUACUCCGCUAUGAGUUACUACUGAGUAACCGAGGAUCGGCACCUAAAAGUGUCGAUUCUCGCGUCAAAAGGUGGUACUUUAUAUGAGUACGUGGUCGUAUAGCAGUAGGAGCUGAGUAACCGGGCUCCUUCAUCUAAAAAUGUUGGAGUUCGCGUCAAAAGGCCCCGACGGCUAACGACUAAGUCUUUUUGUGUUAAUUAUUAUUGCUUUGAAAAACAAAAAAAAAAAAGAACGAAAAAAGAGAGAAUAAAUAAUAGGAAGGCUUGCCGGUUUAUGGACUUAAUAUGGAGACUUGUGUGAAUAUUUGGACCAUUAGCUAAUAAAUGUUGUGCGCCAUUCCCUUUUCUUAGAGUAGUUAACCUGGAAAUUGAAGGAAUUUGCAGUUUAGGGGCUAACCGGGGGGGAGGCUUCUUGGAUUUUAAUCACCAAUGCUCGAUAUAUGUUUUUCUCUUGAAGAUCUUGGCAAUAUAGGAGAUUGGACAAUGGCCAUCAUCGAAUUUUGGUGUUCGUUUACUAUUCUUAUGCUUGAGGACAAGCAUGGUUUAGGUGUAGGGGGAAUUGAUAGGGUGUAAUUUUACUAUUUAUUUUAUUAUUAAUUUCUCCUAUCACCUGACCUGAUGUGGAUUAAUUGCUGGAUUCUGCUCACUUUUAGUACUUUGUAUUUAUUUCAGGGAGUAGAACGGAAAUUUGAUAACAGGUGCUAAUUUGGCAGAAAAAAGUCCAGAUGAUAGAGCUUGCCCCAAGGGCAUUUUUGGAAAGGAGAACUUGUGCCCAUCUUGGUAAUUUGGGAGAAAAGGGAAACAGACAAAAUGGGUCUAACAUGGAUUGGAAGCGGCCGCACAGUAGCAGGGAAGAGGGCAGACGUAAAAGCAAUUGCAGGGGGGAAAAGGAGUUUUUUUAGUUUUUAGCUUAGCAUCUGAUUUUCCCUGGGAGACUUUUGUUAAAGAUUUCCUUUUGGCUGAUAUUACGCAUGGCAGAUGGCUUUUAACUUAUUCCUCCAUCUUUGACUUUUCUUCUUUAGCUUGUAGUAGUGGAUUGCUACUUACGAAUGUCAGCACUUAGCCAUUCGUGGCUUUUGAUCUUUUCUUCCUUAGAAAUUCUGAGUAGCCUCUUUUCCUUUGUGCGCCAGACGAAGUGAAAACUAUAAACUUUUGUAGUGUUUCUAUUCAUUCAAUAUAUUGAGACGAGUUGGAUUCUACCAAAUUUCAAUGGACAUGGCCGCUGGUUUCUCUUCAAUUUUAUAUGGGCUUUGUUCAUCGAACAUGAACUAAUUUCACCACUCUAGUCAAGGAACAACGAAGACUCUGGUUCGCCUAAAAAUUGUGAGAUCGUUUUAAUUUAAUCUUUUCCUUUUAUUUAUUGGUAUCCGCACAUUUCUUGAUUGCUAUGCUUAUGGUUAUUUAAUUAAUUGAUUGUCUUGGAUCCAGAUAAUUAAUUGAUCUGAUAGCCUAUUGUCAAUUAGGGCAUUUAAAUCCGUAAUUGUUUAAUUGUCCUGAAAUAGUGACAACUGGCACGAUUAGAUUCGUGCCAGGGGGGAUAUGCGGGCUAAUCUAAAAUAACCCUGGUAGUGUGUUAUUUGGUUAGAAUAGGGCUCCUCUAAUAUGUAAGGCAAUUGGGGAAUUAAAUUCUACGGGCGUACCUAGAAUUAUUUCUUAAUUAGAGUAGUGAUUAACGGGCGUACCUUGAUCACCGACACAGUAAGGAGGGGUUGACUGCCAUCGCUUGUUUGGCAGUUAUAACAUAUUUAUCAGUAAAUAAUUGGGAUUGCCUUGCAUCAAUGAUCAAUUAGAUGAACUAUUGCUGAAGUUACUUCUUGGCUAGAUCUUUAGUUAAUAUUACCUUGAUUUUGGUGAAUUGCCAUUUGAUUUUUAGUUGCCUACUUUAUUUUAUUUUUAAUUGUUUCCUUGCUUUAAUUGAGUUAGGCCUUUAAUUAUUGUUAUUCUAAGUUUAGUGAAUUGUGGUUUAAUUCCUAAUUAGUUAUUUAUUUUUACUUUCUUAUUUGAAUUUAUUUGCUUGUUAUCAUUCCUACGAAAUCACCCCCCUGUGUUACUUUGGAUUUCUUAAGAAACAAAUAUACCCAGUCCCUGUGGAUACGACCCUACUUGCCCUGUCCACGAAUUCAUAAUUAUUUGUGAAAAGAAAUAACCAUUCCACUCGGGUAUAUCGGAUCAAGCAAACUCUUCGGGAACAGGGUGAAUCAAGUAACCCAUUGCACACCUAAAAUCCCUGCUCCAGUACUUGGAAUUGGGUUUUGGUCAUUUUAACUGGCAAUUAAGUUUAAUUUUAUUAUUGCACAGGCUGACGACCCUGUCAUUGUAUUUGUACCAAAAGUGAAAACUUAACUAUUUUAGUUGUAUUUAUUUCAUCAUGUUGGAUUGUAUUCAAAUAAUUUUUGUUUGAUUGUUUUUAUAAGUUUCAAUUGUAAAAUUAAAAUGAAUAAUAACUUGAUGAUGUGUUGAUAUUUUAGUACUUGAUUAUUUAUUAAAAUUUAAUUAUAAUAAAAUUUUAUUAACUCAACGAGAAAAAUUUUAUUAAUCCCGUGGGGGCACCCGCGGGGAAAGCGGGGCGGGGCGAGGGGAGUGGGAGGCGGAGGACGGGGCGGGGGCGGGGGAUGGGGGAGGGGUCCCCCGCCCCAACCCCGCCAUCCCCCGUCCCGUUGUCAUCCCUAGUAAUAGACUGGCAAGCAUUGUGGUGGUCAUUGAGCAACUUAUAGGAGAAAUAGUCCUAUAAGCUGUUCAAUGACCAAUCACAACUUGCUAAUUGGAUGACUAAUAUAGCUCUAGCUGUAAUGUUUUAAUUAAAUUACAUCACUAACGUUGGGAUGACUUUUUAACCAAAAAAAAAAAGCCUUAGUUCAAGCUUUUCCCUUUAUUGUGCAUUUUUUAAAGCAUUUGAAAGGCACUGCAAAUCUGUCAUUUUGGACAUUUUAUUAUUGACUAACAAUGAAAGCCGUGGACGUCUACCCAUAACCAACACAAGAUUAAAUUAAUAUUAGAAAAAAUAAUUGAGUAAUUGGAAAAAAAAAAAAAAGAAGAGUCUAAUUUUCAUUGAAACCCACCGACAAACUAUACGUGUCCAUGGCUUUUGAAUAGUGCAUUCAACGUUUAAUUGUAUGGUCCAGUUCAUUGCAGAUUACAUGGAGUAAAGAUUGCGCUCUUUCCUUUUCACCCCUUUUGGAAUCGAUACUGUGGAGAAUUGGGUUUUUCCCUCCUUUUUUUCUUUUCUUUCCUUCUGUGGUUUGCAAAACAUACGUAAAAAUAUGAAAUCCGAAGCAUUCUUUAAUUGGUAUUAAGUAUUGUUGUUGAAAUUAAAAAGAAAAAAGAAAGAACAACAAAAUUCCCAAUCUGGGUUGAUUGUUGAGCUCUAGAUUGGUUGCAUCGUGCUUCCAUAGAAGCAAGAUUUGUAAAAUCGGAAUCCUACAUAGGAUCGAUUUUAGUUUCACAGGAUCGGAUUGUAAAAUCGUAAGAUCCUACCAAAAGCUCUCAAUUGCAAUUAAAGGUUGCAAUUCUUUAAUAAAUUACAAAUAUACCACAAAUAUUUUCAUUUACUUGCAAAAUGGAGCUUCGUAUUUCACAAAUUUACAAAAAAAUUGUAGGAUCGUACGAUCCUACCGAUCCUACGAUCCUACACGAUCCUACCGAUCCUGCUACGAUUCUAUGCGAUCCUACAAAGAUUAAUAUGAUUUGCGACUCUGCAUACGAUCCGGAUCGAUUUUGGUUAUCCGGAUCGUAGGAUCGUAUGAUCCUACGAUCCGGAUCGCGAUUUUGACAACUAUGCAUAGAAGCUCUCUUAGUGUGAUACACUGCUUUCAAUCAGUUUAACACGGGAAAAAAAAAAAGAGAUGAAAAGCAAAUUUGGUGGAGAUAAUUUCAGAAACCUCCCCUGAAGAUUUUGACUAUUCUACUGGUUUCCCUUCAGAUUUUAAAAAUUACACUAAUCUUCCUUGAAGUUAAUUAUCUUGUAACAUUUAAAUUCAAUCAAUAAUUUAAAAAAUGAUAUUAUGAGAGAGAAAAUAAUAUGAUUUUAUCAUUGCCCCCCAUCUUACUACAUUAUUUAAUUAAUUUAAUAGCAACCCACACAUUAAAGAAAAAUAUUAAAAUUUGUUGUUUAUCAUUAAAGAUCAAAUCGCUUAUAACAUCAAAUAAUAGUAUAUUAUUUAUAUUUUUCACUUAAUAUAAUAUCCAAAUUACUCUUUUCAAUUACAUACCCAUUGUUAGAGAAUCAACAACAAAUAACCAAAAAAUUUGCAACCAAAAUAUUACAAAAAAAAUAAACUUUAACAUCAUAAAUAUUCUUAUCAACAUAUUAAAGUUAGUUACUGAAAUUUUUAUGCUGUUAAACUUCACUCUUUUUGAAUACAGAUUUUUUUGAUUAUUUGUUAUUAAUUAUGUUUGAUGAUGGGUUUAUAAUUGAAAAGAACAAUUUGAAACUUACAUUAAGUAAAAUAUAUAGAGUGAUAUACUAUUUUUUAUAACAUAUGUGAUUCAAUCCUUCUUGAUAGGAUUGGUAAUAGAGGUAGAGGGGGGAGUCGGCUGCAUCCGGUCUUCUUUUCAUAGAUAGUACAAUAUUGCGAAAUCAAUCGCAUUCACACAAUAAUAUUUCGAAGUCAAUGCAUGGCUAAGUUGCAUAAAAGUACGAACACUUGUUAUUAUAUAGCUUAAGAUUCAAAACUUUCGAGCAUAACCCUCCACCCAACACAAUUGAAUAAUGAAUAUUCACGAUUGUCAAAUCUGUCAAAGCACAGUUUGAGGACAACCCAUUCCAACCUGCAAAAGAUUUUUUACUUUUCUAAAGUUGUUGAGAGCUGUAAAAAGACUUACCAUGCUUGCAUCCUCCGAGCCUUGGGAGUUAAAAAUGAAGGCACUGAGUGCUAUAAAAAGGGGAAUAGAGGCUGCCUAGAAGCAUAUCAGCCUAAAACAAGAAUUUGUAGUUAAGAUGGGAAGCAAAGCAAAAGCAAUGGGGUCUGGGCUGACUCCUCUUCUUGCCACUGUUUUAGUGGUGUUUGUUGCUCUUGGCUUGCCCUCACAAACUGCAGCUGAUGAUCACUACAAGUAUUCAUCUCCUCCUCCUCCUUACCACUAUCCCUCACCACCACCACCAGUGCAUAUACCUCCACCUCAUCCUGUUUACAAGUACAAAUCUCCACCACCCCCACCACCACACCCAGUUUACAAGUAUAAGUCACCACCACCACCUCCUCAUCCGGUAUACAAGUAUAAGUCUCCUCCGCCACCACCACACCCAGUUUACAAGUACAAGUCACCACCACCACCUCCUCAUCCGGUACCACACCCAGUUUACAAGUAUAAGUCACCUCCACCACCUCCUCAUCCGGUACCCACAGUUUACAAGUAUAAGUCACCACCACCACCUCCUCAUCCGGUAUACAAGUAUAAGUCUCCUCCGCCACCACCACACCCAGUUUACAAGUAUAAGUCACCACCACCACCUCCUCAUCCGGUGCCACACCCAGUUUACCACUACAAGUCACCACCACCACCUCCUCAUCCGGUACCACACCCAGUUUACCACUACAAGUCACCACCACCUCCUCACCCAGUUUACAAAUACGAGUCUCCACCACCACCAGUUUAUAAGUACAAGUCACCACCACCUCCUCCACCAGUUUACAAGUAUAAAUCUCCUCCACCACCACCACCAGUUUACCACUACAAGUCUCCACCACCUCCUCCCCCAGUUUACAAAUACAAGUCUCCACCACCUCCUCACCACUACUAAGCAAUUGCUUCUGAGGUAAUAACACUUGUUCAAUAUACCCACUUCUGCAUGAUAAAGCAUAUCUCUAUCAACACAAACUGUCAUGUCUAUCAUGCUAAGUGCCUUCACUUCAUCCACCAAAAUGACUGCUAGAAAAUUUUUUUUAUGUUACCAAAGAAAGGCAUCAUUUUUUCCCUCUGUUAUCAAGAACUUGUACAGUAUAUAGAUUAAAGAGUAUUUUUUUAACUAGCUUAUCAACUGAGAAAUGCAUAUAGCUGAUAGCCAGCUGAAUAUUUGCAGGCAAAGGAGAAGGAAACCAUGUUUGAGACCUUCUUGAAGAUGUAGAAGCAUAAGAAUAAAAGCCCAAUGUGAAGAUGAUGAUUUCAAGUUUUUCUACGUUACCAUUUCUUUAUCUAAAUUGGUUGUAGCGCCCAAGUUCCUUUGUUUAUGGGAUUUGUAUCGUUUUACGUACCAUGCAGUACAUGUCAUGUUUGUAAGGUUUUCUAUCCUGCCGGCAAACCGCAGGUUCCAUGUGAUAAAUGAAUACUAUUUAUGUUACGACACUUUUCUCUGUUUCUCUUAUAUUUUGUCUUUAAUAUUCUUAAUCAUAUUUUUAACAAAAAUAUUCAAACACUUAGGCAAUCUGGUCUAAUGCUAAUUGUAUGUUUUACUUUUCUUUUUCACCUGCUCCCCUUUUCAACUCAAAAGGAUGCAAUAGUUUGUGAUCACUGUUUAAGACGGAAGCAUGAUACUAAUGAAUAUCUCAUUGAAACUCAAGGAAACUAACAUUGCGAAAAGUGUAAAUCUUGAUUUGAUGCAACUAUUUAUUCGUGGAAUCUAUAGUUACAAAACUCAAAUUCUGACUGCGCCAUUGAUAAAUUAUUAAUGACGCUAUCAUCAUUAUUUAUCCCUAACUAGUUUCGACUACAACUGAACCCAAUAUUUUCCCCAUGAUAAAAGUUUUUGACUAUUUUACUGGCCUCUCUUCAAAUUUUAAAAAUUACACUAAUCUUCAUUGAGAUUAAUUAUCUUGUAACAUUUAAGUCCAAUUAAUAAUUAAAAAAUGAUAUUAUGAGAGAGAAAAUAAUAUAAUUUUAUCAUUGCCCCCCAUCUUGCUAUAUUAUUUAAUUAAUUUAAUAGCAACCCACACAUUAAAGAAAAAUACUAAAAUUUGCUGCUUUUCAUUAAAGAUCAAAUUGCAUAUGCCAUAAAACAUAGUAUAUCAUUCUAUAUGUUUCACUUAAUGUAAGAUCCCAAUUGUUCUUUUCAAUUACAAACCCAUUGUCAAACAUGAUCAAUAACAAAUAAUCAAAAAAUUUGCAACCAAAAUAUUACAAAAAAAAACUUUAACAUCAUAAAUAUUCUUACCACCUCUAGUGCAUUCACCCUCAUAAAAUAAUUCAAGACCCUACUGUCAUAAAAUGACUGAUCAACUCCUGUAAACCUAAUUUGACAACAUUUAAAUGGAGAACUUUAGCUAAAAGAAUUAUGGUCAAGCUAAAGAAAAAACCAGUUAUUUUCCAACAUAUGCAACCAUUGAUCAGGGGAAAAAAAAAAGCAAAAAGACAUCUUCAAUCAUUUAAUAGCUUACAGGGCAAAUUAACCCUUGAGUGAAAACUGGUUGCUCUAGAAUUAAAAUUUUACCUUAGUUACCCAGGCAACUUUUUUGUUGCCUUUUCUUUUUCUUUUUUGGGUAUAUAGCUCCAGUUUUGCCCCCUCUGUCAAGCUUAUAUAAUUAUUAAGAUAAUAAAAGUGCCUUUAAUAGUAUUAAUAUAUCCAUUGACUUGAGCUGUCAUCGAUCGGUUUGGGCUACUUCGAUUCCAUGAGAACAAAUGGUAAUAAAAGUACUCAGAAAAUGGGGAGUCAUGAAACCCUUUUGUUCUAUUCAUUGCUAAGAUGCUUUUCUCUAUAAAGAGACUUCCUAACGAAAAUACUUUGUAGAUUUCUUUACUCCAAGUGGUGCAUGGAAAAUUAAUAUUUUCAAUUAUCAAAUAAAAUUCCCUUUUUUCGGCGUAGAUUUCAUCCAUCCAGCUGUUAACACAUUCUAUAAAUCCGAAUUGACUAAUCUUUUCGUUUCCAUUUUCCAACUUGCGAAUACGGCAUAUAGUGUCUGCUAAACACUAUAUAUUCUCUGCCAAAUAUGAAUACAUAUCACUUUUCUGAGCAAGUGCAGAGUCAUUAUCAUUUUUAUUCCCACCUAACAAAUUAGGGAUAAAAAAGUUAAUAAUCUUUACAUGCUAUCAGGUCACAAGUUAAUAAUCUUUUAAAGAACAUGUUAAAUUAAUUUAUUGGUAUGAAUAGUAGUCAAAGAAGUAUGUUAAAGUUAGUAAUCUUUAAAAUAAUAUGUUAAAAUCAUUCGUACAAAUUAGUCAGAGAAGUAGCAUAAACACCGCGAUGCAAUUAAUACUUUCAAUCUCAAGGUCUCUAUUAUGGAAAUUUGCAUCGGUCAAUAUACACUUGGCAUAAUAUAAUCUCCCAACUCAUUUCUUUACAAAUGCACCUUUAAUCACCACCAAAAGGUGUGGACAUGAUCUUUACCCUAGAAAACUAUUCACCGACAGGCAAAUUGACGUCAGAAAUACUGAGGAAUUCUAGUUUCCUUCGGGUUCAUGCCAUGUUGUAUCCUUCAACUGUAACUCGAUUUCUAAGCUGUAAUUUGUGACAUAAUAGUCCUUAAACUAUGAAACCCUUCUUACUUAAUUACAAUGGUUAAUACAAUGCCCGUGACUAGACAAGUAUGAAGCAACCAUAACAGAAAAAAAAUCCAAAAUUAGAGAAAAGAAAGAAGUUUCGCGACCACCACCAGUUUACAAGUCACCUCCACCACCUCCUCCAGUUUACAAGUCACCUCCACCACCUUACCAUUAUUCCUCACCACCACCUCCAGUGCAUUCACCCCCACCACCACCAGUUUACAAGUCUCCGCCACCACCUUACCAUUAUUCCUCACCACCACCUCCUGUGCAUGCACCUCCACCACCAAUUUACAAGUCACCUCCUCCAGUUUACAAGUCUCCACCACCACCUUACGAUUAUUCCUCACCACCACCUCCAGUGCAUUCACCCCCACCACCACCAAUUUAUAAGUCUCCCCCACCGCCUCCCCCAGUAUAUAAGUCACCACCACCACCUCCUCCAGUAUACAAAUCACCUCCACCACCUCCUCCAGUUGACAAAUCUCCACCACCACCAAUUUAUAAAUACAAGUCUCCUCCACUACCUCCUCCAGUGUACAAGUCAUCACCACCACCUGCUUACAAGUCUCCACCUCCUCCAGUUUACAGUUCCCCACCACCACCAAUCUACAAGUCUCCACCUCCACCCUACCAUUACUACUACAAUUCUCCUCCUCCUCCUCGUCACUACUAAGCAAUUGUAUCCAAGUUUUUGAGGUAAUAACGCUUAACCAAUAAAUUAACUUUCGCAUGAUAAACCUUAUCUCUAUCAAGACAAACUGCCAUGUGUAUCAUGCCAAAUACGUACACCUAGAUCCAUGAAAAUGAAUGGUAGAAAGUUUUCUUAAGAACCAAGAACAGCAUUAGUAUUCCCUCUGCUUCCAAAAACUUGUGUAUUAAAUAGAUUAAUGAAUUGUUUAACAUGCUCAUCUACUUGAAAAUGCACAAUACCCAUAACCCACUGAAAUUUUUGCAGGAAAAGGGAAAGAGAAUCUGUGUUUGAGAGCUUCAUGAAGAUGUUGAAGAAUAAGAAUAAAAGCCCAAUGCAAGGAUGUUUUCAAGUUUUUCUAUGUUUCCACUUUAAUUUGUAAAUUGAAUUUUGCGACUCAAUUAAUUCCCUGUUUGUGAGGUACGUAUUGUUUUACGUACCAUGCCGUACAUUUUUUUUUUCCAACAAACGGUAUCAUGUUAUAGAUAUUAACACUUGACCUUACAAGGAUUAGUUACAAAAAGGGGAUACUACCCUCAACUCUGUCCUAGCUAAAUCAGUCAGCCAUAUUGGGAAAUUAGUUUCCCAUUCAAUAUCAUGUACAAGCUUCACAGCAUAUUGUGCUAAUUGAUGGCUGAUGUGAUUUUCAGUUCUAGGUAUAAACACAAAAGAACAUUUUUCAAAAGCUAGACUAAGUUCCUGCACAUCUUCUAAGAUAGUUGCAGUCGUGUAGUCAUACUCCUUGCGUUUAGUAAUCUGCUCUACCACUGAUUUGCAGUCUGUAUGGACUAUAAUUUGUGUCCAACCUGCUUGGGUAGCCAUCAGCAGAGCAUUUCUCACAGCCCGAGCUUCCACUUCACUUGCCGAUCCCUUUCCCUGUGUGACAAUUCCUUUUGCUUUCAAAAGCUGUCCUUUCCAAUUUCUUGCUAUAAUCCCUUGUCCGGUCCUGACUCGUUUAGCUGAUAUCGCUGCAUCGGUAUACAGCCUUAUCUCUUCCUUCCUUGGCCGCACUCUCCUGGUAGGUAAGGCAUCAUUCAGCUUCCCUGCGAUCUCCUUCUGGUCUGUACUCCCUACCUGUUCAAACUCAAGCCAUUCCUCCUGUGCUUUCCUUACUAUUUUUACUGGAUCCUGGUUGGCUUGUUCAAAAAAUUUUUUGUUCCUGGCUUUCCAAAUUUGCCAAAGGAUAUUGAUAGUAAGACUAACUCUCUCCUGACCUUGGUUCAGUGCCAGCGAUUGUGUGACUUGUUCCCACCAUAACCAAAAGUUAUAUUGCAUACCCAGUAAUCCAUCCCACCUGACCGGUGCUAGCUUCCACGUUUCCACAGCCUUUUCACAGAAGAAAAACAAAUGCUCAAUAGUUUCCAUAUCUUCACCACAGCAACCACAUCUGCCUUCCCCUCUAUGUAGCCUUUUCGACAUCUGUUCAUUGACUGGCAGACAAUUUUGUAAGCACUUCCACAUGAAGUGUUUUAGUUUGGCCUUCACCUUCAAAUGCCAUAGCUGCUUCCACACAUUUCGUUUUCGUAUCUCCCAACUUGUUUCUGCCUCUUGGCCUGUCCUUGUACCUGCUUUUCCUUCCCGUUGCCUUGCUAAAGCAUAACCAGAUUUCACGCUAUAAAUUCCAGCUUUGGAAUGCCCCCAUACCAACCUAUCCUUUCUUCUUCCUAUACUUGUUGGAAUUCCCUUUAUGUGCUCUGCAUCUUUUGCACAAAACCACUUGAGAAGCAAAUCAUUUUUCCAUUUCCCUUCCUCUAUCAGCUCACUUACCCAUUCCAACUUGCAUCCCACAGGUUGUGUGGUUGAUGCAAAGCCGGUAUCUGAACCAACUAUCCAUCUGUCCCGCCACAUGUUGACUGACUUGCCAUCUCCAAUUCUUUUCCAAAGACCAUCAUACAGAAAGGAGGCUGCACUAUGAAUACUCUUCCAACACCAUGAGGCUGAAGAGACUGGCUUCUUGUCCAUCCAUUUUUCAUCACUCAUAUACUUCGCCUUCAUUACCUUACUUACUAACAAAUUUGGAGCCAUUAAGAAUCUCCAAAUUUGUUUUGCCAGUAAUGCUGUGUUGAAGGCCUCCAAAUCUCUAAAGCCUAAACCUCCUCUUCCCUUAACUUCUAAGAGCUUCUUCCAGCUUGCCCAAUGUACACAGGUACCCUUUUCUCCCUUCCCCCACCAGAAACUCGCUAUUUUACCUGUGAUUUGUCUACACAAACCCCUUGGAAGUCUAAAGCAAGCCAUCACAUAUGUUGGCAUAGCCAUAAUCACUGAUUUGACCAGAAUUUCUUUCCCUCCUUGGCUCAACAGUUUUUGUUUCCAACCUUGCAACUUGUUACUAAUUUUGUUCUGGACAAAUGCAAAGACCUGUGUCUUUGAUCUUCCAAUUGCCAUUGGGAGUCCUAGGUAGGUUCCAUUCCUUGCCUCUUUAAUGUUAUCUAAUACCUCCCUCACUCCAUUCUUCCUUUGAUCAGUGGUAUUUUUGCUAUAGAAGAUAGCUGACUUUUCAAAAUUCACCACCUGUCCGGAUGCUUGACCAUAUCUUUCCAAUAUGCUUUUGACCUUCCUCGCCUCCUGCUUGGUUGCUUGGCAGCAUAGUAGAGAAUCAUCUGCAAAAAAUAGGUGAGAAACCAUCGGACUGUCCUUGCAUAUUUUGAUCCCUGUAAUUUCCUUGUUCAUCAUAGCUUUAUGGAUCAAACAUGAAAGACCUUCAGCGCAUAUAAUAAACAAGUACGGGGAUAGGGGGUCUCCUUGUCUAAGCCCUCUACUCGGUUGAACACAGCCUACCUUUUGCCCAUUUAAGUUGAAGGAGUAAGUCACAGUAGAUAGGCAAGACAUGAUCCAUUUAACAAAAAUUGGACAAAACCCCAUUUUCAUCAUAACUCUCCCCACAUAUUUCCAUUCGACUCUAUCGUAAGCUUUGGACAUGUCCAGUUUAAGAGCCAUAAAUCCUACCCUUCCCUUUCUCCUAUUUUUCAAAAAAUGCAGGAUUUCAUGUGCAACUACUACAUUAUCAAGAAUUUGACGGCCUGGGAUAAAAGCGGAUUGAGAGGGACUAAUACAAUGAUGCAAGACACCUUUCAAUCUAUUAGCUAUGAUUUUAGAAAUGAUUUUAUACAGGACAUUGCACAAGCUAAUAGGUCUAAAAUGCACCACAGAUUCAGGAGUAUCAACUUUAGGAAUCAACGAAAUAAUAGUAUCAUUCACAGCUUUGAGCAAAUGCCCAGUAUGAAAGAAACUCUUAAUAGCUGCUACCACAUCAUCCUUGAUAAUAUCCCAAUAGUGUUGAAAAAAUAGAGGAGACAUACCAUCCGUUCCUGGUGCUUUAUUAGGGUGCAUCGAGAACAAAGCUUUCCUGAUCUCACUUUCCUCCACUUGUCGUAUCAGUUGUCCAUUCAUAUGACUCGAAAUAGUGCUUGGAAUUUCAGCUAGAAUGUCCUCAAAGCAGUCCGGGUUAGUAGUGGUAAAAAGGUCUUUAUAGUACUCACAAAGUUCCUCCUCAAUCUCAUGUUCCUCCUUGCACCAUGUCCCAUCUUUUUUCUGCAAUAUAGUGAUCUUAUUUCUCCUCCUCUUUGCCAUGACCGAAGAAUGGAAAAAAGCUGUAUUCUUGUCCCCUUCUUUGAGCCACUUGUUCCUGGAUUUUUGACUCCAAAACAUCUCUUCCUCUGCAUAAGCUUUAUUCAAUUGUGCUUUUAGUUCAGCCACUUGUACUCUUUUCCCUUCAUCCUUUCUUGCUUUCACUUCAGCCAAUUUCUCCUUUAACACUUUAAUUCUAACCUUUGAGUUUCCCUGCACCUUUUUCCUCCAAUCCAGAAUAGCCAUGCGACAUUCCUUUAUUUUUGUAGCCACUCUAAACAUCCUGGACCCUGACUUCACCUUUGUCCAUGCUCCUUGAAUCACCCUUUUUGCUUCUGGAUUUAGCGUCCAUCGUUGAUCAAAGUAAAAUCUCCGUUUUCUCCUUGUGUUUUCCGGGUUUGUAUCCACAAGAAGCAUUAGAUGAUCAGAGGCUUCAGUAUCUAAAUGAGUACACUGUGCCUUUUCAAAUCUUUGCAGCCAUUCGGUGCUGCAUAAACAUCUAUCCAACCUCUCUUUCACUUCCCCAUCCCCCUCCCAACUAUUGCACCAAAUCCACGGGACCCCUUGAUAACCUAAGUCAACCAGGUUAUUGUCUUUGAUAAACCUGUUGAACUCCCUAAAACAUCUUUCAGCUCUAUCCCUUCCUCCCCACUUCUCCUCACUAGACCUCAAAUCAUUAAAAUCUCCUACAAUGAUCCAGCCAUCCCCCCAGUCCCUCAUCCUGUCCUCUAAAUAUUUCCAUUGUGCUUUUCUAAUGUUACUAUCUGUGCUUGCAUAAACACACACUAGCCCCCAGUAUCCUUUAGUAUCCUUGUCCUCAACUCUAGCACUAAUACACCAAUCAGUACUUACAAUCUGGUCUAAAAUCACCUCAUUGUUCCAGAAUAAUGCUAGACCGCCUGCUUUACCUAUUGAAUUCACAAAAAAGCUAUUGUCAUACUGAAUCUUCCUUUGAACCUUGCCCAUAAACCCUUCCUGAUUCUUAGUUUCACAAAGGAACACCACCUUAGGAGAGUGGAAGUUAGUCACUUCCUUUAGUUGGGGACUUGUCAAGGGGCCUCCUACACCUCGACAAUUCCACACCACAACCUUCAUUUACACUUUGGAGGCUUUCCGGGGCUAGCCUCCAUUUCCCCUAUUGUACUAACAUUUAUUAGAUCCAGUUUCAUAACCUUUACCUUCGGUACAUUAUCAUCAUCCUCCUCUAUCGGUUGUGUUCCCUGAAACAUACCAUCAGCCUUCCUUUUAGCACACGAAACCUGCGUUACUUGUCCAUUUGUAUCUGCCUUUAAGGAUGUUUUAGCCGGCCUCCCUCUUCUUUUAAAACUGCUUCUUUUUUCAGCUUUGUUAUCUUCUUCCCCUGGAGUAGCCUCCUUUCUUGGCAUUCUUGCAUUUGUCUCCUCCUGCUUUAUUGACCCUACCCGCAAACUUUCACAUUCCUGUUUUGAGCUGUCCGUUUCCAUAUCCUCAUAAUCUACUGGUGGGAUUACGCUGCUCCCUCCUUUACUCCCUUCCUGUACCCUACCCUCCUUUUCACCAUUUCCCUCCAUUAAGACCACAGCCAAACUUUCCACCCGUUGGUUUGCCUUUCCAUACUGCCUGCUGUCUUUUAGAAUCUCAUCCCACCUCUCUUCAUAUUGUCUCGUCAUCAUUUUCUCCUUAUCCCCCCUUUCCUUUCCCCCCAAGACUCUACCAUUUUUUCCCCCAAGAGUUAAUGUAUCUCCAGCCAUUUGUACUCCAGUUUGAACUUCACUACUAGGAGACCCUGCCCCCACCCUCCUUGCAUCAAUUUCACUUACUCCUUCCAGCCGUCCCUUUAAGGGAGAUACCAUUAUAUUUCCAGCUCUCAUCCAGGCACCAUAUUGUUCCUCUCGCUUCUCCCCCCCACCCUUCCUACCACAGUACAAGUCCUAUCACUAUGCCCAAUGAUACCACACCUAUAACAGAAAUCAGGGCAGCGUUCAUACCUGAACUCAACCCACACUGCCUGGUUCUUACAGUUGAUCUUUGUCCCUCUAACCAGUGGUUUCGUUAUAUCUACCUCAGCCAUAAUCUUCAUGUGGCGACCCUCUUUCCCACCACUUCCUGGGAGAAUCACUCCCCUCACUGAUUUAAAGAUCCCUCCUAUUUUCAAACCCACUGCUCUGCUCAACCAGUGCACCGGUAGGUUCCAUAGUUGAAUCCAAAGAAAGGAAUGCUGGAAAAAGCUGCUGUUUGUAUCAUACCCCUCUACCCACUCCUUCACUAUCAGCAACUGGUUGUCCAUGACCCAAGGCCCUCCAGAUAAGAUCUUUUUCUUUUCCCCUUCAUCUCCCAGAUGGAAAUGGAAUAAGUUAGGACCUAACUCAGUCACUUUCAUCUUUGAGGGGUAUCCCCAUGCAUGAUUUGUAAAGUUCUUUAACCCCGUAAAGUUGGCAAUUUUUUCACCAAUCAGCUUUCCUACCAGGCUUCCUUGACACUCAGAGACGCCUUCUUCCAGGUCCUCACCACUCAGAUCGACACCUCCUAACUCUGUUUCAGACAAGUCAAAAUUUUGAAAGGCUCUUUCUAAAGCAUCCGCCAUUGCUGUGACGAGAGCUCCUUGAGAAACCAAGCACUAUUUCUGAGCUAUGAGUGACCCACUGACAGACCUGUGAAGAAUUGCAAAGACAGACAAAGCUGUGUUAUCCGUACACACUAAAAACCAACCAGAAAAACAGAGAGGAACUCGACAGAAAAAGCACAGGCACAAGAAGAAACGAAAGAAAAAAGAAAAACCAACAAACCACUAUCCCACUCCCGACCACAUAACAGCAUUAAAGAAAGGGACACAAAUACGACACUCCAACUUCCGAUCACAUGCUCUGACUCAAUGGAUCAUAUCUUGCCCAAAGCGUUUACUCCUCCAACCGAUUCCAAACCACUACAGACAUUGUCUCCCAUUUUGAAGCCGGAAGAAAGGUGGCUUCUGGACAGGGAACAUGAAAGCAAAGGUUGAACUAAAGAUUUGAUUUUAGAUCUGAAAAUUACGCUGUAGGAAAAAGUGCUAUGUGUUUGUACCUCACCCACUCUCCCACACCGAGGAGGGGAACCUCUAAAGUUAGAGAGAGAAGCUCUCAAGUUAGAGAGAAGCUUUGGAAGUUAAUUACCAACGUACCAUGCCGUACAUGUUUGUAAGGAUUUCUAUCCUAUUGGCAAAAGUCGGUUCCAUACAAUUAAUCAAUUCAUUUCACUUCUAUUGGCUCUACUAUUUAUGCAUGUUACGACACUCUUUCCCUUAUAUUUUGCCUUUAAUAUUAUGAGUCAAUAGUAAUAAUGGGCCUUUUUCUUAAAAUUAUACUAUUAUACAUAGGUAGUUUGGUCUAACGCUAAAUUCAUGUUUGUCUUUCUUUUAUUCCCUUUACAUCUCAAAGUAUACUAUAGUUUGUAAUCAUUGUGGUGAUGAUAUUACCAGCUGGUACUUAUAGUUUAAGGCAGAGACAUGAUAUUAACAACUAUCUCAUUGAAACAUAAGUCAAAAUCAUGACAAGUGUGAGUCUUGGUUAAUGCACAAUUUGUUAGUGGAAUUUAUAUUUAUAAAACUCAAAAAAAAUUUUUGACAAUGCUAUUACUAAUUAAUUAAGGACUUCAUUGCUAUAAUUUAUCGCUUACUAAUUUAAACUAUAAAUGAUCUCAAUACUUUUCUCCAUGAUGUCGAUUUCUUUAGACUACGAAAGGGAAAAAUUAGUGACAUAUCCCUUACUGAUUACAACAUCAGCAAAAAUUAGUUAUAAACUUUUCCGGUGGUUUUAAAUCCCUCGGGCACUAAGGUUUUUUGCACAUCGAGUGAAUUAAGGAACAUAGGCAAUUCGUUCUGCAUACCAAGUCCUUGUUUAAGAUGCACGUACUAAAAUGCAUCCACUUCAUUAAUUUGGAAAAUUGCCAUAGUUUUUUUUAAGCAUUUUGAUUUUUUACAUGAUUCAAAAUUUUCUUAUUGGAUACAAUCACUUUGUGUCAAGAACACAUUUUCAAUCAUCUUUUUUAUCUUCUCAAUAAGAAAAUAAAAAUUUAUUCAUGCUUUUCUAACAUAUCCAAUCAUUGAUCUGAAAAAUAAAGAAUUAAAAAAAAAAGACAUUUUCAAUCAUUGCUUACGGGGCAACUUCCCCAUGUGAACCUCAUCAAACAAAGCCAAUAAUAUGAAGGAACAUCUAAAUACACUUUUGCCCUAAAGGCUGGUUGCCUUGGGGUCAAAAUUUAACCUUCGGGAGUAUAAUUACCCGCCAAAUUUAUUAUUUUUUUUAUGGGUAUAUAGUUCCAAUUUUGCCUCCUGUUAAGCUUAUAAAUAUAUUACGACCCAGAAAAUAAAGGAAUCUUGAAUAGUAACAUGUCCAUUGACUUGAGUUGUUAUCAAUUUGGCUACUUCGAUUCCAUGAGGCCAAUCCAAUUCACACUAGCUAGAGAAAAUGGUGAUAAAGGCACUUAGAAAUUUAUAUGUAAUAUUGAUUGGUAGUAACUGAUAAGUAUAUAUUUUACGUGUUUUAAAUAUGUUUUAUUAGUUAGUUUUGGUGUGUUUUAACUACUUUUAUAACUAAUUAACUAGGAAUCUAGUGAAAAUAUGCAUUUUGUGGUUUGAAGUGUAAAAAUUGUAUUUCUAUGGAUUUUAAUGGUGAAAACUUCAUGUUUUUGUAGGUUUAAUGAUUCAAUCAUCAAAUGACAUGAUUUGAGAAGAUAAUUAGAUGAUUGAUGAUGUUUUGAAGUGAUAAAAAGAGAAUACAAAGUGCAAGAGAGGAAAUGCAAUCAAGAAUAAAAGAAGAAAAUUUUUGUAGCUUUGACAUAUUGUCGUAUUUCGGCAAUAUAUUGAGCUACAAUGAUCGGAUUAAGGUGAUUCUUAAACCAUUUGAAGCUAAAAUAUAGAUCUACAUUUGGCAUGAAGGCAUCGAAACCCAUGUCAGUCAUUUUCCUUGUCAAAAUGUUGAAAUACAGAAGUGCAACUCUGUUCUCGAAAGCUAAAACAGAGCUCUGGCUAGUCGAGGGUAUUUUCAUCAUUUCUUAGUCCACAGAGCUCCAAAUGAGAUGAUUCUUAAGGCAUUAGAACCCUAACUCAAAGAGCUACAACUUUCAUAUUUUGUACAAGAGUUAGUUCGGCCUCUAUCAUUAAGAAAAUAGUAGUUGAAGUGGUGCCAAAUGCAUAGAAGUGAAAACGCGAGCUAUCAAUACUCGACCUGAAGUCGCGUAUUCCUGAGGUCAUGCAUUCUCUUCUAUUUUCUGCAACUUGCCCUGCUUUCACAUAACUUUUUCAUCUCAAUUCCAACUAUCAAUUUCGGCUAUAUCUGAUCAAGAAAAGUGUGGAAAGUUUGAAAGACAACUCAUAGGAGUUUCAAGAGUCAAAAAUUACAAUUAGAAACAACUCAUUUGGCUCUUGAAUCCUCUAUAAAUAGAGGCCUUUGAAGAACAUUUUCACAACUUUGGAAGGUUAGAGAAACUCCACAAAAACAUAGUCUUCACUAGAAUUUCCUUAGUUCAUUAGUUAGGGUAGUAUAGUAUAGUUAGUGUAGCUUUUCCUUCUUGUAUUUAUAGUUAGGUUUGAAUGAAGAUUCAGGAGCAAAGAUAGAGAGGUUGAUCUCAUGUGACAAGGGUGAUAUCUCUUCUACUACUUUCUCUUUUGUAUUUGAUUUCAUAUUUAACUAUACUACAAAUUUGGCUUUGUUUUUUUUUUUUUAUCAUGUUUAGUUAAAGUUUAUGCCUAGAGUAUGGAUGACCUUUUUAUAUCUUGUUUGUGAUAUUUAACUGGUUAUUUGAUGAUGUUAUUUUUGAGCAAGUUAUUUAUCACUUUUGCUUUUCUAAUCAUGAUUAACUGGCCAUUAGUUGUGAUUAUCUAAAAGUGUUAAGUUUGUAAUGAGAAUUGGAGUUUAACACUAGUUCAAGGAAGUGAUAAAUUUAGGGAGUUCACUCAUGAGAGUAGAGGAACACCUUUGUGACCUAAGUGACUUGUUUCAUAUAAUUUCAUAGAAAAAAUGAACUUGUAAUUAAUUUCAUAACCACGAGAGUAAGUAUGGUUUAGCUAUAUGUAUAGUUGAUUCACUACGAGAGUAGGUUUCACAUACAUUAGAAAAUUACAUCAUAACUAGUCAAGAUAAUAUCAUUCAUUUAAUCAGUAAUCUCAUUUGCAUGAGUAGUAAGGCAUUCCAUAUCUCUAGGAGGUUUUUAGUAUUAUUUUCAUUACUUUUAUGUUUAUGGUAGUCUAGAUAAUAAUGGAGUUCGAAAACUACUAGUAAUUGAAAAUUUUCCCUGUGGGAUCGACCUUUAAUACCCUAUACUCGCUCUCGACUCGUAUACUUGAGAAAAAUCACGUGUGCGGUAUUUAGAAUUUAUAAAUGUAAAACUUGACUGUAGAUGAACUAAUUGAUAUAUGUAUACCCCGCACUCGUCAGUAACCAGCUUGUAUUGAUCCCACUAUUGUGGAUAAUUGUGCUCUUAUGAAAAAAAAUUAUAAAAAAAUUAGCAAAAUUUAUGAUAACAAAUUAAAUUUAUUCAUACAAAUCAGUGAAAGAAGUAGAAUUUUAAAGUCCAUGAUGAAAUUAAUACUUUCAAGGGCUCUAUUAGGAAGACUUCACUUGUUGGUGAAACUACACUAGCACAGUUAUAUGCACAUUUACUGUUUUGGUAUCUAAUUUCCUUGCCUUAAGUUGGGUGCAGAUGUUUAUAUUACAAAUAGAUGGUAUCAUAAAAUUGUUGUAUUCACGUUUGUUCUUUUUUUUCUUCCUUAAGUUUUUUUCUUUAUUCUCGUGACUUCAAAAAUACGAACUCAAGAAAUUGGCUGCUUAAUCAAUAUGUCAUACAGGCUUCGCUAGUGAGGUAUAACUUCACAACUAGAGUCAAUAGAAAUUAUCAAAUGAUUUUUUAACAUCCAAAUUAAGCAAUAAAUUUUGUUUUCAUUUUAUGACAUAUAAUAGUACUACUUCAUGAGAGAUUUUAUAGUUUCUUUUAGGUAUCAUACCUACAAGUGAUAUUUGUCAUUGGAUAGUGACAGAAGUGUUAAUGAUUGUAAGAUUAAAUAUUGUUAAAUAUUGAAAUUUAAACUAUUUAUCUUUAUUGAAAGAUACAAGUUAAAGAAUCGUUCAAGGGGGCAAUUUUCCAUCUUGUCUUUUUGAAAAAACGCUAUCACAUUGUAUAGGCAUGAUAGGUUCAAAUUUGUCAUUAAAUUUAUGAUUGAUUUUCCUUUUAUUCAAGCCAAAUAUUGUUUUAAUUAUCAAAUUCUACUUAUAUUUGGUUAAUUGUACUAAUUGUAGGGCGGUAGAGCAAAAGUUGCUAAAAAUAGGCGAUUUUCUGCAAAUUGGUUGUCAAGGCUGAAGGAUUUGGGAUUCGCAUGUUCAAGGCCUGUUUCCAAGUUUGAUUCAAACUCUGGACAGUUUUAGAGGAAGAUUUGGAAGAUUUGAAAUUUCAUUAUUAGUUUUAUGGUUGAAUUAGGAAUCUUGGAAUAAUUUCUUUUGUGAUUUAUUUUUCUAUUUAGGAGACUAGUUGUUAUUUAGUAGUAGACUUCAAUUAGAAAACAAAGAGAAAAAGAAGGCCGGAAUCCCGCUUGAUUAAUACCUUGGCCAGGGAACAAUCUCGGUGGGGAGGACGGCCACUUAGCCUCUCAAUUCAUCUUGCUUUUCGUUAGUUUGAGAGGAAAACCAAUUGCAACUAGAUUCAAUGGAGUCUGGCAGAAUUUCUUCUAGGAUGCGUAGCUAAAUCCUCAAUUUUUAGUCGAAGGUCAAUUUGAAAAUUCGGUUCCAAAUAUCUGUGAAAUCGAAUUAUUUUACUUAUUUCUUUUAUUUAUUGGUAUUCGCACGUUUUCUGAUUUAACUUUUUAUGAUUGUUUUGUUAUUUGAAUGUCAAGGGUCCGAUAUUCGAAUUAACUUAAUAAUCUACUGCCAAAUUAACCGGUUAAAUCCGUAAUUGUUUGAUUGAUUAAUAUCAGUGGCGACUAGCGUGAUUGGUCCCAUGUUAGGAAAACGUCUGAUCUAAUUUAAACAAACCGUCGUAGCGUGUUUGUUGAUUAGGGUUGGGCUUUUCUAAUUCUUAAUUCAAUUGAGAAAUUAAAUCCCCCGGUCGUACCUAGGAUUAUUUUUUUGUUAGCGAAAUAGUUAAUGGUCGUACCUUGACUAUCGAAAAAGUAAGGAAGAGUUGAUUGUUUAUCGCGUGUACGACAACUAUAAUCAAUCUAUUAAUGAGUAAUUGAAUUAUCUUUGCAUCAGUAAUCAGUUGAAUGGACCGUGUCUGAAAAGUUGUACCUUUGGCUAGAGUCUUAUCUGUUGUUGAUUCAUUCAUAUCUAUCUUCAUGCGUUGUUUUAAUUUAGUUAAUUAGUUAUUUUUAUAAAAACCCCUCAUCUCUGGACUCUAAAAGAAAUAAAUUAUUUCUAGUUCCUGUGGAUUCGAUCCUACUCACCAUACAAUCCAACCUGCAAUUGUAUGAACCCCAAUCUCGCUUCCUAGUCCACCAUUUUUCUCUAGGUAAUAAUCUCCCUUCUAAUUUCUUCACAAAAUGCACCUUUCAUCACCUCCAAUAGCGUCGACAUGAUCUUUACCCCAGAAGACUAUUCACCGACUCUCAAUUGACGUUAGAAAAUCUAAGAGUAAUUCUACUUUACCCUAAGAUUGAUAUCAACAAGACAAGGACAAUUUAGAAUUAUUACACGCCUCUUCUUAAUAGGAAAAAGAAAUAGAGAAGAAAGUCAGGCCAGGUCUAAUUUCUUUUCAAAGGCAAUACAACAUUACGAAAUCAAGCAUUCAUUCAUACAAAUAUUUCAUAGUCACCGGUUUGCUGAGUAGAAAAAUUUAGACAAAAACUUAAUAUUAUAUUGUUUAAGAGUUAACAAUUUAGAGCUUAAUCUCCUUGUACUUUGGAGUUAACAAUUUAGAGCUUAAUCUCCUUGUACUUUGGACUAAACUUGAACGUGAAAGGAAAUCCCAAAACCAUAUUGGGCAUGAAUUCACACUUAAUAUACCCAAUAAAAGAUGGCGACUGGUGAAAGGCAGUGGAGACUGGUGGAGAGAUUUGAGGAAUAGAAGCAGACGGAAAAGCAACAAAUUUUUGCCGAAAAACGGUCACUUUCAUGGUUAAUUUUGCUACUCUCCAAUUGUACUUGACCAAUUACAACAAUUUCAUGGAGUUUGAUACGUGAAAAGAAUUUUUUAUAAAUUUUAUUUUGAUCCAUAAUGUUAUCUUUACAUAUAUAAAACAUUUUACAAUUUUGAUUUUGGCGCAGUUAACUUUUGGUAAACAAAAAUGCUCAUGUUUAAAAAACCGGAAAUAAAACAAAACAAGAAACAAAAGAAAUAAGAGGGUAGCAUAGACAUUUUGGAUUUUUCCGUUAAUUUGGAUGAUUUCCACCCACGUUCUAAUUUAAUCCAAAACACAAAGGAAUUACGUAGAGGUUUUAAAUAAUGAGGGAGCUUCAUGAUCGAACCCCAAACCACAAGGCGAUUUACUAUAUUUUACUCUUAAAUUUUGGUUUCAUCUCAUAGCAUACAAGAGUUCUAUUUCACUAUCUGUAGACAAAGACUUUCUAUGGUUGAUGUACCAUAGGAAAAAAUCUGCCUAUACAACGUGAUAGCAUUUUUUCAAAAACACAAGAUGGAAAAUUGCCCCCUUAAACGGGGAAAUUCAUGAUCUUUCCUCGAACAAAGAAUACUCACGCCUAUUCAAGAUGGAAAAUUGCCCCCUUAAACGUCUAUUUGUCAAUUCUUGAAAAAAGAAUACUCACGCCUAAAACACGGCCUCUUCAUCUGCAGAAUUCUAAAAAGUUAGGUAAACUCUAUAAACAAGUUGAUAGGUACAAUCGUACCCAAGAUCAAGUACAGAUAGUUGUACAUUCACUGCUGCAAUAACUAAUCUGAUGACUUACAAACAUAUCAUGGUCAAUCGUUGAAUGGUAAUGAGUCUUUUGUUAUGCAUUAGUAUUAGUGUGUACACUCUAAUAGAUUGAUACUUAUACUCUUUAAAUUAUCAUAAUAAUACCCUUAAUUAACUUUAACUCUUAAAAAGAAUACGUGUUAAUACACGAGAGUGUGUAACCUGAAUUGUUACUUAUACAUUAGUGUGUAAUAGAUAGGGAUGGCAAUGGGGGCGGGUGCCCGCAGGCAACCGCCCCGCGGGGGGCUCUCGGGGCGGGGAGGGGGGAAUUUUUUCCCCCCGUUUAGAAACGGGGCAGGGGACGGGGGAGUAUACCCCCGCCCCAUCCCCCGCAAAAAAAAUUAUAUAUAUAUAAUUAUAUAUAAUAUGUAAUUUAAUUAGUUAUAAACUUAUGAUAAUGAUAUUAUUAGUUAGAUGUAUUAUAUAAUGUAUAUUAGUGUAUGUAAUAUAAUUAAUAUUAUCAAUUAUACGAAUAAUUAGACAUGUCUACUAAUAGAAUUUAUUAAUUAGUUAUACUAAAUUUACUAAUACAUUUAUACUAAAUUUCUAAUUACAUUUAAUAGAAUAACACUUUUUUCUAAAAAAAAAAGCACAAACACAAUAAUGAAUUAGUGAUUGUAUUUUUACCAAAAAUGAAAACUUAACUAUUUUAGUUGCAUUUAUUUCAUCAUGUUGGAUUGUAUUCAAAUAAUUUUUGUUUGAUUGUUUUUAUGAGUUUCAAUUGUAAAAUUAAAAUGAAUAAUAACUUGAUGAAUAAUAAUGUCAAUCGUUGAAUGGUGUGUACACUCUAAUAUUAUGCAUUAGUAUUAGUGUGUACACUCUAAUAGAUUGAUACUUAUACUCUUUAAAUUAUCAUAAUAAUACCCUUAAUUAACUUUAACUCUUAAAAAGAAUACGUGUUAAUAACUCUUAACCUGAAUUGUUACUUAUACAUUAGUGUGAAAUAGAACGGCAAGCAUUGAGCAACUUAUAGGAGAAAUAGUCCUAUAAGCUGUUGGAUGACUAAUAUAGCUCUAGCUGUAAUGUUUUAAUUAAAUUACAUCACUAACGUUGGGAUGACUAAUGGUUUAAAAAUAAUUGAGUAAUUGGAAAAAAAAAAAGAGACUAAUUUUCAUUGAAACCCACCGACAAACUAAACGUGUCCAUGGCUUUUGAAUAGUGCAUUCAACGUUUAAUUGUAUAGUCCAGUUCAUUGCAGAUUACAUGGAGUAAAGAUUGUGCUCUUUCCUUUUUCACCCCUUUUGGAAUCGAUACUGUGGAGAAUUGGGUUUUUCCCUUCUUUUUUUCUUUUCUUUCUUUCUGUGCUUUGCAAAACAUAGGUAAAAUUAUGAAAUCCGAAGCAUUCUUUAAUUGGGAUUAAGUAUUGUUCUUGAAAUUAAAAAGAAGAAAGAAAGAACAACAAAAUUCCCUGAUUGGUUGCAUCGUGCUUCCAUAGAAGCUCUCUUAGUGUGAUACACUGCUUUCAAUCAGUUUAACAUGGAAAAAAGAAAGAGAUGAAAAGCAAAUUUGGUGGGGAUAAUUUCAGAAACCUCCCCUGAAGAUUUUGACUAUUCUACUGGUCUCCCUUCAGAUUUUAAAAAUUACACUAAUCUUCCUUGAAGUUAUAACAUUUAAAUUCAAUCAAUAAUUUAAAAAAUGAUAUUAUGAAAGAGAAAAUAAUAUGAUUUUAUCAUUGCCCCCCAUCUUACUACAUUAUUUAAUUAAUUUAAUAGCAACCCACACAUUAAAGAAAAAUAUAAAAUUUGUUAUUUAUCAUUAAAGAUCAAAUCGCUUAUAACAUCAAAUAAUAGUAUAUUAUUUAUAUUUUUCACUUAACAUAAUAUCCAAAUUACUCUUUUCAAUUACAUACUCAUUGUUAGACAAUCAACAACAAAUAACCAAAAAAUUUGCAACCAAAAUAUUACAAAAAAAAAUAAACUUUAACAUCAUAAAUAUUCUUAUCAACAUAUUAAAGUUAGUUACUGAAAUUUUUAUGGUGUUAAACUUCACUCUUUGUAAUAUUUUGGUUACAGAUUUUUUUUGAUUAUUUUUUAUUAAUUAUGUUUGAUGAUGGGUUUGUAAUUGAAAAGAAUAAUUUAAAACUUACAUUAAGUGAAAUAUAUAGAGUGAUAUACUAUUUUUUAUAACAUAUGUGAUUCAAUCCUUCUUGAUAGGAUUGGUAAUAGAGGUAGAGGGGGGAGUCGGCUGCAUCCGGUCUUCUUUUCAUAGAUAGUACAAUAUUGCGAAAUCAAUCGCAUUCACACAAUAAUAUUUCGAAGUCAAUGCAUGGCUAAGUUGCAUAAAAGUACGAACACUUGUUAUUAUAUAGCUUAAGAUUCAAAACUUUAGAGCAUAACCCUCCACCUAACACAAUUGAAUAAUGAAUAUUCACGUUUGUCAAAUCUGUCAAAGCACAGUUUGAGGACAACCCAUUCCAACCUGCAAAAGAUUUUUUACUUUUCUAAAGUUGUUGAGAGCUGUAAAAAGACCUACCAUGCUUACAUCCUCCGAGCCUUGGGAGUUAAAAAUGAAGGCACUGAGUGCUAUAAAAAGGGGGCUAGAGGCUGCCUAGAAGCAUAUCAGCCUAAAACAAGAAUUUGUUGUUAUGAUGGGAAGCAAAGCAAAAGCAAUGGGGUCUGGGCUGACUCCUCUUCUUGCCACUGUUUUAGUGGUAUUUGUUGCUCUUGGCUUGCCCUCAGAAACAGCAGCUGAUGAUCACUACAAGUAUUCAUCUCCUCCUCCUCCUUACCACUAUCCCUCACCACCGCCUCCAGUGCAUUUACCUCCACCAGUGUACAAAUACAAGUCCCCACCACCACCUCAUCAUGUUUACAAGUACAAAUCUCCACCACCCCCACCACCACACCCAGUUUACAAGUAUAAGUCACCACCACCACCUCCUCAUCCGGUACCACACCCAGUUUACAAGUAUAAGUCACCACCACCACCUCCUCAUCCGGUAUACAAGUAUAAGUCUCCUCCGCCACCACCACACCCAGUUUACAAGUAUAAGUCACCACCACCACCUCCUCAUCCGGUACCACACCCAGUUUACAAGUAUAAGUCUCCUCCGCCACCAGUUUACAAAUAUAAGUCUCCUCCACCACCACCUCCAGUGUACAAGUACAAGUCUCCACCACCACCAGUUUACAAGUACAAAUCACCACCACCUCCUCCCCCAGUUUACAAAUACAAGUCUCCACCACCACCAGUUUACCACUACAAGUCACCACCACCUCCUCACCCAGUUUACAAGUACAAAUCUCCUCCACCACCAAUUUACCACUACAAGUCACCACCACCUCCUCCCCCAGUUUACAAAUACAAGUCUCCACCUCCUCCUCACCACUACUAAGCAAUUGCUUCUGAGGUAAUAACACUUGUUCAAUAACACUUGAUAGCCAGCUGAAUAUUUGCAGGCAAAGGAGAAGGAAACCAGUGUUUGAGACCUUCUUGAAGAUGUAGAAGCAUAAGAAUUAAAGCCCAAUGUGAAGAUGAUGAUUUCAAGUUUUUCUACGUUACCAUUUCAAUAUCUAAAUUGGUUGUAGCGCCUUAGUUCCUUUGUUUAUGGGAUUUGUAUCGUUUUACGUACCAUGCAGUACAUGUCAUGUUUGUAAGGUUUUCUAUCCUGCCGGCAAACCGCAGGUUCCAUGUAAUAAAUCAAUACUAUUUAUAUUACGACACUUUUCUCUGUUUCUCUUAUAUUUUGUCUUUAAUAUUCUUAAUCAUAUUUUUAACAAAAAUAUUCAAACACUUCAGCAAUGGUUCACCUAGUUGAUCAUCGAAGCAGAGGCAAUUCCAAUUAUUUAUCAAUAAAUAGGAUAUAACUACCAAACAAGCGAUGGCAGUUAACCCCUCCUUACUGUGUCGGUGAUCAAGGUACGCCCGUUAAUCACUGCUCUAAUUGAGAAAUAAUCCUAAGUACGCCCGUAGAAUUUAAUUCCCCAAUUGCCUUACAUAUUAGAGGAGCCCUAUUCUAACCAAAUAACGCACUAUCAGGGUUAUUUUAGAUUAGCCCGCGUAUUCCCCUGACAUAAAUCUAAUCAUGCCAGUUGUCAUUAUUUUGAGGUAAUUAAACAAUUACGGAUUUAACACCUCAAUUGACAAUAGAUUAUUAAAUUAAUUAAUUAUUCGGAUCCAAGACAAUCAAUUAAUUAAACAACCAUAAGCACUACAAUCAGAGAAUAUGCAAAUACCAAUAAAUAAAUAAAAAAUAAAAUUAAAUCGAUCUCACAAUUUUUAGGCGAAUCAGAGCAUCCGUUGUCCCUUGACUAGAGCAAGGAAAUUAGUUCAUAUUUGAUGAACUAAACCCAUACAAAAGGGAAGCGAGAAAUGCAGCCAUUAUCCUUUGAAAUCUGGAAAAUUCAACUUGUCCGAAUAUCGAAUAGAUAGUAAUACUACAAAAGGUAAUUCAUAGCUUCCCUUUCGUCUGACACACAAGAAGAAAAAAAAGGGCUGCUAAUAACUAAAGGAGGAAAAGUCAAAGUCCUAAGCUAUGCUACAAGACGAAAAACUAAAGAAGACAAAAAGGCAGUGCUCAUUCCCUGCAAUCUCAAUUCCUAUUCUAUCUAAGUGCUCUCCAAUGUGCGGCGGCUCCCCUUCCGGAGAGGACGAAGUGGCACCCUUUUUUCCUGCGCAAUUUUCCUAUAUAAAGUAGUGCUCCUUGCAGCGGCUCCUGUGCGAAAAAAUGAAGACUUCGGCCCAAUUUGCCUAACAAGGGCUCACGUUUUGUUGUUCUAAAAAUGUCCCUAGGACAAACUCUAUCAUCUGAACUCUUUUCUUGCCAAAUUAGUACCUGUUAUUAUAUUUUCGUUCUACUCCCUGAAAUAAAUGCAAAAUAUCAAAAGUGAGUAGAAUCUAGCAAUUAAUCCACAUUAGGUCAGGUAAUAGGGAAAAUUAAUAAUAAAAUAAAUGAUAAAAUUGCAAUCUAUCACGGGACCACUGUGGUAAGGUGUGUUUCGCCUAUUAUAAGGAGUUCGGAGAGUUAGACGUGUUGGAGGCGGAGGCGCGGUCACUCCUGCACGCCCUCCAGCUGUGUGCAGAUCGCGAGGUACGGGCGUUGACUGUAGAAUCUGAUUCAAAGGUGCUUGUUCAACUAGUUUGCUCGGAUAUGAGGUCGAAGUGGCCGGUGUGUAUCGUAUUGCGGGAAAUAAGACAUUUGAUCCGGCGGAUGGGUGCAUCCCUUCAUCAUAUAUUCCGUGAGGCCAAUUCGGUGGCGGACGCAUUGGCUUCUCUGCAAUUGGGAGGGCAGCAGUACUACACCUCAGGCGUGGCGCUGCCUUUCAGGCCCAGAGGAGAGGCUCUGCUGGAUCGUCAAGGAGUACCUCGCAUCCGUGAGGCGCUCACUAAGGUUUGAUAGGCUAUGUCCUCCUUUCAAAAAACUUAUUUCAUCUACUCCUUGUAAUCAUUUUUCUUAUCAAUAAAUUGAGGCUUUUUAUUUAAAAAAAAACAUAUAAUUUAAGGCAAAAAUAUGAUCCUAGCGAGUAUCGCACUGAGACAUUAGGAAACAUCAUUAAAAGAGUAUUUCUUGAGUUAGUGCAACUAUUUCUUAGGGGAAUUUAUAGUUACAAAAUUCAAAAAUUUGAGAUUCUAUUACUGAUUAAUUAAGGGCGUUAUCACUAUUUUUCUUAUUAUCACCAUUAUUUACCCCACAUACUAUAAGUUUUUUUAGGGCACAGGAAAAGAGGUGGGCCGAUGUUUAGUUAUGUACAAAAGUUCAAAAUUUGUAGAUAACUUAUCAUGUGCCCUUAGAGCGUAGAAUACAGAAAAAAUAUCUUAAACUAUAACUAAUCCUAAUAUUUUUCUCUAUGAUAAACUAGCUCUUAUCCAUUUCUUUAGAUGAUGAAAGGAAAUAGUUAGUCACCUGUCCUCUAGUGAUUACAACAGCAUCAAAACAAAUUAGCACUCUUUUCCCGUAGUUUAAAAAUCCCUCAGCCACUAAGAUUUUGCAUGUCGAACGAAUUAAGGAACAUAGAAGGUUCGUGCUGCACCACAGUGUCCUUGUUGACGAUGCAAAGACAGAAAUGCAUCCGCGUAUACUUCCUUAAGCAUUUUGAUUACUUUAUGAUUCGAACUUUUCUUGUCUGACAGCUGGACUUAAUUGAAAAACACAAGUAACAAUAUUUCAAAGUUGAUUCGUCAAAGUUUACCCAAUUGGUGAAACUUUCUUCAUAGAGCUGACUUUGUAUUAGGUGACAAUGAUAUGGAAUUGAUGUCCUUCCCUUUUUCCUUUUUUUGUGUUGAAGACGCACAACGUUUUCAAUGGCAAAUUUAUAUGGGCUUUUCACGACAAAAUGUGUUCUGAAAAGUUCAUUCCAGAGGUUAAAAUUUUGUGUGUUAAAAAUUUGCUUCUCAGGACUUUGAUGGGAAAGUCUUGGUGUUUCCAAAAAGUUUAAGCAGGAUGCUUCUGGCUUUCUCUCCAUGUAUUUGUGAGUUAGAUCUAAAAUUAUCAGGGCUCCAGAGAUCUCUUGAAAUCGCAGCAUAUAUUGAAGUCUUUCCAGAAGGAGUCUUUUUUUUUUUUUUUAUGAAUUAUGAUAGAUAAUUAAUCUGACGGUGCAUAUAUAUAUAUAUGUGAUUUGCAGUAGGGUGUUUGACGAAAUGGUUAGGCUUCCUAAGUAAUGAUAGGAAUGCCAUUUGCAAAGAAGGACAGGGGGCUGGUGCUGUCAUAUUUUAUGCGAUUUGAUCCGUUGUUGUAUAAGUUUAAACUUUUGACGUGCAAUUGUGCUAUAAUAUUAUACUAAAUAUAUGUGUGAAAUAUUUUGUCUAUAUACAUCACUUUUAUCAUGAAUACAACAGCUGAGUAUAAUAAUAUAGUAUAAUGUAAUUGUACACCAAAUAAUGUAGCAAAUAUAACAAUUGAUCCGAAUUACACGGAACCAUAACAACAAGAUCACCGCCUCCCAAAUUUUACAAAAUUAGGUUUUUUUUUUUUCUCUUAGAUUAUUGAAAAUUUUCAAAAAUAAUCUACAUAAUUUAAGCUUUUGUCCUACAAAAAUUUGAAGAGAUUUUACAUUACAAGCUUAAGCUUAGAUAUAUUAAACUUUGCCCCCAAGAUUAAUUUUCCGUUUUUAUCUAUGAACCGAUCCAUAUAGCUAGUUAGACUGUAGUCCUCACAUUUGUGGGAUUUAACACCCAAGAUUCUCCUUCUUGGAAUGUAAAAUGUAGAUCUUCUAUGUUAAUAAUUCAAGACCCUACUGUCAUAAACGAAAUGACUGAUCAACUCCUGUAAACCUAAUUUGACAACAUUUAAAUGGAGAACUUUAGCUAAAAGAAUUAUGGUCAAGCUAAAGAAAAAGCCAGUUAUUUUCCAACAUAUGCAAUCAUUGAUCAGGAAAAAAAAAAAAAAGCAAAAAGACAUCUUCAAUCAUUUAAUAGCUCACAGUGCAAAUUAACCCCUAAGCGAAAACUGGUUGCUCUAGAAUCAAAAUUUUACCUUAGUUACCCAGGCAACUUUUUUGUUGCUUUUUUUUUUUUCUUUUCCUUUUUGGGUAUAUAUAUAGCUCCAGUUUUGCCCCCUCUGUCAAGCUUAUAUAAUUAUUAAGAUAAUAAAAGUGCCUUGAAUAGUAUUAAUAUAUCCAUUGACUUGAGCUGUCAUCGAUCGGUUUGGGCUACUUCGAUUCCAUGAGAACAAAUGGUAAUAAAAGUACUCAGAAAAUAGGGAGCCAUGAAACCCUUUUGUUCUAUUCAUUGCUAAGAUGCUUUUCUCUAUAAAGAGACUUCCUAACGAAAGUACUUUGUAGAUUUCUUUACUCCAAGUGGUGCAUGGAAAAUUAAAAUAUUCAAUUAUCAAAUAAAAUUCCCUUUUUUCGGUGUAGAUUUCAUCCAUCCAGCUGUUAACACAUUUUAUGUAUCCGAAUUAUAUAUUCUCUACCAAAUAUUGUAACUUUUCUGAGCAUCUUUACAUUUUUAUUCCCACCUAACAAAUUAGUUGUUGAGCAUCUUUACAUGCUAUCGGAUCACAAGUUAAUAAUCUUUUAAAGAACAUGUUAAAUUAAUUUAUUGGUAUGAAUAGUCAAAGAAGUAUAUUAAAGUUAGUAAUCUUUAAACACCACGAUGCAAUUAAUACUUUCAAGCUCAAGGUCUUUUUUUUUUUUUUUUUUGGUACUGUACUUCCUUGCUUUAUAGUAUGCACGUUUAUUUCUGUGGAUUGCUUAAGCUUAUAUUGUUAAUAAUUGGGCAUUUAACCAUAAAUUAUAAUGAUUAUGAAGUCAUAUAUAUAUAUAUAUAUAUAAGAAAAUUACCACAAUUAUUCAAUUUUUUUUGCAAAUUCAAAUUUUAUUAAUAAGAAAUAGGCAGUAAGCUUUUACAAACGGAAAAAAAAAAUCCUACAACAACUCUAGGACCUUUGAAAGAAAGAAAAAAAAAAGAAAAGAAAAGCUUAAGGACUCUACCUCAUAGAAGCUAAACAAUCCUACAAAUAAACUGCAAAAUAAAUCACAAUAACGCAAAAUUUUUGUCUUUCUUCCGUAUGAAAUGAAACUACGAAGUCAAGAAUUGACUCCUUUAACCGCUAUUGCCAGCGGGCUCCGUCAGCAAGAUACAACUUUGCAAUUUGAUUCAAUAGAAAUCCUCAAAUAGCUAUUUUGACAGGCAAAUUAAGCAUUAAUUUUGGUAUCCCUUCAUAAAAUACAAGAGUACUUUUGAUUAUAUCUAUAGAUCAACUUUCUAGGCUAUUUUGAUGUAUUAUAAGAAAAUCUGCCUCAACAAUUUUGAUAGCAUUUUUCCAAAAGCAGAAGAUGGAAAAUUGCCCAUUUGUACUGGGGAGUUCGUGAUCUUUUCCUCCUUCUAGUCUACUUACAAUUCUUGGAAAAAGGAAUACUCACAUCUCAAACAACUGCCUGUUCAUCUGCAAUGUCCUGCCGAAUUCUAGAAAGUUAGGUGGCAAUGCUAAUUACAUUUCAAAAUUGACUGCUGCGAUGACUAAUUCGAUGGCUUACUACAUGGUCAACGUUUGGAUCCCUUCCUGUCCUUUUUGGAUGCACAUUUUUUUUCUCUAGGCAAUAUAUAAUCUCCCAACUCAUUUCUUUACAAAUGCACCUUUAAUCACCACCAAAAGGUGUGGACAUGAUCUUUACCCUAGAAAACUAAUCACCGACAGGCAAAUUGACGUCAGAAAUACUAAGAGGAAUUCUAGUUUCCUUCGGGUUAAUGCCAUUUUGUACCCUUCAACUGUAACUCGAUUUCUAAACUAUAAUUUGUGACAUUAUAGUCCUUAAACUAUGAAACCCCUCUUACUUAAGUACAAUGGUUAAUACAAUACCCGUGACUAGACAAGCAACCAUAACAAAAAAAAAUCCAAAAUUAGAGAAAAGAAAGAAGUUUCGCGACCAAAGUAUGUAUCAAGGCAUAGUAUAGAAAUAAAAGUGUCCAAAUUAAGAGUUUAGGGAUAAAAGAGAUCAAGAUAUAGUUUAGGGAUUGAUUUGUCUCAAUUAGAGUUUUGAUGUCAACUAAGAAGAGAGAUAUAGUUGAAGGGUAGAAUAUAGAUAUAACAGUUCAAUGAUUGAUAUCAACGAGACAAUGACAACUUUGGAUUAUUACCAACCUCUUCUUGAUGGGAAAAGGAAAUAGAGAAGAAAGUCGGGCCUGGUCUAAGCCUGCUUCGGAGGCAAAACAACAUUAUGAAAUCACCGGCAUUCACACAAAUAUGUCAAAGUCACCGGCAUGCUAAGUUGCAUAAUUUAUACAAACACUGAAUAAUAUAUUGUUCUUAAAAUUUUUGUUUAAGAUUUAACAAUUAGAGCACGGUACACGAAUUAGCAAUAUUAAAUAAUGAAUGUUCACGAUUGAUAAAGUUAUCAAAGUACAGUUUGAGGACAACCCAUUCCAACGUGUACAAGAUGUUUAGCCUUUGAAAAGUUAAUUAGAGAAGGUGACGAGAUUUUACUAGGCUUAAAUCUUCUAGGCCUCGGAAGUAAAAAAUGAAGGCCUUUGAGUGCUAUAAAAAGGGGGCUAGAUGUUGCCUAGAAGCAUAUCAGCCUCAGACCACAUUUUGUAGCAAUGGGGAGCAAAGCAAAAGCAAUGGGGUCUAGGCUGACUCCUCUUCUUACCACCGUUUUAGUGGUAUUUGUUGCUCUUGGCUUGCCUUCAGAAACUGUGGCUGAUUACUACAAGUAUUCAUCUCCUCCUCCUCCUUACCAUUAUUCCUCACCACCACCUCCUGUGCAUUCACCUCCACCACCGCCAAUUUAUAAGUCACCCCCACCACCUUACCACUACUCCUCACCGCCACCUCCAGUGUAUUCAUCUCCACCACCACCUUCGCCAGUUUACAAGUCUCCGCCACCACCUUACCAUUAUUCGUCACCACCGCCUCCGGUGCAUUCACCUCCACCACCACCUGUUUACAAGUCACCUCCACCACCUUCGCCAGUUUACAAGUCUCCGCCACCACCUUACUAUUAUUCGUCACCACCGCCUCCGGUGCAUUCACCUCCACCACCACCGAUUUACGAGUCACCUCCACCACCUCCUCCAGUUUACAAGUCUCCGCCACCACCUUACCAUUAUUCCUCACCACCACCUCCAACGCAUUCACUCCCACCACCAGUUUACAAAUCACCGCCACCACCUCCUCCUAUGUAUAAGUCCCCUCCACCACCUUAUCAUUAUUCCUCACCACCACCUCCAGUGCAUUCACCCCCACUGCCACCAAUUUACAAGUCUCCGCCACCUCCAAUCUACAAGUAUAAGUCACCACCACCUCCUCCCCCAAUUUACAAGUCACCACCACCACCUCCUCCAGUAUAUAAGUCCCUACCCCCACCAGUGUAUAAGUACAAGUCUCCACCACCACCUCCUCCAGUAUACAAAUCACCUCCACCACCUCCUCCAGUUUACAAAUCUCUACCACCACCAAUUUAUAAAUACAAGUCUCCUCCACCACCUCCUCCGGUUUACAAUUCCCCACCACCACCAAUCUACAAGUCUCCACCUCCACCCUCCCAUUACUACUACAAUUCUCCUCCUCCUCCUCCUCAUCACUACUAAGCAAUUGUAUCCAAGUUUUUGAGGUAAUAAUGCUAAACCAAUAUAUUAACUUUCGCAUGAUAAACUUUAUCUCUAUCAAGACAAACUGCCAUGUGCAUCAAGCCAAAUACGUACACUUCGAUCCAUGAAAAUGACAAGUAGAAGGUUUUCUUAAGAACCAAGGAACAGCAUUAGUAUUCCCUCUGUUUCCAAAACUUGUGUAUUAAAUAGAUUAAUGAAUUGUUUAACAUGCUUAUCUACUUGAAAAUGCACAAUACCCAUAACCCACUGAAAUUUUUGCAGGUAAAGGGGAAGAGAAUCUGUGUUUGAGAGCUUCAUGAAGAUGUUGAAGAAUAAGAAUAAAAGCCCAAUGCGAGGAUGUUUUCAAGUUUUUCUAUGUUUCCACUUUAAUUUGUAAAUUGAAUUUUUCGACUUAAUUAAUUCCCUGUUUGUGGGGUACGUAUUGUUUUACGUACCAUGCCGUACAUGUUUGUAAGGAUUUCUAUCCUAUUGGCAAAAGUCGGUUCCAUACAAUUAAUCAAUUCAUUUCACUUCUAUUGGCUCUACUAUUUAUGCACGUUACGACAUUUUUUCUCUCUUUCCCUUAUAUUUUGUCUUUAAUAUUAUUGAGUCAAUAGUAAUACUGGGCCAUUUUUUUUAAAACUUAUACUAGUAUACAUAGGUAGUUUGGUCUAACGCCAAAUUCAUGUUUGUCUUUCUUUUAUUCCCUUUACAUUUCAAAGUAUACUAUAGUUUGUGAUCAUUGUGGUGAUGAUAUUACCAGCUGGUACUUAUAGUUUAAGGCAGAGACAUGAUAUUAACAACUAUCUCAUUGAAACAUAAGGAAAAAUCAUGACAAGUGUGAGUCUUGGUUAAUGCACAAUUUGUUAGUGGAAUUUAUAUUUAUAAAACUCAAAAAAAAAAUUUUGACAAUGCUAUUACUAAUUAAUUAAGGACUUUAUUGCUAUAAUUUAUCGCUUGCUAGUUUAAACUAUAAAUGAUCUCAAUACUUUUCUCCAUGAUGUCGAUUUCUUUAGAUACGAAAGGGAAAAAUUAGUGACAUAUCCCUUACUGAUUACAACAUCAGCAAAAAUUAGUUAUAAACUUUUCCGGUGGUUUUAAAUCCCCGGGCCCUAAGAUUUUUUGCUCAUCGAGUGAAUUAAGGAACAUAGGCAAUUCAUUUUGCAUACCAAGUCCUUGUUUAAGAUGCAAGUACUAAAAUGCAUCCACUUCAUUAAUUUGGGAAAUUGCCAUAGUUUUUUUAAGCAUUUUGAUUUUUUACAUGAUUUAAAAUUUUCUUAUUGGAUACAAUCACUUUGUAUCAAGAACACAUUUUCAAUCACCUUUUUUUAUCUUCUCAAUGAGAAAAUAAAAAUUUAUUCAUGCUUUUCUAACAUAUUCAAUCAUUGAUCUGAAAAUUAAAACAUUAAGAAAAGGACAUUUUCAAACAUUAAGAAGUAGUAUUUUAAAGACCAUGAUGAAAUUAAUACUUUCAAGGUCUCUAUUAGGAAGACUUCCUUUAUUAAUACUCUACUAGGCAGAGUUAUAUGCACGUUUACUGUUUUGGCCUUAAGUUGGGUGCAGAUGCUUAUAUUACAAAUAGAUGGUAUCAAAAAAUUGUUGUAUUCACGUCUGUUCUUUUUUUCUUCCUUAAGUUUUUUUCUUUAUUCUCGUGACUUCGCUAGUGAGGUAUAACUUCACAACUAGAGUCAAUAGAAAUCGUCAAAUGAUUUUUUGACAUCCAAAUUAAGCAAUAAAUUUUGUUUUCAUUUCAUAACAUAUAAUAGUACUACUUCAUGGGAGAUUUUAUAGUUUCUUUAGGGUAUCAUACCUACAAUUGAUAUUUAUCAUUGGAUAGUGAAAGAAGUGUUAAUGUCUCUAAGAUUAAAUAUUGUUAAAUAUUGAAAAUUUGAACUAUUUAUCUCUAUUGAGAGAUACAACUUAAAGAAUCCUACCCAAAAGAGACUAGAAUUUUCUCUGUUUUUCAUCAUCUGUAGACAUAAACUUUCCACGGUUGAUAGCAUUUUUCAUCAUCUAUAAGGAAAUUUUGCCUAUACAAUGUGAUAGCAUUUUUCAAAAAGACAAGAUGGAAAAUUGCCCCCCUUGAACGGAAAAUUGCCCCCUUGUCAAUUCUUUAAAAAAGAAUACCGUCCCGCAGAAUUCUAGAAAGUUAGGCAAAACUAGACAAGUUGACAGGUAUAAUCAGACCCAAGAUCAGGAACAAGCAGUUGCACAUUUCAAAAUUCGCUGCUGCAACAACUAAUUUGAUGACUUACAACACUAAAUGGUCAAACUUUGAAUGGCAAUGAAUCUUUUGUUGUACAUCAUGAUGUAAUUUUCAUGUUACAUAAUAGAUUGAUAUCUAUGUUCUUUAAAUUAUCAUAAUAAUUAAAUUUAACUGAAAAAAAGAACACAUAUCAAUACACAAAAGUGUGCAACGUGAAUGUUAUUUUAGUGUAUUGCAGAAGACCUAUAGUCUCUUCAUAUCUCUUCCUGCACGUAUCAAUUCGUUUCCUCUAGAUAAUAAUCUCCCAACUCAUUUAUUUACAAAUGCACCUUUUAUGUUUUAUUACCUCCAAAAGCCUAAAAAUCAAUUCACCGACUCGCAUUUGGUAUCAGAAAUUCUUAUUACGAAUUCUACUUUACUCAAAGAUUGACUGUUAAUAAUGAGACAACGACCAUUUUGUAUUAUUACACCGUCCUUCUUGAUAGGCAAAAGAAAUAGAGAGGAAAGCGGGUCCGUAUAUGGUCUUUUAUUCAUAGAUAAUACAACAUUACGCCAUCGAGCAUUCACACAAUAUUUCAAAGUCAUUGCAUGCCUAAGGCCUGCUUGAUAAUCUAAUUCCGUACUUAAAUUUAAUAAAUUCAAAUCUUAACACAUUCAAAUCGUUUGAUAACAAAAAAUUGAACAUCUAAAUUAAUUAAGUAACACUGAAUUUUCUAGGCAAAACUUGCUCCCAAAAUUAAGUGAUAAGUUAUUCACUUAUCACUGAAUAUGAUAUGUAUUCAAAUGUAUUAGAUUUAAUACUUAAUAAUUUAAUGAAUUCAAAUUUCAUAUUUCAUAUUUCAGUUUUAUCAAACACACCUUAAGUUGCAAAAUAAUACCAAAACUUGUUAUUACAUAGCUUGAGAUUCAAAAAUUUAGAGCAUAAUUCUCAACCAAACACAAUUGAAUAAUGAAUAUUCACGAGUGUCAAAUCUAUCAAAGUACAAUUUGAGGACAACCCAUUCAAACGCGUACACGAUUUUUAACUUUUCUAAAGUUGUUGAGAGCUGUUGAAAGAGAUUUACCAUGUUUACAUCUUCCAAGUCUUGGGAGUAAAAAAUGAAGCCACUGAGUGCUAUAAAAAGGGGGGUAGAGGCCACUUGAGAUCCUCGGUGACAUGUUUUCUAUGCCAAUCCAAUGCCACCAAUAGUGUUGCGCCAAGUGUCAUGUUAUUAUUUACACUUGUGUUAAACUAAGCCAAGUUGAAUUAUUAGAAAAUUAAAGUGUAAAUAAUAACAUGACACUUGGCGCAAUACUAUUGGUGACAUUGGGUUGGCAUAGAAAAUAUGUCACCGAGGAUCCCAAGUGGAUAGAUGCUGCCUAGAAGCAUAUCAGCCUAAAACAAGAAUUUGUAGUAACAAUGGGGAGCAAAGCAAAAGCAACGGGGUCUAGGCUGACUCCUCUUCUUACCACUGUUUUAGUGGUAUUUGUUGCCCUUGGCUUGCCCUUGGAAACUGCAGCUGAUUAUUACAAGUAUUCAUCUCCUCCUCCUCCUCCUUACCAGUAUUCCUCACCACCACCUCCAGUGUAUUCACCUCCACCAACCCCUGUUUAUAAGUUACCCCCACCAUCUCCUCUAGUUUACAAGUCCUCACCACCACCUUACCACUACUCACCACCUCCUGUGUAUUCACCUCCACCAUCACCAAUUUACAAGUCACUGCCACCACCCCCUCCAGUAUACAACUCCCCGCCUCCACCAGUGUACAAAUACAAGUCCCCACCACCACCUUCUCCAAUUUACAAAUCUCCACCGCCACCAGUUUACAAGUACAAGUCACCCCCACCACCUCCUCCGGUAUACAAGUCUCCUCCGCCACCUGUUUACGAGUACAAGUCUCCUCCACCACCUCCUCCAGUGUACAAGUCCCCACCACCUCCAGUUUACAAGUACAAGUCACCACCACCUCCUCCCCCGGUUUACCAAUCUCCUCCACCACCAGUUUACAAAUACAAGUCACCACCACCUCCUCCCCCAGUUUACCAGUCUCCACCUCCACCCUAUCAUCACUACUACGGUUCUCCUCCUCCUCACCACUACUAAGCAAGUGCAUCUAAGUUUUGAGGUAAUAAUACCGAUCCAAAACUUUAUCAACGCAAACUGCCAUGUAUAUCAUGCUAAGGACGUACACUUGAUCCAUGAAAAUGGCUAGUAGAAGAUUUUUUUUAAGAACCAGAGAAAUACAUUAUUUUUUCGCUCUGUUUUCAAGAAUUUGAGCAGUAUACAGAUUAAAGAGUGUUUUUUUUAAACUUGCUUAUCAACUUAGAAAUGCACAUAGCUGAAAGCCAACUGAAUAUUUGCAGGCAAAGGAGAAGGCAAUCGGUGUUUGAGACCUUCAUGAAGAUGUAGAAGAAUAAGAAUAAAAGCCCAAUGCGAGGAUGAUUUCAAGUUUCUACGUUACCAUUUCUACAUCUAAAUUGACUUUAGCUCCUGAGUUCCAUGUCUAUGGGGUUUGUACUGUUUUACGUACCAUGCAGUACAUGCUUGUAAGGUUUUCUGUCCUGUUGGCAAGCCGCAGGUCCAUAUAAUAAAUGAAUACUAUUUAUAUUACGACACUUUUCUCUCUUUCUCUUAUAUUUUGUCUUUAAUAUUGUUGAUCAUUUUUUUUUUUUAUCAAAAGUAUCAAAUGCUUAGGCAAUUUGGUCUAAUGCUAAUUGUUUUACAUUUAUUUUUCACCUACAUCCCUUUUCAACUCAAAGGAUGCUACAGUUUGUGAUCAUUGUUUAAGACCGAAGCAUGGUACUAAUAAAUAUCUCAUUGAAAGUCAAGGAAACUAACAUUAUGAAAAGUGUAAAUCUUGAUUUGUGAAACUAUUUAUUCGUGGAAUUUAGAGAUACAAAACUCAAAUUGUGACGGUGUUGUUGCUAAAUUAUUUUUUUUUUAUAAUAAAACACAGUUCAUUCAAGGAUUACUGGAAAUCGUCCAGCACAAUUGAGAUACAUUGUUGCCCAGGUGGCAGAUAAAUAUGCACUAAAAUUAUAGAUAUGCAAUUUAACAAAUACAUAAGAUUUGAGAAAUUAAGGACAAAUCUAAAAAGGACCAUAAAUUUGAAAAACAUUUCAUCCUAGAAUAAGUCGCUGCAACUCUCUUUGUGCAUGCUGUAAUCGUCAGAUCUACUAAUCAACAGUUGUAAGGUCCAGUAAAGAUGGUGAGAUCUGCCGAGAUUGAUCCAAAUCUGAAAUAUUCCCUCAGAUCUGCUAUCCAAUUGGUUCAAACUCAAUACUGAAAGUGAAAUCUGAUGAGAAGACUGAAAAAAUUGUAGAUCUAACAUAUAGAUCUAAAAAAACUCCAAGAUUUGAAAAAGUAAAGAAACAAAACUAAAUAAAACUCUCAUUAAGAUAGUUUAGGAGAGACUAAAACUCUCAAUAGGACACCCUAGGAGAGAAGAAAACUCUCACUAGGAUAACCUAUGAGAGACUUUAUUGAAUGAAAGGAAAAGCAAAGGACAAAGGAAGAAGAAGGGAGACCUUGGCUUAAGGCCAAGGUCUCCCUCCUAUGGAGGAGGAAGGGUAGAGGAGGAAGCCUAGAGAGAAGGAAGAGAAUCCCUCCGCUAGAGGGAAGGAAGAGCCUCUGAGAGGGUACCCGUGUUGUUGCUAAAUUAUUAAGGACAUUAUCACCAUUACUUUUCCCUUACUAGUUUCAACUGCAAUGAUCUCAAUCUUUUUGUGACUAAUUCUUUUCUUAAUAAUUUAUAAAUACAAAACUCACAAAGAAUAUGUGACUUAUUCUUUCCUUUCGUCUUCUAAAGAAAAUGCCAACUGUUAGUUUAUCAAGGGAAAAAGGAUCGACAUCAGUUGUUAUUGAAACUAGUAAGGAAUAAAUAAUGGUGAUAAUGUCCUUAAUAAUUUAACAACAGCACCAUCAGAAUUUGAGCUUUGUAUCUAUAAAUUCCACGAAUAAAUAGUUUCAUCAAAUCAAGAUUUACACUUUUCAUAAUGUUAAGUUUCCUUGACUUUCAAUGAGAUAUUUAUUAGUAUCAUGCUUCGGUCGUAAACAACGAUCACAAACGAUAGCAUCCUUUGAGUUGAAAAGGGUAGUGAAAAAGAGAAGUAAAAAAUACAAUUAGCAUUCCCUCAAAUUGUAGAAAGUUAGGUAGCAUUAUAGACAAGUUGAUAGCCGUAAUUAUACUAAAAAUCAGGCAAAAGCCAGCAAUUUUACAUUUCAAAAUUCACCUAUUCAAUAACUAAUUCGAUGGCUUGCUACAUGGUCAAAAUUCACCACAUAUCCCUUUCCUCAAUCAGGGGCUUCUACAAUUACCAGUUCCAAUUGUAUGGUAUAGUGUAAAUAUCAACAAAUUAGAUGUAGACACUAAUAUAAUAAAUAUGGAUGCUAAGGCAACAACAUACAAAAACAUAAUAAAUUUUGGCAUUCCUUAAAAAAUUACGUCCCCAAAUCAAUCUCAUACACCCAAUUUCUAAUUUAUUUAACUCAUUCCGUCUAUUAACUGCACCAUACAAUCCAACCUGCAAUUGCAUGAACCCCAAUCUCGCUUCCUAGUCCACCAUUUUUCUCUAGGUAAUAAUCUCCCUUCUAAUUUCUUCACAAAAUGCACCUUUCAUCACCUCCAAUAGCGUCGACAUGAUCUUUACCCUAGAAGACUAUUCACCGACUCCCAAUUGACGUCAGAAAAUCUAAGAGUAAUUCUACUUUACCCUAAGAUUGAUAUCAACUAGACAAUGACAAUUUAGAAUUAUUACACGCCUCUUCUUAAUAGGAAAAAGAAAUAGAGAAGAAAGUCAGGCCAGGUCUAAUUUCUUUUCGAAGGCAAUACAACAUUACGAAAUCAAGCAUUCAUUCAUACAAAUAUUUCAUAGUCACCGGUUUGCUGAGUAGAAAAGUUUAUACAAAAACUUAAUAUUAUAUUGUUUAAGAGUUAACAAUUUAGAGCUUAAUCUCCUUGUACUUUGGACUAAACUCGAACGUGAAAGGAAAUCCCAAAACCAUAUUGGGCAUGAAUUCACACUUAAAUAGACCCAAAAAAAGAUGGCGACUGGUGAAAGGCAGUGGAGACUGGUGGUGAGAUUUGAGGAAUAGAAGCAGACGGAAAAGCCACAAAUUUUUGCCGAAAGAGGGUCACUUUCAUGGUUAAUUUUGCUACUCUCUACUUGUACUUGACCAAUGACAGGUUGUCAGUCUGUGCAAUAAUAAAAACCUGUUCAAACUAAAAGUAAUUUCUGUAGAUAGUGGUAAGCAGGGUCGAAUCCACAGGGAUUAGGUGUAACUGUUUCUUUUCAAAUUCACAAUAACAAAGGGGGUGUUUUUAUGCAGAAUGUGACAAUCAAAGAAAUUCAAUUAAAAGUAAAAUAAUAAAAAUAAAAUAGCCAACUAGAAAUUAAAUAACAAUUUACUAAAAUCAAAUGAGUGAUAAUUAAGGAUCUAGCCAAGGAAUAACUUCAGCAGUGGUUCACCUAAUUGAUCAUUGGAACAAAGGCAAUUCCAAUUAUUUACUAAUAAAUAGGUUAUAACUGCCAAACAAGCGAUGACAGUCAAUCACUCCUUACUGUGUCGGUGAUUAAGGUACGCCCGUUAAUCACUGCCCUAAUUGAGAAAUAAUCUUAGGUACGCCCGUAAGAUUUAAUUUUCCAAUUGCCUUACAUAUUAGAGGAGUGUCAGGAACAAGGAAAUAGAAUGGGACGUCGUUUAAUGCAAAGGGUUGUGCGUUUAAGGCCUUAGAAGCAAUACUACGUCGUUCUAAUAACAUAGGCGGUGCUGGUGUGAUAGGCCAAGUUAGUUGAGGGUCAAUUACAUAAAUAGCCUUCUGUAACAGAUUUUUGGUUAUGUUUUUGAAUGAAAAGUAUCUCGCUGCUUUCUCUCUCUUGUCUGUUAUUUCCCUCCCUUUUCUUCUUUCUCUCUUCCCUCUUCUUAAUCUUGUUUCUUUCUUCUGAUUCUUCCCCCAAAUUCAAUACAAUUCCAGAAAUUAACCUGCAAGUCUGACAUUUGGUAUCAGAGCGGUCGAUUCUUGGCCGCGAAGGUAUCAGAAAUGGCUGAGAGCACGCGAUUCAGGACACUGGAGGAGCAACUCAAGAAGCAGGAGAAUCGGUUGCAAGAACUGGCGGAAUCCAUGGCUGCACUGCAGAGUACGAGUUCCGAGGAGUUGCGGCAUAAGCUACAGGCGGAAAUGGAGCAGAACAAUGCAAAAUUGGACGCGGUGGUGGGAAGUCUGGACCAGAAGUUCAAUAAAAUGGAACAGAGACUCAGUACAGUGUUGAAGCUGCUGAUGAAGGAGAAAGGUCUCCCUGAUGUCGAAGGAGGAAUUUCUGAUCCAAUCUUGCCGACUCCUCCAUCUCAUCUGAGGUUAGCAUCCUCAGUCGAAGGGAUUGGGCACCAACAAGAGUACAGAGGUAGGCAAUUCACUCCUAAUGUACCUCGAUUAGAACUGCCAAUGUUUAACUCUGGAAACCCUAGGGAAUGGACCAGGAAAUGCCAGAAAUAUUUUUUGAACUAUCAGAUAGCAGAGAGUCAAAAGGUAGAGGUAGCAGAGAUGUUUUUGGAAGGUAGAGCUGACAAUUGGUUUCAAGGAGUGAAAUUGGUGAGGCCAGGGUUGUCUUGGGGGGAAUUUAGUGAACUUUUGUGUGAAAGAUUUUCUGGAAGUAGUUCUCGUGACAUUGUGGAGGAAUUUAACAAGUUACAGCAGAAAGGAACUGUUGAGGAAUAUGAGGAGAAAUUUGAAGAACUAAAAGCUCUAAUGCUGAUGAAAACCCCCAGGUUGGAUGAACUUUACUUUGUUUCCAGUUUUAUUAGUGGCCUCAGGGAAGAAAUUAGACCUAUGGUGAAGAUGUUUAAGCCUCAAACACUGAUGAAGGCCUUUGAAGUUGCGGAGUUGCAGGAGUGUUCCCUGGAAAUCCAAUCGAAACAAAACAGAACUUCAAGGAGGACAGCAAUGGAACCCAAGUUUGGAAUGUAUAAGGGCACUACGAGUGAUUAGGGUCGCCAAAAUUCAUAUAAGUUGCCUGGAGUCACUCCUGUCUCCAGGAGGACUAAUGCAGUACACAAGGAAUUUAGUAAGAUAUCAGCGGAGGAAAUGCAGUAUAAGCGUAAGCACAGCCUGUGCUAUAGGUGUGGAGAGAAGUUUGGAAUAGGUCAUCAGUGUAAGAAAGGAAGUCUGAACUGUGUGAGCACUGAGGAAGAGGAGGACACUGAAUUUGAGGAUGCGGAAGGGGAACAGGAUGAGUUAACAGGAAGGGUCGGGGAACUUGCAGAAGUCUCUUUGAAUGCUUUAUCUGGUGCCAUAAGGAGGAAAUCCAUCCUGUUGAUAGGGAACUUAGGGGGGCUUCCAGUCAAAAUUUUGGUGGACACAGGCAGUUCUAACAGCUUCAUUCACCACAGGAUUGUCAACCUACUGCAUCUACCAUAUCAGGCAGUCAGUCCAUUUACUGUGACUCUAGCAGAUGGAACUGACAUUACCAGUGGAGCCAUCAGUCCCAGCGUGUCUUGGUUAAUUCAGGACUAUCAAUUCCAAUUUGACUUAAAAGUAAUGGAAUUAGGGGGAUGGGAUAUAAUUCUGGGGGUGGACUGGAUGUGCCAGUAUAGUCCCAUUACAUUUGAUUUCCACUCUCUUAGCAUUGCCCUUAGUGAUAGGGGUUCUUUACUACACCUCCAAGGACUUGUGAAGCAACCUACUAUGGAACUGGUGAGGGGCAGGGAUCUCAGCUCGUUUAUACAGGAGAAGCAAAGAAACUGUGCAGCCAUGCAUGCUGAUAGGGCCAGGGAAACAGGAGAGCAGCUUCCAAAAGCUAUAGAAAGGAUCCUGGAACAGCACUCUCAGGUUUUCUCCACCCCAACAGGAUUACCCCCAGAGAGGGAAUUGGACCAUCAGAUCAACCUCAAACCAGGAGCUGAACCCUUCAAGCUCAAACCUUACAGGUACCCCCACUCACAUAAAGCAGAAAUUGAAAAAAAAGUUGCUGAGAUGCUCACUAAUGGAAUUGUUAUACAUAGCACAAGCCCCUAUGCCUCCCCUGUAUUGUUAGUAAAGAAAAAGGAUAACUCCUGGAGAUUAUGCAUAGAUUACAGGAAGCUGAACGAGCUGACUAUAAAGGAUAAGUUCCCUAUUCCCAACAUAGAUGAACUAUUGGAUGAAUUACAUGGAACCAGAUACAUGUCCAAACUGGAUCUCAGAGCUGGUUACCAUCAGUUGAGGGUGAAAGCUGUUGAUACCCCUAAGACUGCCUUCCAGACACACCAUGGCCACUUUGAAUUCUUAGUGAUGCCUUUUGGACUCACAAACGCGCCAGCUACAUUUCAGUCCUUGAUGAACAGAAUAUUUCAGCCAUAUCUCAGAAAGUUUGUCCUAGUCUUCUUUGACUACAUAUUAGUGUACAGCCCCACACUAGAGAUGCAUGCACAGCAUCUACAGAUUGUGCUCAAUAUUUUAGAAGAAAAUCAGCUGUAUUACAAGAGGUCAAAGUGCUCUUUUGCCCAGUCCUCAAUUGAAUACUUGGGGCACGUGAUCUCAGAGGCAGGAGUGAGUAUGGAUGUGGCUAAGGUGGAGUGUAUCAAGUCCUGGUCUGUUCCUAGUACAGUCAAGGAGCUGAGAGGGUUUUUGGGAUUAAUUGGUUACUACAGGAGAUUCAUUAAAGGCUAUGGAGUGAUUAGCAAACCCUUGACUGUAUUGUUGAAAAAGGAAGGUUUUGCAUGGAACCAUGAAGCUCAAAUGGCCUUUGAAGAUUUGAAAAAGGUUAUGACCACAGCCCCAGUGCUGAGCAUGCCUAAUUUCGAACUUCCUUUUGUCAUAGAGACUGAUGCCUGUGGAAUAGGUAUUGGAGCAGUGUUGAUGCAGCAAGGACAUCCUAUUGCUUUCCUUAGCAAGGCAUUAUCAGUUCAGAAUUUGGGGUUAUCAGUCUAUGAAAAAGAGCUUUUUGCCUUAGUGCUAGCUGUAACUAAGUGGAGGCAUUACCUGGUGGGUCAUCACUUCAUUAUCAGGACAGAUCACCAAGCUCUCAAACAUUUGAUAGAGCAAAGGCUUACUCAUCCACUCCAGCACAAGUGGCUAACUAAGCUACUUGGUUUGGACUAUGAAAUACAGUAUAAAAAGGGUGCAGACAAUGGGGUGGCAGACGCCCUCUCCAGGAGAAGGAUUGAGGGAAACACUGUUGACUGUGGAGAGACUGGGCAUCAGACCUGCGCCAUAACCUCAGCUCAGCCUAGUUGGAUGCAGGAAAUGCUAGAAAGCUACAUUGGAGAUGCAGAGGCUCAACAGAAGUUAUCUGAGCUAUUGCUGGAUCCCAAUGCAGAUCCAGAUUAUCAGUUAAAGAAUGGGAUGCUCAAGUUUAAAGGGCGGCUGUACAUAGGAUCUGCUAACAACAUUAGGACCAAGGUGGUCAGAGCAUUGCAUGACUCAGCCCUUGGGGGGCACUCAGGUCCUGGAAUCCGUAAGGAUGUCCUUCAAUAUGUGAGAUCUUGUGAUGUGUGUCAAAGGAACAAACAUGAAAAUGUUCCUUAUCCUGGGUUGCUGCAACCAAUUCCUGUACCUCAGCAGGCUUGGUCACACCUCACCAUGGAUUUUAUUGAGCAACUACCCCCAUCCCAUGGAUUUGAUACCAUUUUGGUGGUGGUGGAUAGGUUAACCAAGUUCAGCCACUUCAUUCGACUCACUCACCCUUUUUCUGCACAGCAGGUAGCACAGCUUUUCCUUGACAACAUAUACAAGCUGCAUGGACUUCCUGAGACCAUUAUAACUGACAGGGACAUAAUCUUUCUUAGUAAGUUUUGGCAAGAGUUAUUUGGUAUGGUAGGGGUAAAGCUGCACUACAGUUCAUCGUAUCACCCUCAAUCAGAUGGUCAAAGUGAAAGGGUCAAUCAGUGUUUGGAAAACUAUCUCAGGUGUAUGUGCAGUGAGCAUCCUUCUCACUGGAGCAGUUGGCUUCCUACAGCUGAGUUAUGGUACAACACUAACUUCCAUACUAGCUUGCAGGUGACACCAUUCGAAGCACUAUACGGGUAUAAACCAAAUCACCUUCCCUUAGGACCUUUUCAUGAUAGCCUGGUACCUGCUGCUGGUAACAUGGUGCAGACUAGGCUCCAAAUUCUAUCCCUCAUCAAAGAGAAUCUAGCCACCGCCCAGAAUCGAAUGAAAAUGUUUACUGAUAAGCACAGGACUGAACGUGUCUUCCAAGUGGGGGAUUGGGUAUUUCUCAAGCUGCAACCUUACAGGCAACAAUCAGUGGCCUUACGGAAGAAUUUGAAGUUGGCUGCCAAAUACUUUGGACCUUUCCAGAUCCUUGCGAGAGUAGGGGAAGUCGCCUACAGACUUAAGUUGCCAGAGGGAGCUCGAGUUCAUUCCGUGUUCCAUGUGUCCUUACUUAAAAGGAAAGUGGGAGUUACACAGCAGGUAAAGCCCAGCUUGCCAGAAGUAGACGCAUCAGACCAAUGUUUGCUGAAGCCAGAGAAGAUUCUCCAGAGGCGUGUUAUCAUACGAGCUGCCAAACCAAUCAUCCAGUACCUGGUGAAGUGGAACAACUUACCAGAAUCCGAAGCAUCAUGGGAGGAUAAAAGCUUCAUUGACAGACAAUUUCCGGAAUUUCAAGCUUGAGGACAAGCUUUGCUUAAGGGGAAGAGAUUGUCAGGAACAAGGAAAUAGAAUGGGACGUCGUUUAAUGCAAAGGGUUGUGCGUUUAAGGCCUUAGAAGCAAUACUACGUCAUUCUAAUAACAUAGGCGGUGCUGGUGUGAUAGGCCAAGUUAGUUGAGGGUCAAUUACAUAAAUAGCCUUCUGUAACAGAUUUUUGGUUAUGUUUUUGAAUGAAAAGUAUCUCGCUGCUUUCUCUCUCUUGUCUGUUAUUUCCCUCCCUUUUCUUCUUUCUCUCUUCCCUCUUCUUAAUCUUGUUUCUUUCUUCUGAUUCUUCCCCCAAAUUCAAUACAAUUCCAGAAAUUAACCUGCAGAUCUGACAAGGAGCCCUAUUCUAACCAAAUAACACACUACCAGGGUUAUUUUAGGUUAGCCCGCGUAUUCCCCUGACAUGAAUCCAAUCAUGCCAGUUAUCACUAUUUUGAAACAAUUAAACAAUUACGGAUUUAACGUCCCAAUUGACAAUAGAUUAUCAAAUUAACUAAUUAUCCGGAUCCAAAACAAUCAAUUAAUUAAAUAAUCAUAAGCACUGUAAUCAGGGAAUAUUUGAAUACCAAUAAAUAAAAAGAAAGGACAAAAUUAAAUCGAUUUCACAAUUUUUAAACGAACCACAACCUCAGUUGUUCCUCGGCUAGAUUGAGAAAAUUAGCUCAUGUUCGAUGCGAAAAAUCCACAAGAAAUUGUUAAGAGAGCCGCGGCCAUUGUCCCUUGAAAUUGGGGAAAUUCAAUUCGGUUGAACUACGAAAGAAAAGUAAGCUACAGAGAGUUGCCGAUUGGGUUUUGCUUGUCCCUAACAUGCGAGGGAGCAAAGCCACGAAAGGACGACAAAGGUCAAAAAGAAAGGCUACAGAGCAUGUUCCAGGUCUUUUUGUGCUCUCCACAUCCGAGCCAACGAAAAGAAAUAAAAAACUACCAGGAGCUAAAGGAAAACCGCAAGAAAAGUCAAAGGCUAAAAAAACUUCCUAGUGCUUGUUCUCUGCUUAUCUCUUUAUCUAAUUCUAAGUCCCCGAUUUUUUGCUCCGUGCGGCGGCUCCCCCGGAGAGAAAGGAUUGCAUCCGCUGCCCUCUUCCACCAAUUACCAAAAUGGGCACACCGCUUCUUUUUCAAAAAUGCUCCUGGAUAAACUCUAUCAUCUGGACUUUUUUUCUGUCAAAUUGACAUUUAUUAUUAUAUUUUCGUUCUACUCCCUGAAAUAAAUGUAAAAUAUUAAAAAUGAGUAGAAUCCGACAAUUAAUUCACAUCAGGUCAGAUAAUAAAGAAAAUUAAUAAUAAAAUAAAUAAAUAAAUUGCAACCUAUCAACCAAAUACAACAAUUUCAUGGAGUUUGAUACACAAGCCCAAAUACACGAGAGUGUGUAACCUGAAUUGUUACUUAUACAUUAGUGUGUAAUAGAACGGCAAGCAUUAUGGUGGUCAUUGAGCAACUUGUAGGAGAAAUAGUCCUAUAAGCUGUUCAAUGACCAAUCACAACUUGCUAAUUGGAUGACUAAUAUAGCUCUAGCUGUAAUGUUUUAAUUAAAUUCCAUCACUAACGUUGGGAUGACUUUUUAAUCAAAAAAAAAAAAGCCUUAGUUCAAGCUUUUCCCCUUAUUGUGCAUUUUUUAAAACAUUUGAUAGGCACUGCAAAUCUGUCAUUUUGGACAUUUUAUUAUUAACUAACAAUGAAAGCCGUGGACAUCAACCCAUAUCCAACAAAAUAUUAAAUUAAUAUUAGAAAAAAUUAUUAAGUAAUUGGAAAAAAAAAGAAGAGGCUAAUUUUCAUUGAAACCCACCGACAAACUAUACGCUGCUUUCAAUCAGUUUUAACACGGGAAAAAGAAAAGGCAUGAAAAGCAAAAUUUGUGGGGAUAAUUUCGGAAACCUCCCAUGAAGUUUUUGACUAUUUUACUGGCCUCCCUUCAGAUUUUAAAAAUUGGACUAAUCUUCCUUAAAGUUAAUUAUCUUGUAACAUUUAGAUCCGAUCAAUAAUUUAAAAAAUAAUAUUAUGAGAGAGAAAAUAAUAUGAUUUUAUUAUUGCCCCCAUCUCACCACAUUAUUUAAUUAAUUUAAUAGCAACCCACACAUUAAAGAAAAUGACAGGUCGUCAACCUGUGCAAUAAUAAAAUUAAACCUAAUUGCCAGUUAAAAUGACCAAAACCCAAUUCCAAGUACUGGAGCAGGGACUCUAGGUGUGCAAUGGGUUACUUGAUUCACCCUGUUCCCGAAGAGUUUGCUUGAUCCGAUAUACCCGAAUGGAAUGGUUAUUCCUUUUCACAAAUGAUUAGGAAUUUGUAGACAGGGCAAGUAGGGUCGUAUCCACAGAGACUGGGUAUAUUUGUUUCUUAAGAAAUCCAAAGUAACACAGGGGGUGAUUUUGUAGGAACGACGAUAAUUAAAUAAAUUCAAAUGAGAAAGUAAAAAUAAAUAAUUAACUAGAAAUUAAACCACAAUUUACUGAACUCAGGAUAACAAUAGUUAAAGGCCUCAAUUAAUUAAAAUAAGGAAACAAUCAAAAAUAAAAUAAAGUAGGUAAUUAAAAGUCAAAUGGCAAUCCACUACAAUCAAGGAAAUAUUAACUAAAGAUCUAGCCAAGAAAUAACUUCAGCAAUGGUUCACCUAAUCGAUCAUUGAUGCAAAGCAAUCCCAAUUAUUUACUAAUAAAUAGGUUAUAACUACCAAACAAGCGAUGGCAGUCAACCCCUCCUUACUGUGUCGGUGAUCAAGGUACGCCCGUUAAUCACUGCUCUAAUUGAGAAAUAAUCCUAGGUACGCCCGUAGAAUUUAAUUCCCCAACUGCCUUACGUAUUAGAGGAGCCCUAUUCUACCCAAAUAACACACUACCAGGGUUAUUUUAGAUUAGCCCGCGUAUCCCCCUGACACGAAUCUAAUCGUGCCAGUUGUCACUAAUUUGAGGUAAUUAAACAAUUACGGAUUCAAUACCCCAAUUGACAAUAGAUUAUCAAACCAAUGAAUUAUCCGGAUCCAAGACAAUCAACUAAUUAAAUAAUCAUAAGCACUGCAACCAAGGAAUAUGCGAAUACCAAUAAAUAAAGGAAAAGAUAAAAUUAAAUCGAUCUCACAAUUUACAGGUGACCCAAAGCAUCAGUCGUUUCUUGACUAGAACGAGGGGGUUAGCUCAUAUUGGAUGAACUAAGCCCGCGGGAAAUUCCAGCAAAAGUCACGGCCGUUGUAUGCAUUUCAAGAGCCGCAAUUCGUCAAACACUUGGAAAGCGAAUGUAAGGCACGGGUAACAAUUGAAACUUUCUAAUUGUUCCUAGCAUUCGUAAAGCAAAUUCACUCCAGAAGUACAGUGAGGAAAAGUCAAAGAAAGUGGGCUUCAAUUCCUUGCUCCUGACAUGCGUGGAGACAAGCCAAUGCAAGACUACAAUAAACUAACAAGGAAAAGUCAAGAAUUGGAGCUAAGCUCCCCUGCCAUGCGCAGGAAUCCCAAAAGUAAAAAGUAAAGCUUCAAAGAAAAGUCAACAAUUCUUCCUAAGCUACAGACGGAAGAUCCAGCACAAAAGCCAGCUCCCUUUUUGAUCCCUUUUUCCCCCUUCUUAUUGCGGCGGCUCACCAGGAGAGGAGAGCCCUCCGUCCGUCCUUUCUUCCGGAAAUUACCAAAAUGGGCAUGACAUCUUCUCUUCCAAAAGUGCCCCUGGGACAAGCUUUCUCAUCUGAAUUCUUUUUUUUUCCAAUUUGGCACCUGUUAUCAUAUUUAUAUUCUACUCCCUGAAAUAAACGUCAAAUACUAAAAGUGAGUAGAAUCCAGCAAAUAAAUCCACAUCAAGUCAGGUAAUAGGAGGAAUUAAUAAUAAAAUAAAUGAAUAAAUUGCACCCUAUCAAUUCCCUCCACACCUAAACCAUGCUUGUCCUCAAGCAUAAGAAAAGUAAACGAACACCAAAAUUCGACGAUAGCCAUUGCCCAAUCUCCUAUAUUGCCAAGACAUUCAAGAGAAAAACACAUAUCGAGCAUUGGUGAUUAGAAUCCCAGAAGCAUCCCCCCGGUUAGCCUCUAACCCCCAGAUUCCUUCAAUUUCCAACUUAACUACUCUAAGAAAGAGGAAUGGCACACAACAUUUAUCAGCUAGUGGUCCGAAUAUUCACACAAGUCUUCAUAUCCAAUCCAUAAACCGGCAAGCUUCCCUAUUAUUUAGUCUCUCUUUUUUUCCGUUUUUUUUCAUUUUCAUUCUUCCCCUCUUUUUUUUUUUUUUUUAAAGCAGUAGCAAUCAACACAAAAGACUUAGUCGUUAGCCGUCAGGGCCUUUUGAUGCGAACUCCAACAUUUUUAGAAGGAGGAGCCCGGUUACUCAGCUCCUACCGCUAUACGACCACGCACUCAUAUAAAAUACCACCUUUUGACGCGAGAAUCGACACUUUUAGGUGCCGAUCCCCGGUUACUCAGUAGUAACUUAAUAGCGGAGCACAGUCAAGCUUAUUCUCAGCCAAACAAUGCACAAACGCAAAAUAACAGCACUAACAAUCAAACAUAGGAGCAGCUCGCCUCAUUAUUGUCAAACAUGGAGAACUGGAGUCAAUAUUGGACCAGUUCACAUUAAAAGGCCAUAUUCAUUCCCUACGCCUAGAAAAGUUAACAAAGAAAUCGAAAGAGUCAAACAGUUAAAUAUUCACCAAGGGGAUAUUCAGGACCCAACCACACUAACCCGAUACAUUUUGUAUUUUAAAAACUUGGCAAAAGUAGAUUUGGAGUCAAUGAGUCCACAUCUCAAUUUUAGCCUUCACAUGAAAGGCAAUCACCAAGAAGAAAGAACGGAAAAAUAAGCAACUAGAAAUGAGACUACGAAAAACUACUAAAACUAAAAACUCACUUUUUUUCUUUUUCUCUUUUUUUUUCUUUUUGAAUUUUUUUUUCAUUUUUAUUUUUUUUUAUUUUUUUUAUUUUUUAAACAUUAACUAUAAACAUUAACUACUAAAAACUAAAAACUAAAACUACUAAAAACUAAAAACACUAAAAACUGCUAAAAUGAAAAGCUGAAAACUGAAAACUACUAAAAACGGAGCACACUAGCAUAACUUUAGAUCCCCCCCACACCUAUAGGACACAUUGUCCUCAAUGUGACAAAUAAGAACCAAAAGUGAAGCACAAGUGAGAGGGGAAUCAGCCAAACUUCCCUGAAAUCGGGUCACAGCGGAGGGCGAGGUGGAAAUGGAGGUGCAAAGCCUGUAUGCAUCAGGAACUGUGCCAAAUUCUGUGCUAUGCCGGCGACAUUGGCGUCGACGUUGGUCAUCCGGGCCUGCAAAUCCUGAACCAGCUCCCUGAGAUGCUGCCAAUCAUCGGUCCCAGGUGGUGGAGGUGGCGCAGAAGUAGAGGUAGACGGCCCAGCAGUGUCCGCGGCCGACCCAGGGAAUGAAGAUGGCCCUGCCCGGGCCGAAUGGUGUGCACCCGGGGCUCGAGGUGGUCCCGGACGGGUAAACUGGUGAAAACCAUCUGGCAGACGCUCGACGACCCCCAUUUUCUCUAAGCAAACUACGUCCAAGUGCUCCAUCUCAAAUGCCAAAUGGAGGUCGUGGUCAUCCAGGUUAAGAACUCCCAACUGGGUCGCCAAGUGAGUGAUGUAGGACCCAAGGAUCAGUGGUUUGUUCUUCUUGGUCAAGACCGUCUUGAACUGUGCGGCCAACCAACAUCCCAAGUUCACCUUGAUAUUGUUCUUCAUACUCCAGAGAAAGAAGAAUUCGGGCCGAGAGAGUAUACCGGAGCUGUCCUUGCGCCCCGAGUAGCUAUAAGCUAAGAAUCGCUGAACAUAGCGGGCGCUAGGGUCCUUAAGAAAGGAGCUCCUGGACCGGGAAGGAUCGUAGCGUUGCCUAUCGACGGACAUGUCCUCCCAUACAUCAUGGUAGUGGGAGAGGAAAGGCUCUACGUAGUCACAGGCACUCUCCGCAUACUCCCUAGUCUCAGCAUACUCUCUAGUGAUAAACCCAAAUGCCAGAUUGAAUUGAGUAAUGGAGAAAUUGAAUUCUCGACCCAUGAGCCGGAAAUGAAUGACAUUCGGUGUUUCACCCGUGUAUCUCGUAGGUAAUUCGAACUCAAAGGUGGAGUAAAACUCCCGGAUCAGCUCAACAAAAGCGGGACAAGAAAUAUGGAAAUAUGGGCGCCACCCAAUGGCUGUGAACAUUUGCUCAACCUCCUCCCGUAUACCCAGGGCAGUUAGAGAGAGUCUAUGACAAGACUUACAGGAUAUUAUACGCCUCUCGCAGACCUUAGCGUACCUCUGCCGAUCGGCGGGUCUGGUAAAUGUUAAGUGCCCCCCAAAAUGAACAGGUGCAUCUACCUGAGCACCCCUAUCCCUACCCAAACGGGUUCGAACACUAGAAGAGGAGGGUAGGUUGGUAGGUGAGUUGACAGGAAUAGAGGCUUGUGGAGGGGGUUGAGACUGAGAGGUCCUAGACCUAGAGGAGGAUUUCGGUCUCACCAUUCCCCCCAAAGUAAGUUCAAGGCAACAGAAAAUCCGACAAGUAUAGAAACCAGCAAUUGACAAAGCAAAAAUCUCCCAGUAGUAACCCAGCCAAUAGCAAACAAAAGAGUUCCAGCAAGUAAUCAACAAGCAAUUCAGAAAUAUCUCAACUAAAAUCUCAAGAGAAACCCCAGCGAGUUAUCCAGCAAUUCAAGCAAUAUCCCCAAGCAAUGUGGUGGUCAAAAUGUCAUCUCCAAAUUGAACAAAUAAUCAGAGCAUUGCAACACAUUGAAAAUCUCAAUAAACGGCUCCAGUUGGCCAAGAAAAAUUGCUAACUCAUACUCAGCAAUAGUAGUGCAGCAAAGGGACAGUAACCACGCAAUAAAAACACUUAGCUUGCACUCAAAUGGUCACCCCAAAUAACAACCCAGUAUGAAACCCGCAGGCAGAGUAUUCCUCAAACCGUUAGCCUAAACCCAGUCAACAACCACGGCCAGAAAUAACCCCAUAAAUAGUGCAAUGAGUAAUCCCCAGCAACAUAAUCAGGUGUAAUCAACUGGAGCAAGCAAUUUACAUGGCAUAGAAACCUCCCAAUCAAACAAGUGCAUUAUUCUAGCGCACCCCAAAAUUCCAAGAAAUGGCUCCAGUUGGCCAAUUAAUUUCACAAUGUCACCCAACUCAGGAGAAAUAGCAAUUCCACACAAAAAUAGUCAAACCAGUACCACUGGCGAAAAAUCUUUCAAAUAUGCACAAUUUGCUACCAAAUAUCACCGGCUAACACUGAAAAAUUGAGGGCAAGUGUCAAAUACCUCCACAGGGACUACCCCAGGCGGCAGACAGAGAAGCGGCGUUGAAGCUGGUGGUCGAGCGGGGCGGCGCUCGCGUCGGCGUGCGCAGCGGCGACGGCGCGCGAGGAUGGAGUUUCGGGAGGUUGCGUGCGGGCUUGGCUGAAGACGCGGCGCGCGCUAGGGCUUCGCUGCGGCAGGCGUGCAGCAGGGGAGAAGAAAGAAAAGAGAAAGAAAGAAAGAAAAAGAAAGGAAAGAAAGAACAGAAAAGAAGGAAAAGAAAAAGGAAUUUUUCUUUUUUUUCUUUUUCUUUAGGCUACGGUUUAGAGGACAAAUUUUUCUUCUUCUUGUUUUCUACUUUUUUAUUUUUUUAUUUUUUAGUUUUUAAUUUAUUACUAUUAUUAUCAUAUUUAAUUGAGGAAAAAAAAUGUUUUUUUUUAAAUCCCUACCUUUCCCACGAACGUGACGCGGGCACGUCAAGAGGGCAAGAGAGCUCCCAGAAGUUUCAGAAUUUUCUGAUCGUAAGCGUCCUGCACAUCACCACGCGGGCACGUCAUGAGGACAGGAGAGCUCCCAGAAGUUCAGAAUUUUCUGAUCGUGAGCGCCCUGCACGUCACCACGCGGGCACGUCAUGAGGCCAGGAGAGCUCCCAGAAGUUUGAAGUUUCUGAUUCCUGCCCGUCAUCACGCGGGCGCGUCAUGACUGAAGGUCACCUACAAAUCAGCAAAAACGAAAACUAACACCCAAAAUCAGUCAAAUUCAGGGAAAGCAGAUUUAAACUAUGCUACAAAACCAACAAACAAUUAAAAGAAAUAAUUAGGUUGCCUCCCAAUGAGCGCCUUUCUUUAAUGUCUUUGGCUAGACAUGGUAAAGUGUCACUGAUUAGGACACGGUGGUGCGUCAAGCCUUAUUGUCUCCACCUCUCUACCUGAAAAUCCUUCGUAAUAAUAUUUGAGACGGUGUCCAUUCACCACAAAUUUGUUGUCUGUCUUAGCACUCUGGAUCUCAACUGCACCAUAGGGAAAAACAUGAGUAACAAUGAAAGGUCCAAUCCAACGGGAACGUAGCUUACCUGGGAAUAGCUUGAGCCUGGAUUGGUACAGGAGGACCUUCUGACCAACUUCAAAUGUUUUUCUUGAAAUUUGUUGGUCAUGAAAUGCCCGGCUUUUCUCCUUAUAUAUCAAGGCGUUUUCGUAUGCUUCGUUCCGGAUCUCCUCCAAUUCUUGCAAAUCCAACUUCCGUUGAGCACCGGCCUCCUCUAAAUUCAUAUUGCAGUGCUUUAUCGCCCAAAAAGCCUUGUGCUCGAACUCCACUGGAAGGUGACACGGCUUCCCAAAUACCAACCUGUACGGUGACAUCCCAAUAGGAGUCUUGUACGCCGUCCGAUAGGCCCAGAGUGCGUCUUCCAACCUUUGGCUCCAGUCUUUUCUAUCAGGGCGCACCAUUUUCUCUAAAAUGGACUUAAUCUCCCGAUUCGACACCUCCGCUUGACCAUUGGUCUGAGGGUGGUAUGACGUUGAGACCCUGUGGAGUACACCAUACUUGCGAAACAACGCAGCUAUGGUUUUGUUGCAAAAGUACGUUCCCCUAUCACUGACAAUAGCUCUAGGCAUUCCAAACCGCACAAAGAUAUUAGACCUGAUAAAAUCUGCAACUACUCUCGAAUCAUUAGUUCGAGUGGCCUUAGCCUCCACCCAUUUAGACACAUAAUCAACUGCCAGCAAAAUAUAUAAAAAACCAAAUGAAGUAGGAAAAGGCCCCAUGAAAUCUAUACCCCAGACAUCAAAAAUUUCAACAAAAAUCAACGGGACCUGGGGCAUUUGAUCUCUACGGGCUAUAUUACCUACCAUUUGACAGCGAUCACAUGACUUACAAAACACAUAGGCAUCUCUAAACAAUGAAGGCCAAUAAAAUCCACUUUCUAAAACCUUAUGAGCAGUUCUCUUAGGUCCAAAAUGACCUCCACAGGCAAAAGUAUGACAAAAAGCUAAAAUUGAUUGAAAUUCCAUUUCACUUACACAUCUCCUCAUCACUUGAUCGGCACACCUCUUCCAUAGGUACGGGUCAUCCCAGAUAAAAUACUUGGCAUCGCUCUUCAAUUUAUCCCUCUUCGAUUUCGGCCAACCUGCAGGAAAAUUACCAGUUACCAAAUAAUUGACCAAAUCAGCAUACCAAGGCAACUGAGAAUUUAAGAAAAAUAGGUAUUCUUCGGGGAAUGCAUCCUUCAAUGGCUCGCUAUCCUCUUCAACUAGUAUGCGACUCAAAUGGUCCGCUACUAGAUUUUCUGAGCCUUUUUUGUCCCUUAUCUCCAAGUCAAAUUCCUGUAGGAGCAGUAUCCACCGUAUGAGCCUCGGUUUUGCAUCUUUCUUGGUCAUCAGGUACCUCAAUGCUGCAUGAUCAGAAAAUACAAUCACUUUAGCACCUAACAAGUAUGACCUAAAUUUUUCCAAAGCAAAAAUAACUGCCAGAAGCUCCUUCUCAGUGGUGGAAUAAUUCAACUGGGCUCCAUUCAAGGCCCGGGAUGCGUAAUAGAUGACAUGAGCCGCCUUGCCUAUUCUUUGCCCCAGUACAGCCCCAACAGCGUGAUCACUGGCAUCGCACAUGAUCUCAAAUGGCAAAUUCCAAUCGGGGGGUUGGAUGAUUGGGGGUGAAGUCAGCAAUUCCUUCAGCUUGUUAAAGGCUCUCUCACACUUAUCAUCAAAUUCGAAGGCUACAUCUUUUUGUAGGAGUUGGAACAACGGGGCUCCAAUCUUUGAAAAAUCCUUGAUGAACCUUCGAUAAAAACCUGCAUGUCCAAGAAAAGAGCGCACCUCCCGCACACUCGCGGGGUAAGGUAAUGCAGAAAUAAUGUCUAUUUUAGCCUUGUCAACUUCUAUGCCCUUAGACGAUACAAUAUGACCCAGGACUAUUCCGUGCUCAACCAUAAAAUGACAUUUUUCCCAAUUAAGCACAAGAUUAGUCUCUAUACACCUGAUCAGGAUUAAUUUCAGGUUAUCUAGACAAGUAUCAAAACUAUCACCAUACACACUGAAAUCAUCCAUGAAAACUUCUAUUAUUUUCUCAACAUACUCGGAAAAGAUGCUUACCAUACAUCUUUGGAAAGUCGCAGGUGCAUUGCACAACCCAAAUGGCAUUCGUCUGUAGGCAAAGGUCCCGAACGGGCACGUGAAGGUUGUCUUCUCUUGAUCCUCCGGGGCAAUUGCUAUCUGAAAGUAUCCUGAAAAUCCAUCCAAAAAGCAAUAAUAAGCCCUACCAGCUAAACGUUCAACCAUUUGGUCAAUGAAAGGGAGAGGGAAAUGGUCCUUUUUGGUGACGGCGUUUAGCCUACGGUAAUCUAUACAUUGCCUCCAUCCAGUGGGUUUGCGCACUGGCACGAGCUCACCAGUUUGGUUGGCCUCUACCGUCACUCCUGCAUUCUUUGGGACUACCUGGACCGGACUCACCCAAGGGCUAUCAGAUAUUGCAAAAAUGAUGCCCACAUCUAGCAAUUUUAGAAUCUCUUUCUUUACGACUUCCAUCAUGAGGGGAUUGAGCCUUCUUUGAGCCUGCCUAACAGGUUUGGCAUCGUCUUCCAGCCUAAUCCGGUGCAUACAAAUGGCCGGGCUGAUCCCCUUAAUGUCUGCGAUUGUCCAGCCUAUUGCCUCUUUAUGCUCCCGAAGGACCCGGAUCAAUUUCUCUUCCUGGGUCUUUGACAGUGCCGAUGAGAUAAUCACUGGGAGUGUCUCAUUAUCACCUAGGUAUGCGUAUUUCAGGUGCUCUGGUAGAGGUUUCAACUCCAGUACAGGUGCCUGCACCACAGAUGGCAAUACCCUCUGGUGAGCCUUGGGAGUAAAAAUAGGUAAGACUUCAUACCUUUUCGUGGUGGUCUGCAACGAGUGUAAUGCACCUAUUGUGCAUUUUAAAUCCUCGCUCCACUCCACCUCAGGAGUUGUCUCCAACUCGAGGUGCUUGGUUAAAGCCACCUCCAGCUCAUCCCUGCCAUCAGUUUCAAACACUUCCUGCACUACAGGGUCAAUAGCACUCACAGAAAAAACUGAGCUAAAGUUGGAGUUAGAGGGGUACUUCAUAGUAUCAAAAAUAUUAAAAUGCACAAUUUACCCAUCAAACUCCAUGGACAAGGUACCCUUAUUAACAUCAAUUUUCGUCUGCGCAGUGCUCAUAAAAGGUCUACCCAAUAACAAAGGUGAGGGAUCAGGGGAGUGAUCAUCAUCCAUAUCUAGUACAUAAAAAUCAGCUGGAAACACCAAAUCAUUAACCUUUACCAACACAUCUUCAAUCAACCCAUCAGGAUAUGCAUUAGUUCGGUCAGCUAAUUGAAUAAUUAUUCCAGUUUCUUUUAAUGGACCUAGUUUCAAAGAAGCAUAGAUAGAUUUAGGCAUGACAUUAAUUGAUGCUCCCAGAUCCAGCAUGGCCCUUCUGAUCACAGUAUUACCUAUCUUACAGGGAAUAGUAAACAUACCUGGGUCCCCGCACUUUGGUGGGAGCUUUCUCUGCAGGACCGCAGACACAUUUUCUCCAACUAUGACCCGUUCAUCUCCCCUCAACCGCCUUCGGUUGACACACAAGUCCCUUAGGAACUUGGCAUAUUUUGGUACUUGUUUGAUGGCGUCUAAGAGGGGGAUAUUUAUCUCAACCUUGCGAAAAACCUCCAAGAUCUCCUUCUCCUUAUCCUGCUUCUUCGAUUUUUCCAACCUGCUAGGAAAAGGAGGCGGGUUAGUUUUAACUGUAAUUAUUGGGUCAGGAAGUACCUCUGGAUCUGCACCAUUGCUGUCCUCCCUUUCGAGCUCAUUUUCGAUCUUCUCUUCAUCCUUGUCCUUGGGAAUCACAGGUUCAGGCCCCUGAAUUUCUUUCCCACUCCUUAGGAUCAUUGCGCUCACGUUCUUCGGAUUCAACUCCGGUUGAGAUGGCAGCUUCCCUUGGUUCUGGGACUCCCAACGGUUCAUUCUGGUGGCCAAUUGACCUAUCUGAUUCCUUAUGUCCUGCAUUUCGGAGUCCGUCUUUUGCUGAUUUUGCAUAAUAGCUGCCUCCGUCCUUUGCUGAUUCUGCGCCAUGGUUGUCAUCAUUUGUUUCAGCAUCUCAUCCGUAGAUGAACCAGAUUGAGGGAGCGGAGGUGGUCGGGGUUGGUAUUGCUGCUGGUACCCUGGUGGCUUAUUUGGCACAAAGUUAGACUGCCUGUUUGGCGUGAAGUUGGAUUGCCUAUUUCCACCAUAACUGAGGUUGGGAUGAUCUCUCCACCCGGGGUUGUAGGUGCUUGAGUAAGGGUCGUACUGCUUCCUUGGCGCGGGCGCGUGGUCAGCCAUGUUCACCUGUUCCGCAGUUUCUUCCUGAAUCAUUGGGCACAUGUCUGCAGAGUGACCUAUACCAGUGCAAAUCCCGCAUACCCUGGCUUGUGAUGCAUUUCUCACAGCCUAUUGCCUAACGAACGCAGUCAACUCAUUUAGCUGCUGCUGCACAGAGGGUGUCUCUAUCUCAUUCACCCUACGUAUUGGGACAUCCUAUCUUGUACUGAAUUGCUGUGAAUUCUCUGCCAUCCCCUCUAUUAACUCCCGUGCUUCCUGAGGGGUUUUGUUCACCAGUGCCCCUCCACUUGCAGCAUCAAUGAUGCUCCUGUCUCUAAAAAUGAGCCCCUCAUAGAAAUAUUGUAUGAUCAACUGCUCACUUAUUUGGUGAUGGGGGCACCUGCGCAACAAGCUCUUAUACCGUUCCCAAUACUCGUAAAGUGACUCCUCGGGAUGCUGCUUGAUCCCACAAAUUUCUUUCCUUAGACUCGCAGCCCUGGACGCAGGAAAAUAUUUAUCCAGAAAUUUUUUCUUCAAUUGGUCCCACGUGGUGAUGCUACCUGGUGACAGGUAGUACAGCCAGUCCUUCGCAGAAUCUUUCAAGGAGAAGGGGAAUGCCCUCAUUUUUAUCUGCUCUUCUGUGAUUCCCGGGGGUUUCAUACUGUUGCAAACGACAUCAAACUCCUGCAGAUGCUUAUACGGCUCUUCACCUGGUAAACCAUGAAAAGAGAGUAAAAGCUGAAUCAGACCAGAUUUUAGUUCAAAUGGAAUGUUGUCAUUUAAAGCUGGGAAAGUAAUGCAUAACGGCUGCUGAGUUAAAUCAGGAGCAGCCAACUCCCUUAAUGUUUAUGCAUUAGCCAUGGUGCCUUCCUGCUGGUCAGAGUCACUCGAAGUGUUACCAAACGAAUCUGUUGGUUCAACUUCUGACUCGGGUCUUUGAGAUGUAGCACUAGAGUGCUCUUCUCUGAGCUGUCUGGUUUCCUUUCUCGUUCUACGCGCGGUCUUCUCUACCUCAGGAUCAAAAACCAAAUCACCUGUGCGACAAGAUCGAGGCAUACACUAGAAGAAAACCAGAAAAUUAGGACAAAAUUGAAUUUAAGAAGAAACAAAUAAUAACGCCAGUCCCCGGCAACGGCGCCAAAAAUUGACAGGUCGUCAACCUGUGCAAUAAUAAAAUUAAACCUAAUUGCCAGUUAAAAUGACCAAAACCCAAUUCCAAGUACUGGAGCAGGGACUCUAGGUGUGCAAUGGGUUACUUGAUUCACCCUGUUCCCGAAGAGUUUGCUUGAUCCGAUAUACCCGAAUGGAAUGGUUAUUCCUUUUCACAAAUGAUUAGGAAUUUGUAGACAGGGCAAGUAGGGUCGUAUCCACAGAGACUGGGUAUAUUUGUUUCUUAAGAAAUCCAAAGUAACACAGGGGGUGAUUUUGUAGGAACGACGAUAAUUAAAUAAAUUCAAAUGAGAAAGUAAAAAUAAAUAAUUAACUAGAAAUUAAACCACAAUUUACUGAACUCAGGAUAACAAUAGUUAAAGGCCUCAAUUAAUUAAAAUAAGGAAACAAUCAAAAAUAAAAUAAAGUAGGUAAUUAAAAGUCAAAUGGCAAUCCACUACAAUCAAGGAAAUAUUAACUAAAGAUCUAGCCAAGAAAUAACUUCAGCAAUGGUUCACCUAAUCGAUCAUUGAUGCAAAGCAAUCCCAAUUAUUUACUAAUAAAUAGGUUAUAACUACCAAACAAGCGAUGGCAGUCAACCCCUCCUUACUGUGUCGGUGAUCAAGGUACGCCCGUUAAUCACUGCUCUAAUUGAGAAAUAAUCCUAGGUACGCCCGUAGAAUUUAAUUCCCCAACUGCCUUACGUAUUAGAGGAGCCCUAUUCUACCCAAAUAACACACUACCAGGGUUAUUUUAGAUUAGCCCGCGUAUCCCCCUGACACGAAUCUAAUCGUGCCAGUUGUCACUAAUUUGAGGUAAUUAAACAAUUACGGAUUCAAUACCCCAAUUGACAAUAGAUUAUCAAACCAAUGAAUUAUCCGGAUCCAAGACAAUCAACUAAUUAAAUAAUCAUAAGCACUGCAACCAAGGAAUAUGCGAAUACCAAUAAAUAAAGGAAAAGAUAAAAUUAAAUCGAUCUCACAAUUUACAGGUGAUCCAAAGCAUCAGUCGUUUCUUGACUAGAACGAGGGGGUUAGCUCAUAUUGGAUGAACUAAGCCCGCGGGAAAUUCCAGCAAAAGUCACGGCCGUUGUAUGCAUUUCAAGAGCCGCAAUUCGUCAAACACUUGGAAAGCGAAUGUAAGGCACGGGUAACAAUUGAAGCUUUCUAAUUGUUCCUAGCAUUCGUAAAGCAAAUUCACUCCAGAAGUACAGUGAGGAAAAGUCAAAGAAAGUGGGCUUCAAUUCCUUGCUCCUGACAUGCGUGGAGACAAGCCAAUGCAAGACUACAAUAAACUAACAAGGAAAAGUCAAGAAUUGGAGCUAAGCUCCCCUGCCAUGCGCAGGAAUCCGAAAAGUAAAAAGUAAAGCUUCAAAGAAAAGUCAACAAUUCUUCCUAAGCUACAGACGGAAGAUCCAGCACAAAAGCCAGCUCCCUUUUUUAUCCCUUUUUCCCCCUUCUUAUUGCGGCGGCUCACCAGGAGAGGAGAGCCCUCCGUCCGUCCUUUCUUCCGAAAAUUACCAAAAUGGGCAUGACAUCUUCUCUUCCAAAAGUGCCCCUGGGACAAGCUUUCUCAUCUGAAUUCUUUUUUUUUCCAAUUUGGCACCUGUUAUCAUAUUUAUAUUCUACUCCCUGAAAUAAACGUCAAAUACUAAAAGUGAGUAGAAUCCAGCAAAUAAAUCCACAUCAAGUCAGGUAAUAGGAGGAAUUAAUAAUAAAAUAAAUGAAUAAAUUGCACCCUAUCAGAAAAAUGCAAAAAUUUGUUAUUUAUCAUUAAGGAUCAUAUCGCAUAUAACAUCAAAAAAUAGUAUAUUAUUUAUAUCUUUCACUUAAUAUAAUAUCCAAAUUACUCUUUUCAGUUACAUACCCAUUGUUAGACAAAAUCAACAACAAAUAACCAAAAAAUUUGCAACCAAAAUAUUACCAAAAAAAUAAACUUUAACAUCAUAAAUAUUUUUAUCAACAUAUUAAAGUUAGUUAUUGAAAUUUUUAUGGUGUUAAACUUCACUCUUAGCAAUAUUUUGGUUACAGAUUUUUUUGAUUAUUUAUUGUUGAUCGUGUUUGACAAUGGAUUUGUAACUGAAAAGAAUAAUUUGAAUCUUACAUUAAGUGAAAUAUAUAAAAUAUUAUACUAUUUUUUAUGGCAUAUGUGAUUCUUUUUUUUUUUUUUAUCAGAACGGCAACAUUGUAUUAAUAGUAAACCAAUUACAGUAUAGGUGGGCAACCGCCCUCACAAUCUGCCUGGACUUGUUCCAGCAGCCAAACUGGGAAGUUUUCCUUCCAUUCAGUAUUUUGUUCCAAAGUAAUAGCUACUUUAGCUAGUUUAUGGCUAACAAAGUUGUUCACCCUAUUUGCAAAGGUAAAACAACAUUCAUCAAAUUUUAUUCAUGUACAAUUGUUGCUAUCACCACGUCCUCCUCCUCCUCCUCACUGCACACUACUUGACUACCACCCUUCGCCAACCUUGCUGUUGCAUGUGCAACUAUCAUGGCCUCUCUUAGCGCCUUUGCUUCUUCGACCUUUGGACUGGCACAGCUAAAAUUUGGAACAGCCCAGGCCCACCCGCAAUCUUCCCAACCAAUCCCUGGCCACCCUUUUCCCACCCAGCUUCUAUGGCAUGUGUGAUUCAAUCCUUCUUGAUAGGAUUGGUAAUAGAGGCAGAGGGGGGAGCCGGCUGCAUCCGGUCUACUUUUCAUAGAUAGUACAAUAUUGCGAAAUCGAUCGCAUUCACACAAGAAUAUUUCGAAGUCAUUGCAUCGCUAAGUUGCAAAAAAGUACAAACACUUGUUAUUAUAUAGCUUAAGAUUCAAAACUUUAGAGCACAACCCUCCACCUAACACAAUUGAAUAAUGAAUAUUCACGAUUGUCAAAUCUGUCAAAGCACAGUUUGAGGACAACCCAUUCCAACCUGCAAAAGAUUUUUGACUUUUUUAAAGUUGUUGAGAGCUGUAAAAAGACUUACCAUGCUUACAUCUUCCGAGCCUUGGGAGUUAAAAAUGAAGGCACUGAGUGCUAUAAAAAGGGGGCUAGAGGCUGCCUAGAAGCAUAUCAGCCUAAAACAAGAAUUUGUAGUUAUGAUGGGAAGCAAAGCAAAAGCAAUGGGGUCUGGGCUGACUCCUCUUCUUACCACUGUUUUAGUGGUAUUUGUUGCUCUUGGCUUGCCCUCAGAAACUGCAGCUGAUGAUCACUACAAGUAUUCAUCUCCUCCUCCUCCUUACCACUAUCCCUCACCACCACCUCCAGUGCAUUUACCUCCACCAGUGUACAAAUACAAGUCCCCACCACCACCUCAUCAUGUUUACAAGUACAAAUCUCCACCACCCCCACCACCACACCCAGUUUACAAGUAUAAGUCGCCACCACCACCUCCUCAUCCGGUAUACAAGUACAAGUCUCCUCCGCCACCUCCUCAUCCGGUACCACACCCAGUUUACAAGUAUAAGUCACCACCACCACCUCCUCAUCCGGUACCACACCCAGUUUACAAGUAUAAGUCUCCUCCGCCACCAGUUUACAAAUAUAAGUCUCCUCCACCACCACCUCCAGUGUACAAAUACAAGUCUCCACCACCACCAGUUUACCACUACAAGUCUCCACCACCUCCUCCCCCAGUUUACAAAUACAAGUCUCCACCACCACCACCACCAGUUUACCACUACAAGUCACCACCACCUCCUCCCCCAGUUUACAAAUACAAGUCUCCACCACCUCCUCACCACUACUAAGCAAUUGCUUCUGAGGUAAUAACACUUGUUCAAUAUACCCACUUCUGCAUGAUAAAGCAUAUCUCUAUCAACACAAACUGUCAUGUCUAUCAUGCUAAGUGCCUUCACUUCAUCCACCAAAAUGACUGCUAGAAAAUUUUUUUUAUGUUACCAAAGAAAGGCAUCAUUUUUUCCCUCUGUUAUCAAGAACUUGUACAGUAUAUAGAUUAAAGAGUAUUUUUUUAACUAGCUUAUCAACUGAGAAAUGCAUAUAGCUGAUAGCCAGCUGAAUAUUUGCAGGCAAAGGAGAAGGAAACCAGUGUUUGAGACCUUCUUGAAGAUGUAGAAGCAUAAGAAUUAAAGCCCAAUGUGAAGAUGAUGAUUUCAAGUUUUUCUACGUUACCAUUUCUUUAUCUAAAUUGGUUGUAGCGCCUUAGUUCCUUUGUUUAUGGGAUUUGUAUCGUUUUACGUACCAUGCAGUACAUGUCAUGUUUGUAAGGUUUUCUAUCCUGCCGGCAAACCGCAGGUUCCAUGUAAUAAAUCAAUACUAUUUAUAUUACGACACUUUUCUCUGUUUCUCUUAUAUUUUGUCGUCUUUAAUAUUCUUAAUCAUAUUUUUAACAAAAAUAUUCAAACACUUAGGCAAUCUGGUCUAAUGCUAAUUGUAUGUUUUACUUUUCUUUUUCACCUGCUCCCCUUUUCAACUCAAAAGGAUGCAAUAGUUUGUGAUCACUGUUGAAGACGGAAGCAUGAUACUAAUGAAUAUAUCAUUGAAACUCAAGGAAACUAACAUUAUGAAAAGUGUAAAUCUUGAUUUGAUGCAACUAUUUAUUCGUGGAAUCUAUAGUUACAAAACUCAAACUCUGACUGCGCCAUUGAUAAAUUAUUAAUGACGCUAUCAUCAUUAUUUAUCCCCAACUAGUUUCGACUACAACUGAACCCAAUAUUUUCCCCAUGAUAAAAGUUUUUUACUAUUUUACUGGCCUCUCUUCAAAUUUUAAAAAUUACACUAAUCUUCAUUGAGAUUAAUUAUCUUGUAGCAUUUAAGUCCAAUUAAUAAUUAAAAAAUAAUAUUAUGAGAGAGAAAAUAAUAUAAUUUUAUCAUUGCCCCCCAUCUUGCUAUAUUAUUUAAUUAAUUUAAUAGCAACCCACACAUUAAAGAAAAAUACUAAAAUUUGCUGCUUUUCAUUAAAGAUCAAAUUGCAUAUGCCAUAAAACAUAGUAUAUCAUUCUAUAUGUUUCACUUAAUGUAAGAUCCCAAUUGUUCUUUUCAAUUACAAACCCAUUGUCAAACAUGAUCAAUAACAAAUAACCAAAAAAUUUGCAACCAAAAUAUUACAAAAAAAAACUUUAACAUCAUAAAUAUUCUUACCACCUCUAGUGCAUUCACCCUCAUAAAAUAAUUCAAGACCCUACUGUCAUAAAAUGACUGAUCAACUCCUGUAAACCUAAUUUGACAACAUUUAAAUGGAGAACUUUAGCUAAAAGAAUUAUGGUCAAGCUAAAGAAAAAACCAGUUAUUUUCCAACAUAUGCAAUCAUUGAUCAGGGAAAAAAAAAAGAAGCAAAAAGACAUCUUCAAUCAUUUAAUAGCUUACAGGGCAAAUUAACCCCUAAGCGAAAACUGGUUGCUCUAGAAUCAAAAUUUUACUUUAGUUACCCAGGCAACUUUUUUUGUUGCCUUUUCUUUUUCUUUUUUGGGUAUAUAUAUAGCUCCAGUUUUGCCCCCUCUGUCAAGCUUAUAUAAUUAUUAAGAUAAUAAAAGUGCCUUUAAUAGUAUUAAUAUAUCCAUUGACUUGAGCUGUCAUCGAUCGGUUUGGGCUACUUCGAUUCCAUGAGAACAAAUGGUAAUAAAAGUACUCAGAAAAUGGGGAGUCAUGAAACCCUUUUGUUCUAUUCAUUGCUAAGAUGCUUUUCUCUAUAAAGACACUUCCUAACGAAAAUACUUUGUAGAUUUCUUUACUCCAAGUGGUGCAUGGAAAAUUAAUAUUUUCAAUUAUCAAAUAAAAUUCCCUUUUUUCGGUGUAGAUUUCAUCCAUUCAGCUGUUAACACUCCGAAUUGACUAAUCUUUUCGUUUCCAUUUUCCAACUUGCGAAUACGGCAUCUUACAUAUUGUCUGCUGAAUAUGAAUACAUAUCCCUUUUCUGAGCAGGUGCAGAGUCAUUAUCAUUUUUAUUCCCACCUAACAAAUUAGUUAAUAAUCUUUUAAAGAACAUGUUAAAUUAAUUUAUUGGUAUGAAUAGUAGUCAAAGAAGUAUGUUAAAGUUAGUAAUCUUUAAAAUAAUAUGUUAAAAUUAUUCGUACAAAUUAGCCAGAGAAGUAGCAUAAACACCGCGAUGCAAUUAAUACUUUCAAUCUCAAGGUCUCUAUUAUGGAAAUUUGCAUCGGUCAACAUACACAAAGCAUUAUUGUAUGCACGUCUCUCUAUUAUGGAAAUUUGCAUAGGUCAAUAUACACUUGGCAUAGUUGCAUGCACGUCCAAUUUUUUUUUAUUUUUAUUUUUGGUAUUUUACUUCCUGCCUUAAGUUGCCUGCAGAUGUUUGUAUUACAAAUAUAUGGUAUACUAAAUAUAUAGUAUGCACAUUAAUUUCUUUGGGUUGCUUAAGGGUAUAUUGUUAAUAAUAGGGGGUUUAACCAUAAAUUAUAACAAUGAUGAAGUAAUAUAUAUUAGAAAAUUAACACAAUUAUGAUUUUUUUUUUUGUAAAAUUCAAAUUUUAUUAAUAAGAAAUGAAAUAGGCAGUAAGCAUUUACAAACCGAAAACAAAAUCCUACAACAACUCUAGGACUCUACACCUUAUUAAAAAAAAACAUUUUGAUAGCGUUUUUCCAAAAGCAGAAGAUGGAAAAUUGCCCAUUUGUACUGGGGAGUUCGUGAUCUUUUCCUCAUUCUAGUCUACUUACAAUUCUUGGAAAAAGGAAUACUCACAUCUCAAACAACAGCCUGUUCAUCUGCAGUGUCCUGCCGAAUUCUAGAAAGUUUGGUGGCAAUGUUAAUUACAUUUCAAAAUUGACUGCUGCGAUAACUAAUUCGAUGGCUUACUACAUGGUCAACGUUUGGAUCUCUUCCUGUCCUUUUUGGAUGCACAUUUUUUUUCUCUAGGUAAUAUAUAAUCUCCCAACUCAUUUCUUUACAAAUGCACCUUUAAUCACCACCAAAAGGUGUGGACAUGAUCUUUACCCUAGAAAACUAUUCACCGACAGGCAAAUUGACGUCAGAAAUACUAAGAGGAAUUCUAGUUUCCUUCGGGUUAAUGCCAUUUUGUACCCUUCAACUGUAACUCAAUUUCUAAGCUGUAAUUUGUGACAUUAUAGUCCUUAAACUAUGAAACCCUUUCUUAUUUAAUUACAAUGGUUAAUACAAUGCCCGUGACUAGACAAGUAUGAAGCAACCAUAACAAAAAAAAAAUCCAAAAUUAGAGAAAAGAAAGAAGUUGCGACCAAAGUAUGUAUCAAGGCAUAGUAUAGAAAUAAAAGUGUCAAAAUUAAGAGUUUAGGGAUAAAAAAGAAUCAAAAUAUAGUUUAGGAAUUGAUUUGUCUCAAUUAGAGUUUAGAUGUCAACUAAGAAGAGAGAUAUAGUUGAAGGGUAGAAUAUAGAUAUAACAGUUCAAUGAUUGAUAUCAACGAGACAAUGACAACUUUGGAUUAUUACCAACCUCUUCUUGAUGGAAAAGGAAAUAGAGAAGAAAGUCGGGCCUGGUCUAAGCCUGUUUCGGAGGCAAAACAACAUUAUGAAAUCACCGGCAUUCACACAAAUAUGUCAAAGUCACCGGCAUGCUAAGUUGCAAAAUUUAUACAAACACUGAAUAUUAUAUUCUUCUCAAAAUUUUUGUUUAAGAUUUAACAAUUAGAGCACGGUACACGAAUUAGCAAUAUUAAAUAAUGAAUGUUCACGAUUGAUAAAGUUAUCAAAGUACAGUUUGAGGACAACCCAUUCCAACGUGUACAAGAUGUUUAGCCUUUGAAAAGUUAAUUAGAGAAGGUGACGAGAUUUUACUAGGCUUACAACUUCUAGGCCUUGGGAGUAAAAAGUGAAGACACUGAGUGCUAUAAAAAGGGGGCUAGAUGUUGCCUAGAAGCAUAUCAGCCUCGGACCACAUUUUGUAGCAAUGGGGAGCAAAGCAAAAGCAAUGGGGUCUAGGCUGACUCCUCUUUUUACCACCGUUUUAGUGGUAUUUGUUGCACUUGGCUUGCCUUCAGAAACUGCAGCUGAUUACGACAAGUAUUCACCUCCUCCUCCUCCUUACCAUUAUUACUCACCACCACCUCUUGUGCAUUCACCUCCACCACCGCCAGUUUAUAAGUCACCCCCACCACCUUAUCACUACUUCUCACCACCACCUCCAGUGUAUCCAUCUCCACCACCAUCUGUUUACAAGUCACCUCCACCACCUUCGCCAGUAUACAAGUCCCCACCACCACCUUAUCAAUAUUCCUCACCACCACCUCCAGUGCAUUCACCUCCACCACCACCGAUUUAUAAGUCACCUCCACCACCUCCUCCAGUUUACAAGUCCCCGCCACCACCUUACCAUUAUUCCGCACCAUCACCUCCAGUGCAUUCACCUCCACCACCACCGAUUUACAAGUCACCUCCACCACCUCCUCCAGUUUACAAGUCUCCAUCACCACCUUACCAUUAUUCCUCACCACCACCUCCAGUGCAUUCACCCCUACCACCACCGGUUUACAAGUCUCUGCCACCACCUUACCAUUAUUCCUCACCACCACCUCCUAUGCAUGCACCUCCACCACCAAUAUACAAGUCACCUCCACCACCUCCUCCAGUUUACAAGUCUCCACCACCACCUUACCAUUAUUCCUCACCACCACCUCCAGUGCAUUCACCCCUACCACCACCAGUUUACAAGUCUCCGCCACCACCUUACCAUUAUUCCUCACCACCACCUCCUGUGCAUGCACUGCCACCACCAAUUUACAAGUCACCUCCACCACCUCCUCCAGUUUACAAGUCCCCACCACCACCUUACCAUUAUUCCUCACCACUACCUCCAGUGCAUUCACCUCCACCACCACCGAUUUACAAGUCACCUUCACCACCUCCUCCAGUUUACAAGUCUUCACCACCACCUUACCAUUAUUCCUCACCACCACCACUCUUCAAUUUGGAUGUAAUUCAAUUUUCCUUGUAAUCGGUGGCCCUCCUUCGGAAUCCAAAUAGUCAUUGAGUGCAGCCUUCUUUCUUUAUUUUUUACUCAUUUUCACCUCAUAAAUUGCUUUCAUCCCCUAAAACUUGUUCGCUGGAAUUUUGAAUUUACCCAUACAACUAAACUCAGAAAAUUCUUACACAAAGGGAUUAGUAGCAUGAAUAGCAAACACAGAAUAAGAGAUAACAGUAUGUUUUAUUGUAUUAAAAAUAUUAAAGUGGAUUAUUUCUCCAUCGAAUUCCAUUGUGAGAGUAUCGUUACUAACAUCAAUCUUAGUUUGAGCAGUACUCAAGAAUGACCUUCCUAAUAUAAUGGGUGAUGGAUUUGGGACACUUUCAUCAUCCAUAUAAAACACAUAAAAAUCAACAGAAAAAAUUAAUCCAUCUACUUGAACUAAAAACAUCCUCAACUACCCCAUUUAGAUAAGCAAAUAUACGAUCAGCCAAUUGAAUUAUUAUCCCUAUUUCUUUUAAAUGUUCUAAAUUUAGGGAAUCAUAAAUUGAUUUAGACAUCACAUUAAUAGAAAUCUUUAAAUCUAUCAUGGCAUUUUUUAUAUUAGAAUGUCCAAUCUUACAUGAGAUAGUAAACAUACCUAGAUUCUCGCAUUUAGGUGGUAGUUUCCUUUGUAAAAUUGCUGAAACGUUCUCAUCUACCACAAUAUGCUUGUCCUCCUCAAUUUCUUCUUGUUGACACACAAGUUUUUCAAGCAUUUAACGUAUUUUGGAACUUAUUUGAUUUGCGUCCAACAAAGGGAUAUUGAUUGCCACCUUGCGAAAAUCUCUAAAAUCUCCUUUUCUUUAUCUUGUUUCUUUGAUUUCUCUAACCUGCUUGGAAAAGGUGGUGAGUUAGUUCCAACUCUAAUUAUAGAAUCAACAAUUACCUUUGGAUUCACAUUUCUCAUUCCUUCCUCCUCAAGCUCUUUGUCGAUUCGAUCUUCAUUUUUAUCCUUUGGAAUCACAACUUCGGAUCCCUGAAUUUUCUUCUCGCUCCUUAAGGUCAUUACACUUACAUUCUUCAGGUUCAGUUCAGGUUGAGACGACAAUUUUUCAUAGAUUUGGGAUUCCAGGCGGUUGAUUGCUAUUACCAUCUGACUCAUCUGACUCUGCAGUGCUUGCACCUGUCCCAAUUGAUUCCUCAUACUUUGCAAGUCAAAAUCCAUCUUUUGUUGAUUAGCAAUUAAUUGCUUCAUUAUCUCUUCUAUAGAUGGACUUGAGUUUGAAAGAGGUGGUGGCGGGCGAGACUGAUACUGUUAUUGAUACCCUUGCUAUCUAUUUGGUGCAAAAUCUGGCUACCUAUUUCCUCCAUAGCUGAGGUUGGGAUGAUCUCUCCAACCAAUAUUGUACGUAUUCGUGUACGAGUCGUAUGGUUUUCUUGGCACGGCGCGUGACCAGCCAUGUUCACUUGCUCCGUACUUUUCUCUUGAAUCAUUGAGCACAUCUCUGUAGAAUGACCCAUAGCAGUGCAGAUCCCACACAUCUUGACUCGUGAUGCAUUUCCUAUAGCUAAUUGCCUAACAAAGGAUGUUAAUUCGGUCAACUGCUGUUGGAUAGAAUAUGUUUCUACCUCAUUUACUUUGCGUGUUGGGGCAUCCUCCCUCGUACCAAACUGUUGCGAAUUUUCCGCCAUUCCUUCAACUAGCUCCCACGCUUCUCGAGAAGUCUUGUUCACCAAUGCCCUUCUACUUGCAGCAUCAAUUAUACUCCUGUCUCUAAAACGCAGCCCCUCGCAAAAAUAUUGGAUGAGCAAUUGCUCACUUAUUUGGUGUUGAGGGAACUUGAUGCAUAACUUCUUGAAUCGCUCCCAAUAAUCAUAAAGCGACUCUCCUGGAUGCUACUUGAUACCGUAUAUCUCCUUCCUUAGACUUGCAGCUCGAGAUGCAAGAAAAUAUUUGUCCAAGAACUUUUUCUUCAGCUGAUCCCACGUGGUGAUGCUACCUGGUGGUAGAUAGCACAGCCAGUCUUUUGCGGAGUCCUUCAAGGAGAAGGGAAAUGCCCUCAUUUUUAUCUAUUUUUCUGUAAUUCUCGGAGGUUUUAUGCUGUUGCAAACGACAUCAAACUCUUGCAAGUGCUUAUACGGUUCCUCACCUGGUAAACCAUAGAAAGAUGGCAAGAGAUGAAUUAGACCAGAUUUUAACUCAAAUGAAGUGUUAUCAUUUAAAAAUAGAAAAGUAACUGAGAUGCAGCACUGGAAUGUUCUUCUCGAAAUUGUCUGGUCUCUUUCUUUGUUCUACGCGUAGUCUUCUCUACCUUAGGAUCAAAAAUUAAUUUACCUGUACGAGAAGAACGAGGCAUACACUAGAAAAACACUAGAAAAUUAGAACAAAAAUGAACAUAAAAAGAAACAAAUAAACCAACGUCAGUCCCCAGCAACGGCGCUAAAAAUUGACAAGUUGUCGAUGCCUGUGCAAUAAUAAAAAUAAACCUAGUUACCAAUUAAAAUAAUCAGAGCCUAAUUCUGAGUACUAGAGCAGGGACUAUAGGUGUGCAAUGGGUUACUUGAUUCACCCUAUUCCUGAAGUUUGCUUAACCCGAUAUACCAGAAUGAGAUUGCUUAUUCAAAAGGAAUUAUUGAUUUGUAAACAGGGCAAGUAGGGUCGUAUCAUCAGGGAUUGAAAAAAUUUGUUUCUUUUCAAAUCCACAGUAACAAGGGGAUGUUUUUGUAUAAAUGAUAACAAUCUAAGGAGUGCAAAUAGAAAUAAAUAGAUAACUAGAAAUUAAAUGACAAUUCACUAAAAUUAGAGUAAUAAUAAUUAAAGGUCUAGCUAAGAAAUAACUUCAGCAAUGGUUCACCUAAUUGAUCAUCGACGCAAAGGCAAUUCCAAUUAUUUACUAAUAAAUAGGUUAUAACUGCAAAACAAGCAAUGACAGUCAACCCCUCCUUACUGUCGGUCGGUGAUUAAGGUACGCCCAAUCACUGCUCUAGUUGAGAAAUAAUUUUAGGGACGCUCGUAAGAUUUAAUUUUCCAAUUGCCUUACGUAUUAGAGGAGCCAUAAUCUAACCAAAUAACGCUACCAGGAUUAUUUUAAAUUAACCCGUGUAUUCCCUUGAUACAAAUUCAAUCAUGUCAGUUGUCACUAUUUCAAGGUAAUGAAACAAUUACGGAUUUAAUAUCCUAAUUGACAAUAGGUUACUAAAUCAAUUCACUAUUUCGAUCCAAGAUAAUCAAUCAAUUUAACAACUAAUAGCACUGCAAUCGGAGAAUAUGUAAAUACCAAUAAAUAAGAGGAAAAGAUAAAAUUAAAUCGAUCUCACAAUUUUUAAACAAAUCAAAGUAUCCGUUGUUUCUUGACUAGAAAAGAAAAUUUAGUUCAUUCCUAAUGUGAAAGACCCACGUGAGAAUUCAAAAAUAAUAUUCACGGAUAUUGUCUUGAUUCAAUAGAUUCAAUUGCGUUGGAAUAAGGAUAAAAAGCCAAACUAUAGAGAGUGAUUCAAUGUUUUGUUUCGUUUGCAUUUUUUCUACACAUAUGGAAGAAGAAAAACAACUAAAGGACGAAAAAAAAAAGUCAAAGAAAGGCACCCAAAGUAGUGCUUGGUCUCUACCAUCCUAUUUCCUAUCUAAUUACUACUUCCCUUCUGCGGCUGCCUAGAGGAAGAAAGAGAAAGCAGACUUCAGGUCUUGUUCCAUCUCCUCCCUUUUCGGCAAUUCCCCAAAAGUAGAAAAGUUCCUCCGUUUACCAAAAUGCCCCUGGAAUGAGGACUGCUACUUGAACUCAUUUUCUUGAUAACUGUCAAAUUAGCACUUGUUAUGGUAUUUGCGUCUACUUCCUGUAAUAAAUGUAAAUUGCCAAAAGUGAGUAAACUGAUAAUUAAUUUACAUCAGGUCAGGUAAUAGGAAAAAUUAAUUAUAAAAUAAAUGAUAAAAUUGCAACCUAUCACUUAGAAUAACCAGAAAUAAAACAAAACAAGAAAUGAAAGAAAUAAGAGGGUAGCAUAGACAUUUUGGAUUUUUCUGUUAAUUUGGAUGAUUUCCACCUACGGUCUAAUUUAAUCCAAAACACAAAUGGAUUAUGUGGAGAUUUUUAAACAAUGAGGGAGUAUCGUGACCGAAUCCCAAACCACAAAGGGGAUUUACUAUAUUUUACUCUUAAAUUUUGGUUUCAUCUCAUAGCAUACAAGAGUACUAUUUCACUGUCUGUCGACCAGGGAGGAGGGUUGGGUUGGGUGGUACGGGGGAGGGAGUCUAAGUAAGAGGUCUCAGGUUCGAAUCCUCCUGUUUAUACUAAAAAAAAAAAUUUACUAUCUGUCGACAAAGAUUUUCUAUGGUUGAUGUACCAUAGGAAAAAUCUGCCUAUACAAUUAUUUGGAAAAAUUAUCCAUCCAAACAUAGUCACGAUAGCAUUUUUUCAAAAACACUAGAUGCAAAAUUGUCCCCUUAAACGUGGAAAUUCAUGAUCUUUCCUCGACUAGUCUACUUGUCAAUUUUUGAAAAAAGAAUACUCACGCCAAAAACACGGCCUCUUCAUCUGCAGAAUUCUAAAAAGUUACGUAAACUCUAUAAACAAGUUGAUAGGUACAAUCGUACCCAAGAUCAAGUACAGAUAGUUGUACAUUCACUGCUGCAAUAACUAAUCUGAUGACUUACAAACACAUCAUGGUCAAUCGUUGAAUGGUAAUGAGUCUUUUGUUAUGCAUUAGUAUUAGUGUGUACACUCUAAUAGAUUGAUACUUAUACUCUUUAAAUUAUCAUAAUAAUACCCUUAAUUAACUUUAACCCUUAAAAAGAAUACGUGUUAAUACACGAGAGUGUGUAACCUGAAUUGUUACUUAUACAUUAGUGUGUAAUAGAACGGCAAGCAUUAUGGUGGUCAUUGAGCAACUUAUAGGAGAAAUAGUCCUAUAAGCUGUUCAAUGACCAAUCACAACUUGCUAAUUGGAUGACUAAUAUAGCUCUAGCUGUAAUGUUUUAAUUAAAUUCCACACUAACGUUGGGAUGACUUUUUAAUCAAAAAAAAAAAAGCCUUAGUUCAAGCUUUUCCCCUUAUUGUGCAUUUUUUAAAACAUUUGAUAGGCACUGCAAAUCUGUCAUUUUGGACAUUUUAUUAUUAACUAACAAUGAAAGCCGUGGACAUCAACCCAUAUCCAACAAAAUAUUAAAUUAAUAUUAGAAAAAUUAUUAAGUAAUUGGAAAAAAAAAAGAAGAGGCUAAUUUUCAUUGAAACCCACCGACAAACUAUCCGUGUCCAUAGCUUUUGAAUAGUGCAUUCAACGUUUAAUUGUAUGGUCCAGUUCAUUGCCGAUUACAUGGAGUAAAGAUUGUGCUCUUUCCUUUUUCACCCCUUUUGGAAUCGAUACUGUGGAGAAUUGGGUUUUUCCCUCCUUUUUUUCUUUUCUUUCCUUCUGUGCUUUGCAAAACAUACGUAAAAAUAUGAAAUCCGAAGCAUUCUUUAAUUGGGAUUAAGUAUUGUUGUUGAAAUUAAAAAGAAGAAAGAAAGAACAACAAAAAUCCCAAUCUGGGUUGAUUGUUGAGCUCUAGAUUGGCUGCAUCGUGCUUCCAUAGAAGUUCUCUUAGUGUGAUACGCUGCUUUCAAUCAGUUUUAAUAUUUAAGUAGAGUGCAAAAUAACUUUACUAUUUAAUGGGUUAUAAUGCACCAUUUGGUACCUCUCACCCACCUAUGAUUUGAUUUACUACUGGCAUGGUAAUGGACAGAGUUGGGGGAGCAGGAGGAGGGAGAUGGCGGUACCAGUCCGUCAACCACAGCACACCCUCCCUCGGACUUUGCGUGGUAGCGAAGUGGAGGCAGAUCGAGCACACAUGCACUAACGCCUUAAGUAUGUACAAUAUAUGUAUGCCAAAAGCAUAGCCAAGCCUACCAGCGCAUUUCAAUAAUAUAACCCGGAAAUUAAGGGCAUUGAAUUAAGUACGAUGAAUCAUAUUGGUGCACAAUUACAGUUUGAAGCUACCGAUUCGAGUAAAUUUAAGCGUAAGCACAAUCAAUCGCCAGUCAAAUGCUGAAAUAUGCAUAUGCAUGGAUGAAUGUAUGGGUUUCUUAGUUCCAGACCAAAGGCCAACAAUAAGGGAAGGAAGGACAGUUCUCAUUUUUAGCACGGACAAGGAGAUGAAGAAAAGUGUAUGUAGCUUGAGACAGAACAAUGGCAUGUGACCGCUCCUGAGACCACAUAACGUGGGGUGGGGAUGGGACGGCCAAGAAUGAAGAUGCCUGUCGGUCUCUCCGUGCUGCUACCAUAUGAAUCCCCCGUUAACCAAUUCAAGAUAAGCCUGAAGUUCUUUUCAUCCCCAAACCCUGUCCCAUCUGUGUAAAUCCAACAUCAUCAUUUACGACCUGCAACUCAGGUUAAGCAUGUUCUAUUGAGAUUCAGACACCACCCUUCAAAAGAUAUACUACUGUGAAACCAGCAGCUUAAUAUCAUUGUAUAAAAAAAAAAAAAAAAGAAAGAAGAAAAGACAUGAAAAGCAAAUUUUGUGGGGAUAAUUUCAAAAUCUCUCCUAAAGUUUUUUACUAUUUUACUGGCCUCCUUUCAAAUUUUAAAAAUUACACCAGUCUUCCUUGAGAUUAUUUAUCUUGUAACAUUGAGGUCCAAUCAAUAAUUAAAAAAUGAUAUUAUGAGAGAGAAAAAAAAUAAACUUUAACAUCAUAAAUAUUCUUAUCAACAUAUUAAAGUUAGUUACUGAAAUUUUUAUGGUGUUAAACUUCACUCUUUGUAAUAUUUUAGUUACAGAUUUUUUGAUUACUUGUUGUUGAUUUUUUUUUUUUUAGUGUAAACAGGAGGACUCGAACCUAAGACCUCUCACUUACACUCCCUCCCCCCGUACCACCCCAACCCAACCCAACCCUCCCCUCGUUGUUGAUCAUGUUUGACAAUGGAUUUGUAAUUGAAAAGAACAAUUUGGAUCUUACAUUGAGUGAAAUAUAUAGAAUGAUAUACUAUUUUUUAUGGCAUAUGUGAUUCAAUCCUUGAUGAUAAAAGCAAAUUCAAGUGUUUUCUUUAAUGUUUGUGCUGAUAUUAGAUUAAUUAAAUAAUUUAGUAGAUGAAGGAAAAUGGUGAAAUCAUAUUAUCUUCUCUUUCCUAAUAUCACUAUUUAAUUAUUGAUUGAACUUAGAUAUUACAAAUAAUAAAUCUCAAGGGAGAUUAGUAUAAUUUUCAAAUUUUGGAGAGAAGCUAAUGAAAUAGUCAAAAACCUUAAGGGAGGUUUACAAAAUUAUCCCAAAUUUGUGGGAAUUAGAAUAAUUGUACUGGACGGCACUGCCGCAACAGAGGGAAAGAGGAGGAGGUGCAGUUAACUUUUUGUUGUUUGAAAUCCUUGGUGAAAUAUUACAGAAAGACAGAUAAAACAGUUAGUACAUAGAUGUAUAUGACAGGGAAAAUGGUACGUCUGUUAAUCACAUUUGAAACACUUUCAUUGGUGAAUGACGAAAACUAUCAGGCUUGCCCAAUAGUUGAUCAUUGACCAAGACAAAUCUUGCCAUGCUAGAGGUACCAUCUUUUCGUACCUCUUUAGUGCACAGGACAUUCCUUUGUUUCAUCUAGCUAAUAAUCUACCAACUCAUUUCUUUGCAAAUGCACCUUUUAUGGUCACGUCUACGAAAGCUUUACAGGAUCUUUACCCAAAAAAUCAAUUCACCGACUCGCAUUUGAUGUCAAAAUUUCUUUACUUUACUCCAAGAUUGACUGUUAAUAAUAAUGCCACUUUGAAUUAUCACACCAUCCUUCUUGAUAGGAUUUGUGCUAGAGGUAGGGAGGGAGUCGCUGCAGCCGGUCUUCUCUUCAUAGACAGUACAAUAUUGCGAAAUCGAUCGCAUUCACGCAAUAUUAUAUUUCCAAGUCGUUGCAUGGGUAAGCUGCCAAAAAGUACGAACACAUGUUAUUAUAUAGCUUAAGAUUCAAAACUUUCGAGCAUAACCCUCCACCUAACACAAUUGAAUAAUGGAUAUUCACGAUUGUCAAAUCUGUCAAAGUACAGUUUGAGGACAACCCAUUCCAACCUGCAAAAGGUUUUUUUACUUUUCUAAAGUUGUUGAGAGCUGUUAAAAGAUUUACCAUGCUUACAUCUUCCGAGCCUUGGGAGUUAAAAAUGAAGGCACUGAGUGCUAUAAAAAGGGAAUAGAGGCUGCCUAGAAGCAUACCAGCCUAAAACAAGGAUUUGUAGUUAUGAUGGGAAGCAAAGCAAAAGCAAUGGGGUCUGGGCUGACUCCUCUUCUUGCCACUGUUUUAGUGGUGUUUGUUGCUCUUGGCUUGCCCUCAGAAACUGCAGCUGAUGAUCACUACAAGUAUUCAUCUCCUCCUCCUCCUUACACUAUCCCUCACCACCACCUCCAGUGCAUAUACCUCCACCUCAUCCUGUUUACAAGUACAAAUCUCCACCACCCCCACCACCACACCCAGUUUACAAGUAUAAGUCACCACCACCACCUCCUCAUCCGGUACCACACCCAGUUCCUCAUCCGGUGCCACACCCAGUUCCUCAUCCGGUGCCACACCCAGUUUACAAGUAUAAGUCACCACCACCACCUCCUCAUCCGGUACCACACCCAGUUCCUCAUCCGGUACCCACACCCAGUUUACAAGUAUAAGUCACACCACCACCUCCUCAUCCGGUACCACACCCAGUUUACAAGUAUAAGUCACCACCACCACCUCCUCAUCCGGUAUACAAGUAUAAGUCUCUCCGCCACCAACACCCAGUUUACAAGUAUAAGUCACCACCACCACCUCCUCAUCCGGUGCCACACCCAGUUUACCACUACAAGUCACCACCACCACCUCCUCAUCCGGUACCACACCAGUUUACCAUACAAGUCACCACCAAUCCUCACCCAGUUUACAAAUACGAGUCUCCACCACCUCCAGUUUAUAAGUACAAGUCACCACCACCUCCUCCACCAGUUUACAAGUAUAAAUCUCCUCCACCACCACCACCAGUUUACCACUACAAGUCUCCACCACCUCCUCCCCCAGUUUACAAAUACAAGUCUCCACCACCUCCUCACCACUACUAAGCAAUUGCUUCUGAGGUAAUAACACUUGUUCAAUAUACCCACUUCUGCAUGAUAAAGCAUAUCUCUAUCAACACAAACUGUCAUGUCUAUCAUGCUAAGUGCCUUCACUUCAUCCACCAAAAUGACUGCUAGAAAAUUUUUUUUAUGUUACCAAAGAAAGGCAUCAUUUUUUCCCUCUGUUAUCAAGAACUUGUACAGUAUAUAGAUUAAAGAGUUUUUAUUUUAACUAGCUUAUCAACUUAGAAAUGCAUAUAGCUGAUAACCAGCUGAAUAUUUGCAGGCAAAGGAGAAGGAAACCAUGUUUGAGACCUUCUUGAAGAUGUAGAAGCAUAAGAAUAAAAGCCCAAUGUGAAGAUGAUGAUUUCAAGUUUUUCUACGUUACCAUUUCUUUAUCUAAAUUGGUUGUAGCGCCCAAGUUCCUUUGUUUAUGGGAUUUGUAUCGUUUUACGUACCAUGCAGUACAUGUCAUGUUUGUAAGGUUUUCUAUCCUGCCGGCAAACCGCAGGUUCCAUGUGAUAAAUGAAUACUAUUUAUGUUACGACA
rnacentral:lncRNA from 1 species